UUUUUUUUUUUUUUUGAGCAAACGUUAUUUAAAUCUUAAAAUGUGUCGCCGAAUAGUUCCAAAGAUUUGGUUGAGUGAUAAAAAUAUAAUAUUUUGGGGCAAAUUCUAUGAUACACCCAAUAUAUUUGAGUGUACCGGUACACUCCUUCUUUAAAUUAAUAACUAAAUGAGUUGUUUUUUGAAGAAAAAUAUUUUUUUUUAUCACUUAUAAUUAUAAUAACUAAAUCUUAUUCAUCAAAAGUGUCAACGAAAUAAAAUUAAUUUUUUUUGAAUUUUUAUCACUCAUAAUUGAGAACAUUGAUUAUUUUUUACGAUAAUGUGUAAAAACAAUUAUAAAUUUUUUUAUAAACAAUAAAAUGAUGUUUUUUCUUAUAAAAUAAUGUUCUAUAAAACAUAAAUAUUAACAAAUAGCUAUUUAUUACACAAAAAAGAAUCGUUUAUUUAUAAAAUUAUGAAGGAAGAGUACGGGUACACCUCACUUUGUGAGAAGUGAGUGUACCGUAGAAGUUCUCAUAUUUUGAAGGUUGUGGGUUCGAAUCUUAGUAAUCUCUUUAUUUUCACCGUCAGACAUCUUUGCUUUGACCCUAAAUUUUCAUAAAAAAAUGUACCAUAAACUUGGAACUACAAAACGGUCUAAUUAACUCACCUAUACAUUUAGUAAAAAAAUAAAAUUAAUUUGUAUCAAGGGAGAUUGGAUGAUUAAUGAGUAGUCUAGUAUAUAGCAUUGUAAACUGAGUCCAUGUUUAAUUCAUUUACUUUGCUAAAAUUUUACUUUGUUUUAAGAAAGACAUACACAAAUGGUAAAUUAGUAAGACUCUUUUAAUAAAUGGACCGACUAAUGGGUUCAAUUCUUCUAUCAUUAACCCUUUUGUUUGGUUGUUCAGUUAGAAAUUCCUUUGUUGUCCCAAAGCAAUUGUAAGAGUUAUUUCUAGGGACCAAUUUAGGUUUGACUUUUUGUUAUGUGUAUAAUUUUGAUACAAUGAAACGCCAUUUUGCAAUGUUAAACCAAUUGUAAGCAAAUGGAUAAUAUAUAUGAGGCAUGAAAAGGGUAAAGCUUAAGUCAAUAAAACAAAGUGACUUUUGUUGUCCUUAAAGUGUAUGCAAAUUCAAUAGUUUGAAAAUAAUUGCAAGCUAUAUACAACAAAAACAUGGGUGUGGCAUCACUUGUUCAAUCAUGAGUUGCUUUCAGCUGAGAUGGCAAGGGAAUUUCCUAGCGAAUGUUACAAUACAUAAUGUCUACGAAUAUAUAACAUUAUAAAAAAAGUUGAAUAAGCAUCUAUGGUUAAUUUUAUGCAUAAAAAAUGGAUGAUCUAUGGUUAAUUUUUAAUCCGAAGUCAUCUCUUUAAAUUGUUUUACCUUUUUCUUUUAACUUAAUUAGGGUCUGUUUGGUAAGCCCACUAAAUGAGCUUAUAGUUUAUAGCUUAUAGUCUAUCAUCUUUUCUUCCAUUUAUACCCUUAUUAUUUUAUCUAAAAACAAAUUUUACCCAUUAUAAUUUAUCACUCCUAUAAUUAAAAAUAACACAUUAAUUAUUGUAAUAAAUACCAUGCCUUAAAAAAGUCUCGUUAGAUUUAAACGAAUAUAAUUUAUACCGUACAUUUAAACGAAUAUAACCUUUUGUAACCAAAAAAACGAAUAUAACCUGUGGUUAAAAAAAAAAAAAAAAAUUGCAUCAUACAUGUAACAUUUGUGUUUUUAAUCUUUUAUCAUGACUACAUGAUUUUUAUACAAUUGUGUUUGAUUUUGCUAAAAUAAAAUACAACUGUGCUAUGUAUAUAUACGAUUUUACCUUUAUUAGUUAGUUGAACCGCUAAUUUUACCAAACACUUUAAUUAGCUUAUCAGUCGUUAGCUAUAAGCUAUCAGCUAUCAGCUAUAAGCUAUAAGCUAACUUAUAAGCUAUCCGCUAUUUUUACCAAACAGAGCCUAAGUGAUUUUCACAUGUAUUUAGUUUAUAGUUUUUUAUGAAGCUAAAAUGGAAUAUAGUUAAACAGAAAUGGUUCAACUAACACAAGAUGUGCCAAAAAGAACCACCCAAAAAGAUUACAACGUUAAAUGCCUGUUGCCAUAAAGCACAACGAAAAAACAAGCAAAGGAAACUACUCCCUAACACCCAUACAUGAUAAAGGGCUCCGCCACCCGUCAUUGUAACCGAAAGUGGAAGUGAACAUCUUAGCUUUUAACCAAGUAAACGACAAAAACUUGACAUCAUCUAACACCUUAGACAAAUCCUGAGCUUUGUUGUUAAAUAUCCUGUUAUUUUGGUCCUUCCAAAUGACCCAAACAGUAGUAUGCCAAAUCACUUGGAGGUAAGAGUGAACAUAUCGCGGGAAACCCGCCAAACCACCAAAUUGAUGAAAAUGAUCAGCCACCGAGGCAUGGGAUAUGAAAGAAAUACCAACCCACCUGUAAAUUGGUUUCCAUAAAAUGCUAAAAAUGUCACAACACAAAAUGAGAUGAACCGCCGUCUCCUGUGUGCGACACCCUCCUACACAUGCCAUGGCAUCCUGAUGAAGUAUUGUAACACCCCGUUACUCAAAUUCAAUUAAAUAACAAAUAAACAUACAUCUGAAUAAUUCCCAAACGGGCAUGUCACACUACAAUUUCAAAUUUCUUAAAUAGAAUAUAAAAUCUAUUUAACUAAACAUCCUUCAAAAUCAUCAUUUAACUUGCAGCGGAAUAUUUUCGACUUUAAUUAACAAAAACAUCCAAUAUAAUUAAUCUCCAAUAAAUAUUCAUGGCAUAAAAGCCUCAUCAAGGAAAUCCAAACAUCAAUAGGGCUACAACAUCAAUAUUCAAAAUUUCAUACAUAGGAAAGAAGUUAAGCAAUAAAAUCUCAUCCCACGUAUCAGAGCCCUAGACACUUUGAGCCACCACCUACUACUCAGGAUCACCUGCAAGUUACCCAUAUGAAGGGCAAUGUAACACCCCGUUUUCCCAAUAUACCAAUUUCUUAAAUCAUUUAUCAGAGUAAGCAUCAUAAACAACGGGAUAUCACAUAUAACAUAAUCUAAACAGUUAAAUAAUAAUUUAACCAAAUAUCUUAAACAUUGCAGCGGAAAUUAUAUCAUAAUCCAUAAAACGUUUUGGCACGCAGGCCCCAUCAAAAUAAUCUUAAAAGAGUCAGUUCAAUAUAACAAAUAGCAUAUUAUUCACGUAAUAGAACGAAGCAUGCAUAACAUAUAGCCCCAUCACGUUACGUAUCAGAGCGACCUAGACGACACAGUGAAGGCAAGGCCACUCACGACGGAAACUGCACACUAAGCGCGAUCACCUGCAAGUUACCCAUACGAAGGGCAACAUUUUCAAGCAGAAGGGGUGAGAUUUCAUAACAAAAUAAUGUUAAUCAAAGUAAUUUGAAUCAUAAUUAACAUCAUAUCAAUCUUAAACAACUUUGCAUAUUUGAUAAACAAUCAUCACCUAAUCACAUAUUCAAUCGUCAUCAACAACAUAACAUACUAGACAUGACAAUGCGACAAUUCUCUUAGACUCCUUAUAUGCAUGUGGUACCAAUCGUCAUCAUAAGUAUUAAUAUACUUUAACGUGCGGAGGACAAAGCUCCUAAUAAAUCGUGCGGAGGACAAAGCUCCUAAUAAUCGUGGUGAGGACUAAGCUCAAUGAAUGCUAAUGCAUGGACUCUUAUCAACAAAUCACCGUAAUCAACAUAUCAAUAAGCAUCCAAUAAUUUGGAGCUAAACGUCAUCUUAUUCCUCAUAUAUAGACAUUAUGCACUUAGUUAAAUAACAGCAGCAGCAUAGUCAAGUCACACAACAACAGGAUGAUAUCAAUAUAUCAAUUGCAAUUCAAUGGCAUCAUAAUAUUUCAUUCAAAAUCUUACAUAAUGUAUAAUACAUCAGUUCAUGCUUAAUUAAUAUCAACAUAUCUUAAACGGCUUUACAGAUUGCAUUAAACGUCAUCAUUAGGUUUCAUUACCAAUUAGGGUUUCACUCUUGAUCAAACGUGCGAUACAGAUCGCACAAACACUCAAUGCACUCUUAUCUGGAAGUGCUCGCGAGGCGAGAGUUCCUACUCGCCAUGGCAAGUACCAGACAAAACCAAACUAAAGCUGUUCUGGGUUUAAUCUUGUCCUACAUUCAUCCCUAAUCAAUACUAGGUAUGUUCAAGCACUCAAAGGCACUCAAGGUCAAACUAAAAAGUCGAAAAUACAAAAUCUAACAUGCUCUCUUCCUUAGCUCGCUAUGGCGAGUAAGGUUGCUCGCUGUGGCGAGCUGCAUUGCACAACUCGCUAGGCGAGGAAAAAGGGGUCGCGAGGCGAGUGAUGAAUGUGCAUCACUCACGAGGCGAGAUUCAUAGCUCGCCGUGGCGAGCGAUGAAUGUCGCUACGGCCAGACAUCCUAUUUUCACAAAAAUUCAACGAUUCACAUGGUUCUAAGCCUGAUAUUGAUUCCAAAGUUCGUCCUAAACAUGAUCUAAGGUCUAGGGGCAUUUUCUACAUCAAUUUAUCCAAUUCCUACCGUUCGAUUAUCAAUUCUAGGGAUUUGACCUAGUUUUCGUUUUCUCCAAUUCAAUCCUAAAGCUUGCUAACUAAUCAUCAGAAUUACAAUCAAUUAACAUUACUGAGUUAUUAGUCUCACCCUUACCUGGUUAUGAAGAAAUCGCAGCCCUCUCUUGAUCUUCUCCCUUCUAAGUUUUUUCUCCAUUUUCCAAAAGUUUUCACGUACAAUGGUUUUUCUAACAAUUAGGUCUUCUCUAUUUAUAUCUCCUCUUAAUAACUUAUCUUAUCUCACUUUCUCCCCCAAAACUAUCUAAAAUCUCAAAACAACCCUUAACUAAAUAUUUUAUAUUAUUUUCAAAUCUUUAUUUUAUUUAACAAUAAAAUAAGUCCCUUACUCUUAUCAAAUCUUCCAAAACUCAUAGCUUAUCAUAAUAUCAACCAAACCAUCAAUAUAGUCGUAAAUCAUUCAAAUCAUACCAAAAUAAUGAAUAUAUUAUAUAAAUAUAAUAUAAUCGCCUAAAGUCGAUUAAAUAAACAAUUAACGAAAGUGGGCGUUACAUAGAACAUGAUGGUAUUUUGAUGUUUUCCUUGAUGGCUUCCUUAUCUAUUGAGAAUCAAACAGUGAUUGAUAAACUACAAGUGGUAUGCGAUUUUCCAGAAGUAUUUCCUGAUGAAAUUCCUGAUGUGCCUCCAAAGAGGGAAGUUGAAUUUUCGAUUGAUCUUGUUCCUGGAACGAAGCCUGUGUCUAUGACACCUUAUCGUAUGUCAGCUUCUGAGUUGGCCGAGUUGAAGAAAUAAUUAGAAGAUUUACUUGAGAAAAAGUUUGUUAGACUAAGUGUUUCGCCUUGGGGAGCGCCCGUUUUGCUAGUGAAGAAGAAAGAUGGUAGCAUGAGGUUGUGUAUUGAUUAUCAACAGUUGAACAAUGUAACAAUAAAGAAUAGGUAUCCACUUCCGAGAAUUGAUGAUUUGAUGGAUUAGUUAGUGGGUGCACGUGUUGUCAGCAAGAUUGAUUUGAGAUCAGGUUAUCACCAGAUUAAAGUAAAAGAUGAAGAUAUGCACAAGACAGCUUUCAGAACGCGUUAUGGACAUUAUGAGUAUAAAGUUAUGCCUUUCGGUGUUACAAAUGCACCUGGAGUAUUUAUGGAGUACAUGAAUCGCAUCUUUCAUGCAUUUUUGGAUCGGUUCGUGGUUGUUUUUAUUAAUGAUAUUUUGAUUUACUCCAAGUCUGAAGAAGAGCAUGCUGAGCAUUUGAAGCUGGUUUUGUAAGUGUUGAAAGAGAAGAAGCUUUAUGCGAAAUUGUCUAAGUGUGAAUUCUGGUUGAAAGAAGUGAGCUUUCUUGGACAUGUUAUUUGUGGUAGUGGUAUUGCAGUAGAUCUGUCUAAAGUUGAAGCAAUAUCGCAAUGGGAGACUCCUAAGUCGGUUACUGAGAUUAGAAGCUUUUUGGGAUUGGCUGGUUAUUACAGAAGAUUUAUAGAAGGAUUUUCCAAGUUAGCACUUCCGCUAACACAGUUGACUUGCAAAGGUAAAGCCUUUGUGUGGGAUGUUCAAUGUGAGAAUAGUUCCAGUGAAUUGAAGAAGCGGUUGACGACAACUCCAGUUUUGAUUUUGCCAAAGUCAGAUGAACCUUUUGUGGUAUAUUGUGAUGCGUCCAAGCUGGGUUUAUGUGGUGUGCUUAUGCAAGAUGGUAAAGUAGUAGCUUAUGCUUCGAGAUAGUUGAGAAUUCAUGAGAAGAAUUACCCUACGCACGAUUUAGAGUUGGCUGUUGUGGUCUUUGUAUUGAAGAUAUGGAGACAUUACUUGUAUGGUUCGAGAUUUGAGAUAUUUAGUGAUCAUAAGAGUUUGAAGUAUCUGUUUGAUCAGAAGGAAUUGAAUAUGAGGCAGCGUAUAUGGCUUGAAUUGUUGAAGGACUAUGAUUUUGAGUUGAGCUAUCAUCCAGGUAAAGCUAAUGUUGUUGCAGAUGCUUUGAGUAGGAAGACCUUGCAUAUGUCUGCCAUGAUGGUAAAGGAGUUCGAGUUGCUUGAACAAUUCAGAGAUUUGAGUUUAGUUUGUGAAAUGUUAUCUGAAAGUGUGAAGCUAGGAAUGCUGAAGAUUGAUAAUGAAUUCCUGAAGAGUAUUAAAGAAGCGCAAAAAGUUGAUGUUAAGUUUGUAGACUUGUUGGUUGCUAGUGAUCAGACUGAAGACAGUGACUUUAAAAUCGAUGAUCAAGGUGUGUUGAGGUUUCGAGGUAGGAUUUGUAUUCCAGACGAUGAUGAGAUGAAGAAAAUGAUUCUUGAAGAGAGUCAUAGAAGUAACUUGAGUAUUCAUCCGGGAGCUACGAAGAUGUAUCAUGAUCUAAAGAAGUUGUUUUGGUGGUCUGGAUUGAAACGCGAUGUUGCACAGUUUAUGUAUUCUUGUUUGAUUUUUCAGAAGUCGAAGGUUGAGCAUCAGAAACCUGCUGGUAUGAUGGUGUCUUUAGAUGUGCCAGAGUGGAAAUGGGAUAGUAUAUCCAUGGAUUUUGUGACGAGUUUGCCGAAUACUCCUAAAGGGAAUGACGCGAUUUGGGUGAUUGUUGAUAGAUUGACUAAGUCGGCUCAUUUUCUUAUGAUUAAUAUCAGUUUUCCUGUUUCUCAGUUGGCAGAGAUUUAUAUUCGAGAUAUUGUGAAGUUGCAUGGUGUUCCUUCGAGCAUUGUGUCAGAUAGAGAUCCAAGAUUUACUUCUAGAUUUUGGAAAAGUUUGCCAGAGGCUUUAGGUUAUAAGUUGAGGUUGAGUUCGGCGUAUCAUCCGCAAACUGAUGGUUAGUCGGAGAGGACGAUUCAGUCGUUAGAAGAUUUGUUGAGAGUUUGUGUACUUGAGGAAGGAGGAACUUGAGAUAGUCAUCUUCCAUUGAUAGAGUUCACGUACAAUAAUAGUUAUCAUUCUAGUAUUGGAAUGGCACCUUACGAGACUUUGUGUGGUCGGAGAUGCAGAACUCCGUUGUGUUGGUUUGAGUCAGGUGAAAGAGUAGUCUUAGGACCAGAGAUUGUUCAACAAAUUACUUAGAAGGUUAAGAUGAUUCAAGAGAAGAUGAAAGUUUCGGAGAGUCGACAAUAGAGUUACAAUGAUAAGCGUAGGACAGAUCUUGAGUUUCAAGAAGGAGACCACGUAUUUGUGAGAGUCACUCCUGUGACUGGUGUUGGACGAGCUUUGAAGUCAAAGAAGUUGACCCCGAGAUUUAUUGGUCCGAAUCAGAUAUCGGAAAGAGUUGGAACGAUGGCGUAUCAAGUGGGUUUACCACCGCAUCUUUCGAAUUUGCACUUUGUGUUUCAUGUGUCGCAACUUCGGAAGUAUGUAUCGGAUCCCUCCCAUGUGAUCCAAAGUGAUGAUGUGCAAGUUAGAGAUAACCUUACGGUUAAGACUUUACCGAUAAGGAUUGAUGAUCGAAAAGUGAAGACGUUCAGAGGCAAAGAGAUACCUCUUGUGAGAGUCGUUUGGGACAGAGCGACUUGUGAAAGCUUAAUGUGGGAGCUAGAGAGUAAGAUGCUGAAUCUUAUCCAUAGUUGUUUGCUUGAGGUAAAUUUUCGAGGACGAAAAUCUUAUAAGUUGGGGAGAGUUGUAACGCCCGUUUCGAAUUGUUUAAUUAUUUAAUUAUUUAAUUGAGUCUAGAAGUUAUUUAGAUUAGUUUAUAUUAUAUUUAUAUGAUAUAUGUGUGAUUUAAGAGGUUUAUAUGAUUGAGGUGGUUUUAUAUGAUUUUAUGAGGAGUUGUGACUUAUUUUGUUGUGUCGCGUCAUUUUUCGGAGAUCAAAGCUAUUUGAUUAGCUAUUUGACUCACUAAUUUAUUUCACGACUAAACAUUUAAUUUUUUAAGAAAAAGGGGAAAAAAGUUCAAAACACCCCAUAUUGAGAGAUUUAGGGUUCGGGGGUUGGUUAUAUUUAGGGAAGGUAUUAGCAUCCUAAAUAUUCGUAGUACUCUACGAGAACCUCUUGAUUUUAUUUAAUUAAUGUGCUAUAAACUUGCUUAUUAUUUUUGAAAAGAAAGAAUUAAAGUGGAAAAAUAAAAGACCUAAUUAUCUACAUUUUAUUGAUUUGGAAGGACAUGGUCCUCUGCCUACGUACCCGUGAGGGAUCAAAACCUCGUAGUUCGGGGUAGAAAAUGACGUUUUAUUUGUUUGGUAUUUUUUAUUUGUUUUGAAAAAAGGUUUUAAAAUGAAAAGCCAAGUGGCAAAUAAGAAUUUGUUUGUAUUUUUUAUAUUAAAAGAAAAUGACUAAAAAUAUGAUUAAAUUGGUUAAAGUUUGAUUAAGAAAAUAAAAUAAAAGACGGUCACUUGAUUUAAGAUCAAGGUUUGUUUAUGAAAAUAUUUUUGUGAUUUUUGAUUAUUUGCAUGUUUUUGUUGUUUUUUGGAAUAUUAAAUGAAAAUUAAACUAACGGAGCAAUAAAAAUAAAAGCGCGUGGAUUUUUGUAGUGACGUUGUAUCACCACAAAAUCCCUAAUCUAAUUUUUUUGAAUUUUUGGAUAUAUCUAAGGCGGUAAAGAAAUAAAAGGACACACACACCCACACACUUUUCUCAUUUAUAUUUACAUUGAACCUAAAUACAUUCUAAUUGCUGGAAAAUAGAUAACAAUAUAAUUAAAAUGCUAAAUAAAAUAAAAUAAAAAUGCUAAAAUGCUAAAAAGAAAUAAAAUGCAAGAAAAUAAAAUAAAUGGACAACCAAAGGGACAAAAAUUACCGAAGGAACAAAAUUUCGAAGGGACUUUCCGAAGGGACAGAAAAAAGGAGGAGAAGAAAAGAAUAGCUCGUCAACACAAGCUAAGAGGGAGAAGAGAGAAAAGUUCUUUGACAACUCAAUAGAACUUUUGGUGUCUGAAAUUGUGUGGAAUGAGAGCUCUAUUUAUAGGUGAGGAGGUUGAUGAAAAAUGGAAAAUUGGUUUAAUGGAAAUGAUGGACAAUUAUGGUGAAUUUUGAAAAAGGAAUGUCAAAGUUGACACUUGACUUGAAUUUUUUUUAGACGUUGGACAUUUUAUUCUUGGACCUAUUGACACUUUGUUUUUUUGGGACACUAAUUAAUUAAAAGAAAUAAAAUAAAAAUAAAAUAAAUCUAAUACGAAAUAAAAUAAAAAACAAAUUAAACUAAAUUAUGUAAAGAAAAAUAAAAUUAAAAGAUGGAAAAUAAAAAUUAUUAAAUAUAAAAAAUAGUAACUAACCUUAAAAUAAAAAUCAAUAAAAGAUGGAAAUUAGAUAAUGAAAUAAAAAGAUAAAAAAGAAAGAAAAGAGGGCCCGACUCGAAAUCAAAAUUGAGGUAUUUUAAAAUACCUCUCUGCCGAAUUUUCAUUGAAAAAUCAGAGAUCGAUCAGAGUCAAGUGACACGGCCUUAGGUAAAAAAUUGGGGUAUGACAGAUGCCCCUAUUUAAGUUUCUUCGUCAGGAGAUUUGAAGAUGAAAUCUUUGAUUUGACGAGUCGAAGAGACUUAAAUACAAAGUACACCAUUUUUGACCUAAGAUCCUACGGAUGCAUGUGAUGCAAUUUAUGAAUACAGGAUGAUUUGAUUUGAAUGAGAAAUAACAACGGGACACCCGAAUUCGUUGAAGAAAAAGGGGUCCAACUCCGCUAGGGGAAUGUAGUUUCACUAGGGAAAAUGAUUGUCUACUAUCGUAUUGAUAGCUUAACAGAGACGAUUGAUACUUUUACCUAACUAUCGAUGAGAUAGCUUAACAAAGGUAAGAAUGAAAGAAAAACUAUCGUCUAACUAUCGUUGAAAUGAUAGCUUAACAAAGACAAAUGAUACUUUUACCUAACUAUCGAUGAGAUAGCUUAACAAAGGUAAGAAUGAAAGAAAAACCAUCGUCUAACUACCGUUGAAAUGAUAGCUUAACAAAGACAAAUGAUACUUUUACCUAACUAUCGAUGAGAUAGCUUAACAAAGGUAAGAAUGAAAGAAAAACCAUCGUAUAACUAUCGUUGAAAUGAUAGCUUAACAAAGACAAAUGAUACUUUUACCUAACUAUCGAUGAGAUAGCUUAACAAAGGUAAGAAUGAAAGGAAAACCAUCGUCUAACUACCGUUGAAAUGAUAGCUUAACAAAGACAAAUGAUACUUUUACCUAACUAUCGAUGAGAUAGCUUAACAAAGGUAAGAAUGAGAGAAAAACCAUCGUCUAACUACCGUUGAAAUGAUAGCUUAACAAAGACAAAUGAUACGUUUACCUAACUAUCGAUGAGGUAGCUUAACAAAGGUAAGAAUGAAAGAAAAACUAUCGUCUAACUAUCGUUGAAAUGAUAGCUUAACAAAGACAAAUGAUAUUUUUACCUAACUAUCGAUGAGAUAGCUUAACAAAGGUGACGAGAUAAAACCGCAAGUGCACGGUCUUACCGAAGUAGUACAAAAGAGUAUCGUUCCGACAGGGAGUAGUUCAAUUUAAUUAACCUUUAGAGAUGAUUAGAAGAGAAAAGAGAUUUUAAAUUGGGGGUUUUAAACGGUUAAAAGCAAUAUAAUAAAAGAGCCUUGGGAUCGUUGGUUUUAUCUAAGUGACAAGUCCUUCUCAAACCAAAACCAUAAGCUUAUAAUGUUAUGUUAGACCUAAUUUCUCAAGACAGUUUCUCUUAAGUUCCUCUAGCAACCAAGCCUAUUUCGCUGACCUGAUUACUAUUGGAUUUUGGUUCCUCUAACAACCAAGCCUAUUUCGCUGACUUGAUUGUUAUUAGUUCCCUUGAAGAUCGAAACUAUAUGUCUCAAAGAUUGCAAAGCCUAUUUCGCUGACUUUGCAAUCCUUGUCUGAAUUCACUUGUUCGAAUAUCAAAGCUCCACUUUCGUUUUAUGAAUUGAUAUUUGGAAUAAUGGAUGAACAAUUAUCAAACCCUCCACUUUCGUUCCCACAGUUUGAUAAUGGUUAAUCCAUGUUAAGACGGUGAAUUCAGAUAAGAAAUUAGGGUUACAUAAGAUUAAGGCUUAGGGCUUGGUUUGAUUAGGAUUAUGUCAUUUAGACUUAUCCAACAAUCCCAAGACAAGAAGAAGUCUACUCACUCAUGUUCAUCGUAGACAUGGGGGAGAAGAGAGAAAGCAUGAAAGUAAAAGACAAUGAAAUAAAGGAAAAGAACUUUAUUUAGAAAAGCAAAUGUCACUUAUUGUAUUCCAAGUAAAGAUGAAUAUUAGUGAUGGCUAGCUACUCUAUUUAUAGUACACAAUUGACUUAAAAUCUAAGCAAGUAUAUUCCUAGAAUAUUCCUCGGUAGAUUGUGCGUCAAAAUAGAAUAGCUUGGAGUCAAAGCAAAAGCAGCAAAAGGCAUCUGGAGGGUGGCACGGCCGUGCCAAGGCUAGCACGGGCCGUGCCAAGCUUCUGACUUGUGGGAGAUAUAUUUUGUUUCCCAAUCUUCAUGUUUUUGUGUCCAAUCUGCUCCAAAUCCCUUUCUUUUGCUCCAAGACUCUCUCCAUCCAAUAUUCUUCCCUGAAAUAUAAUAAAUUGCAUUUUAAAGUAAACUAUCCUAAAAAGGAAAUAAUACUAAUAUAAAAUUAUAUAAAAUCUAAUUAAAACUAAACUAAAAAGCAUAUUAAAAUAACAUAUAAAUGAUUCAUCAAACUCCCCCAUACUUGAAUCUUUGCUUGUCCUCAAGCAAAAGGCAUAAACAUAGUAACAUCAACAGUUAAAUCAAAUGACAAUUAAUUAAAGCACAUGUCUCCUCAAGGGCUUAAAUCCCAAAAUGUACACUAAUCACAAACUCAAGUAUUUCUUGAAAUCUUUAUUCUACCCAACAAUCAAGUUUCAAGUGAGAGUGUGUGUGAAGUCCAACCCUUUUCUUGCUCCUGUAUAAAAUAGGUAUAAUGAGGAAACAUGGUCUAAUCUUAGCACUAAACUAACCAAGAAAAAUUCCUUCUACAAUUCAUAUAAAAGAGAUGGGAGUUUUUGAGAAUCUUUGUUCUUUUGCCAUAUGCACAUUUUAAGUUCUUUAUUUAAGGGACAACAUUUUCACGUAGGAGGUCGGAGGGCCUACCCCCUUCCCCAAUCUAGAUUCAAUGAUAUUCCUUAAAACAUCGUCUUCACGUAGGAAGUCGGAGGGCCUACCUCCUUCCCCAAUCUAGUUUCAACAAUGCUUUUAUCAGUUUUUCUCAAGAUAACAAUCACCUUCACGUAGGAAGUCGGAGGGCCUACCUCCUUCCCCAAUCUAGAUUCAGUGAUGAGAUCUUGGAAUUAUUUGGCUUUUUGGCUUUUUAUGAUCUCCCUUAUACUCACUUAUACUACUGGCGCUUUGAGAAUUUUUAAAGGUUAAUGCACCAUUAAGAUUAGAACGCGUUUCCUUAAAAUACCUAUUCAUACAUUUACUCAAGGGAAGCAACUUUGUGUUUUUCUCAUUGGAGAAUUUUAUUCACUUUGAAACAAGAUGUGGUUAUAUCAAGAAGACUUAAAACACAAGAGUUUGCUUUCAUGUACAAGAGUCAACAAAAUAAGAGGAGACAAUGAAAAUUUUUGUGUCAUGAUUUUUUUUUCAAUAAAAAUUAGCUACUUAACUAUGCCUUUUACAAUAAAACAGAACAAAAGAAUAAAGUUCAAGGGAGUUUGGAAAUACUACGACUACUGACACUUUAUUAGGCUCCCCCCACACUUAGGAGAAGCAUUGUCCUCAAUGAUUCAAGAUAAAAAGAAAAAUAACAGAGAAGUAGAGGUAGAAGAAGAAGAAGCAGAAGAAGAAGGAGAAGGAUAAGAAGGGAAGAGUGGAAGAGGAAAGCUCACAGUUUUAUCAUUGAGGUCCAUAUGGAGGACCUUGGAGGUGAAAGUGGUGCAUCAUGUUCCGAAGCAUUUGGUUAUUUUCUUCGGAUAUGCGGUUGCCCCUUUGGACAUCAUGCCUUAUGCUCAUGAGUUCAACACCUUGCCUUUGUUGCUCGGUGUUUAUUCUUUCAACCUCGGUAGUCAUCCAUUCCCAUCUCGCAUCUUCAUUUGUUUCAUCUUCAUUAGGGUCAUGGUAUUCCUCAUCAUGGUGCAGUUGUGCACCUUCCUCUUCUUGAUGCAAGUGUGCAUCCUCUGUUUCUUCAUUAUGCUGCUCUAUGUGCACCUGUGGGUCAUCUUCAACAUACAACAAAUUUGCUUCCACCUCGGUGUUAGUUCGAGAUGGGUUAGGCAAUAAAAUUAAGAUGGGCACAUUCAGUUGGAGUGUAUAGACAAAGGGGACUCGAGUUUUUAUGAAAUUCAUAGAGAUGAGAGUUUCUAUGUUUAGUCUAUUGUUACCCUCGAUCUUGUUUAUCCCUAGGUCUUCAUUCACACCGAAUCGCCCAGCUAUGUAUGUUAUAAUACCCCCCACUACUAUUUCUCCCCUACUAUCGGACCUAUUUCCUAUAAGGGAAAGGUAGUCAAGCAAGUAAAAACAAGUGUUAAUGGUUUGGUUGUGCAACAUAGCCCAAAGCAUGAAGAGUUCAUCAUUCCUAGUGUUCCCCAAUUCUUUCCGUCCCCUAAGGUACCUAAGUACGGGGUUGUGAAUGUUGCUAGCUUUGUUUGCACGUGUGUUAAAUUGGUCAAGACCGGUGAUUUGCUCCCAAAAGGCGGCGGGUUGAUAGUUAACCGGUUUUAAAUUUUGAUCCCAAGAGUCGUGGAUGAACCCCGCAUUGGCGAAGCCCAUCUCAUCACAGAAGUGUUGAAGAAACAUCUCAUAAUCAAUAUUCAAAAGCCGGAAAGAAACUCUAUGGUUAGGGUUAUCAAAGUUCAACCUAUAUUUCGUAAAAACAAUAGAACUUAAAAAUUCAUAGGUGAAGUUUUCAUACCCUCGCAUAGGUCUCAACAUAUCAACCCAUCCUAGCCUUUCUAGCAGUUUUAACACAUUAUCCUUAAUACCUAGCUUAUUCAUGUCAUGGUUAUCAGGGUACCUGCAAGGUUGUAGAGGUUUAGAGAUUAGAAGUUUGUACCUAUCCCUUUGCUUGUUGUCCCGGAAGAUGAUGCCAUGAUUUUUGGCUUGUGCCUUCUUCUUUGGGGGAGGUCCCCCGGAUGAGCUUGCAACUUCCUUUCCACUUCUCUUUGAAGUCAUUGCCCUGACCUUGCCUUUGGUGUGGUGGUUUGGUUAAGGGUUGUUUUGGUGGAAAAAGGUUGCACUAGCGUUGUGUUGAAGGUUUAUGUGAGUUUUUGAGGUUGGGUUAGGGAGGUUGGUGACAAAUUUAUGGUUUUUGGGUUAGGUUAUGGAGGGUUACGAAUUUGGGUGAUGUUGGUUGGGGUGGAUGAAAGUUGUUUUGGAAUGGUGGGUUAUGAUUGGAAUGGUGUUAGUGAUUGAUUGGGUGGAGAAAUUUUGUGAAUGGGUGUGAUUUGGGGGUAGUUGUGAAGGUUUGUAGUUGUAUGGUUAUGGAGGUUUGAGAGAGAAGGUGUGAAGUAGAGAGAAGUUUGUGUUGGAGAGUGAGGGAAGAAGAAGAUGAAAAGGUGGGUUUAUCCUUACCUGUAGUCGGGCACGGCCGUGCCAACCUUAGCACGGGCCGUGCCAACAUUCUGGACUUGGCUCUAUGUUUGGUUAUUGAAGAGAUGGCACGGCCGUGCCAGUGUGAGCACGGGCCGUGCCAAGGUUCUGGAGGGCUAGGCUUCAAAAUUUUCUGUUUUCUUGAAUUUUUUUCCGGACAAUAACCUACAAAAUAAUUAAAAGAAACAAAAACAAAAACAAAAGCAGUUAAAUGCGUGGGUUGCCUCCCACGAAGUGCUCGUUUAUUGUCAUUAGCUUGACGUUAGGAAAGUGUCCUUAGAAAGGAUCAAAGAGGUCAUAUUGUGUAGUUGACGCUAGAAAGCGUUCUUUCACAUUAUGUACUUCAAUCAUGUUACAAUAAUAAAGAGCGGGACCUUUCAUAACAUUUUCCAGCUCGAACCCAAUCAUUGCAUCACUUGCUUGAAAAACUAUCCUUCCACUCUGAACAUCUAUUAUAGCACCGGCAGUAGCUAGGAAGGGUCGUCCUAAGAUUAUCGGGACAUCAAGGUCCUCUUCUAUGUCGACCACUACAAAAUCAGUUGGGAUAUAUAUCCCUUCUAUCUUAACGGGUAUGUCCUCGAUGUAGCCAGCUAGGGGGAUAGUAGAACGGUCUGCUAGUUUUAAGAUCAUCUCGGUCGGUUUAAGCUCUCCUAUUCCCAUCCUUUUGAAGAGGGAUAAAGGCAGCAAACUUACACUAGCUCCUAAGUCACACAAGGCCUUGUCAACGGUUUCUUUUCCUAUCACACAAGGGAUGGCAAAACUACCUGGAUCUCUAAGCUUUUGGGGUUGCUUCUUGAUGAUUGCACCACUUUCCCAAGUUAAAGCUACUGUCUCCUUAUGAUCUAUAGCCUUUUUCUUUGAAAAAAUUCCUUUUAAAAAUUUGGCGUAUAGAGGCAUACGAGAUAGGGCUUCAACAAAGGGGGUCUGAAUGCAAAUCUUUUUAAGUAUGUUUAAGAAUUUAGCAAACUGGGCCUCCAAGUUAAGCUUAGUGAGCCUUAAUGUAUUAAGAGUCUUAUUCUUAUCAAGUGGUGUUUUUAUCGCAUCCUUCUUACCUAGAGACUUAACACUCUCCCCCUUGACACCUUUGGCUUUGGUAAUGGUCUCUUCUAACUUAUUGCCCCCAAGAGAAAUGGCAUUGACAUGGGCCUUGGGGUUUGUUUCAGUUUGUCCAGGAAAGACUCCUGGUGUUUGUGAAGAGGUGGCCACUUGUUGGGCUAGUUGGGAGAUUUGGGUUUCAAGGAUUUUGGUGUGUGUGGCGAUGGAAUCAACCUUGGUAUUGAGCUUGGAGAGAGAGUCGUUCAGAGAUCCUGUUUGGUUUUUUAGCUCUUGAAGUUGUUUAUUUUGAUUCAUCAUGCAAUUUUCCAACAUUAUUUCCAAACUAGAUUUCUGAGCUACUCUCUGGUUGUUUGUAUAGCCAGGUGGUGCUGUUUGCCCAUAGGAACUUUGAGGAUUUUUGUAAAAAUUUUGGUUUGGCCUCAUUCCUUGGUUGUAUUGAGCGUAAUUUAGUUGCUCAAUAUUGGCAGCACUACCUAACUGACAAUCAACACCUGUAUGACCAGUUAUACCACAGACUUCACAAGUAGGGGAUGCGGGAGAAGGUGAGGCAGCAUUAACAUUAAGUUUUUCAAUUUUUUGUGUUAAUGCCUCAACCUUAGCAGCAAGGUGGUUAUAUUCAGAGACUUCGUAUAUACCUGCCUCUUUCUUAGAGGGAGUAGGAGUGGUGACGGCUCUUUCGUUGGUCCAUUGAUAGUGAUUUUGAGCCAUGUCCUCAAUUAAAGCGUAAGCCUCCGUGUAGUUUUUGUUCAUUAGGGCUCCACCUGCAGCUGCAUCAACAGACAUUUUAGUGGUAUAUGUCAAGCCAUUAUAAAACGUGUGGACUAUAAGCCACUUCUCUAGGCCAUGGUGGGGACAAAGUCUAAGCAUUUCCUUGAAACGCUCCCACGCCUCAUAGAGAGAUUCCCCAUCUUUUUGAUUGAAACGUGUAAUUUGGUCUCUAAGCUUAGCUGUUUUAGAUGGGGGAAAGAAUCGGGCGAGGAAUGCUCGCCUCAUAUCGUCCCAUGAAGUAAUGGAACCGACUUAUAGGGAAUGGAACCAAGCGCUAGCUCUAUCCUUUAAGGAAAAGGGAAAGAGAUGAAGUCUUACGGCUUCUUGGUUCUCUUUUAUGGUGCCAUUGAGUCUAAGGAAGGAAGAAAUAUGGAGAUUUGGAUCCUCAGUGGGUGAUCCAGAAAACUGGUUUUGCUGCACUAAAUUGAGUAGUGCAGGCUUGAUUUCGAAGUUAUUACCCGCAACCAUUGGGUACACGAUAAUAGCUUGUGGCUCUUCCGUUGAAGGAGUAGCAUACUCUUUGAGAGUACGUUCAGCCAUAGCGGUAUUAUUUUGUGCCUCUCUCUUUUUCUUAUGCAAAAACCUUUCGAUCUCAGGAAUAAAUUCUCCGAGACUUUUACUUCUUCGCAUAAGAAACCGAGAACCCAAGAAGUUAGUGGUAAAAACAAAAGAAAGAAAAGUAGAAGAGAAGAGGAAGAGGAAAGAGAAGAGAGUUCUAAUCACAAAGAAAGAGUUAAUUAAAUUAGUUUACUCCCCGGCAGCGGCGCCAAAAACUUGAUGAGAUAAAACCGCAAGUGCACGGUCUUACCGAAGUAGUACAAAAGAGUAUCGUUCCGAUAGGGAGUAGUUCAAUUUAAUUAACCUUUAGAGAUGAUUAGAAGAGAAAAGAGAUUGUAAAUUGGGGGUUUUAAACGGUUAAAAGCAAUAUAAUAAAAGAGCCUUGGGAUCGUUGGUUUCAUCUAAGUGACAAGUCCUUCUCAAACCAAAACCAUAAGCUUAUAAUGUUAUGUUAGACCUAAUUUCUCAAGACAGUUUCUCUUAAGUUCCUCUAGAAACCAAGCCUAUUUCGCUGACCUGAUUACUAUUGGAUUUUGGUUCCUCUAACAACCAAGCCUAUUUCGCUGACUUGAUUGUUAUUAGUUCCCUUGAAGAUCAAAACUAUAUGUCUCAAAGAUUGCAAAGCCUAUUUCGCUGACUUUGCAAUCCUUGUCUGAAUUCACUUGUUCGAAUAUCAAAGCUCCACUUUCGUUUUAUGAAUUGAUAUUUGGAAUAAUGGACGAACAAUUAUCAAACCCUCCACUUUCGUUUCCACAGUUUGAUAAUGGUUAAUCCAUGUUAAGACGGUGAAUUCAGAUAAGAAAUUAGGGUUACAUAAGAUUAAGGCUUAGGGCUUGGUUUGAUUAGGAUUAUGUCAUUUAGACUUAUCCAACAAUCCCAAGACAAGAAGAAGUCUACUCACUCAUGUUCAUCGUAGACAUGGGGGAGAAGAGAGAAAGCAUGAAAGUAAAAGACAAUGAAAUAAAGGAAAAGAACUUUAUUUAGAAAAGCAAAUGUCACUUAUUGUAUUCCAAGUAAAGAUGAAUAUUAGUGAUGGCUAGCUACUCUAUUUAUAGUACACAAUUGACUUAAAAUCUAAGCAAGUAUAUUCCUAGAAUAUUCCUCGGUAGAUUGUGCGCCAAAAUAGAAUAGCUUGGAGUCAAAGCAAAAGCAGCAAAAGGCAUCUGGAGGGUGGCACGGCCGUGCCAAGGCUAGCACGGGCCGUGCCCAAGCUUCUGACUUGUGGGAGAUAUAUUUUGUUUCCCAAUCUUCAUGUUUUUGUGUCCAAUCUGCUCCAAAUCCCUUUCUUUUGCUCCAAGACUCUCUCCAUCCAAUAUUCUUCCCUGAAAUAUAAUAAAUUGCAUUUUAAAGUAAACUAUCCUAAAAAGGAAAUAAUACUAAUAUAAAAUUAUAUAAAAUCUAAUUAAAACUAAACUAAAAAGCAUAUUAAAAUAACAUAUAAAUGACUCAUCAAAAGGUAAGAAUGAAAGAAAAACCAUCGUCUAACUACCGUUGAAAUGAUAGCUUAACAAAGACAAAUGAUACUUUUACCUAACUAUCGAUGAGAUAGAUUAACAAAGGUAAGAAUGAGAGAAAAACCAUCGUCUAACUAUCGGUGAAAUAUGAUAGCUUAACAUAGACAAAUGAUACUUUUACCUAACUAUCGAUGAGAUAGCUUAACAAAGGUAAGAAUGAAAGGACAACUUGGUCAGUCACACUAGGGAUGACACUAUUAAGAGUUGAAAUUGACUGGUGACACCACUUGCACAACUACCGCUGGGGAUGACACUUUUUGAAUUUGAAAUUGAAAUUUGAUUAGUGUAAUGACUAGCACGGCUUCACGCCGGGGAUGACACUUUGACAAUAAGAAGGUAAAUGGAAGAGGCUUAUUUGUAGAAACUUGCGGCUUGACAUAAUGGUAAGUUAAGACUGAACCGAAAAGACACGCCCGAAUCGAGAUUCUGGACGACUGAUGCAAUUAUGUGUGAAUUGAUGUUGUGCAUAUGAUGUGUACGUAUAAAUGUAUGAACAUGUGAAAAUAUUGAUGAAUGCAUGAUUGUAUGAAUGCAUGGAUGUGUGAAUAUGCAAAUGUGCAAUUGCUUGACUGUAUAGACUUUAUAUGACAUGUGACUUGAUGAGACGAGACAAGACAGGUAAGAUGGGAGGCGGACUGACAUCGCAGUACAAACACUCGGCAAAUUUCCUUGGUGAUGAUACUAUUGUGAACAAAUCAAUCCGUUGACAGUGUAAGAUCCGGCACAGGGCAACAACUGAUGCCUCUUGGGGGUAAAGCCCAUUGUUGAUAAAAGGUAUAAAUGAAGUCGCCACAUGUGAACCGGCACAGAGUGUCCUUCCAUUGGUAUGCUUCAGUAGUCAUGCUUUUUGUUUUAUAUUUUUUUUUUUAAAAUCCCUAACUUUUGCCUAGACCGCCCUUUCGGGUUUUCAGUCCAUCGGGAAUAUAUUCUUUUUUUCUGCCCCUAAUUUUUGCCUGGACCGCCCUUUCGGGUUUUCAGUCCACCGGGACGCUCUCUAUUGCCUAAGCCGCCUUUUCAGGUUUUCCAACUUAGCGAGCUUUGAUUUAUUUUAUUUUUUUUUGGACUGUGAUAGCAUCUUGCUCAAGGCAGAGGUCCUUUCCAUAGUGCUUAGCCAUGUUCUCUUCCGGAGUGUAACCGUUCUCGAGGAGAAUGUUGAGGUACGGUUCACCUACUCCUGAGUUCAAAGUGAGUGCGUUUGUUGUUCACACUUUUCAAAAGAUGUAAAAUAAGUUUUUGUAUUUUGAAAAUUUUUGCUUUAAGUAUUGCCAUCAAAAAUAGAAGAAAUUAUGCAAAUAGAAUAAAUGAGAGUUCCAAAUUUGAUGAAUUGAGUGGUGACCUGCCAAGGGCAUGGCUCCACAGAUUUUUGAAAAUUUUGGAAAAAUGGUAAAUUUAAUGGGAAGGGUACAUUGAACACAAAUAACCGUUAUUCUCCCUAACAACUUUGAAUGCCCCUGUUCCGAGUCUUUGAUGUGCAGAUGCUUCGAAUCGGAGGUCUUUUGAUAGCUAGAUGCCCCAAGUGGAUUGUGCCUGACCGGAUGCAGUUACCUUGUCUUUUGAUCCUUAACUUUUGCAUAGAUCGCCCUUUCGGGUUUUCAAUCUAUCAGGAUAAUAUUUUUUGGUCAUGUCUCUAACUUUUGCCUGGACCGCCCUUUUGGGUUUUCAGUCCACCGAGACGCUCAUUUUUGCCUAAGCCGCCUUUUCGGGUUUGCGACUUAUCGAGCUUUUAUGUUUGACAGAGUAUUUCUUGACUGCACCGGCAUUCAUAGGAAGUACAAGUUUGUCACCAUCCAUAGUUGUAAAAUUCAUUGCGCAUGAGCCUUCAUAGUUAGGCGUCCACUUGCUCCUGGAGUCUGGUUGGAAAGGUAGCACCUUUUUGGGCACAAAGUCUCUUUCUUGAAUUUUGCGGGGACGAACCUUCUUGUUGGAAGUUUGUUUCAACCUCUUUUGACAUGGUUGUACAAGGUCGUCAUGCAUUUUAAGUUCAAUCAAGCUUAGACUUCGGCAAAACUCCUAUUGUCGGGACUUCGACCUCCACAUGAAGCAUGGCCUUCAUGACGUAUGUUUAGGAAAUAGGGGGUUGCCCCUGUUGAAGUGUGUACUAAUGGACAAUACUCAUGAAGUGCAAGUGGUAGCAUCUCGUGCCAGUCUUUGUAAAUGAAGGAAAUCGUUUGGGCAAUCUUCUUUGAUAUUUUGUUUGCAGCUUUGACAGCUAAGAUGCCCCAGUAUGCGAGAGAUCUCAUCGGGAGUCUCUUCAUUCUUUUCUUCAGCUUCGGAUACAAGGAACUCGAAGUUGGAAGAGAGUACAUGUUUAUUGCGUUCAACGGGUUUAUUAAUGCAUAAAUUGAUUAUUGAUUUUGACAAGUAAGUACAAGUUAUGAUUAAGCAGAUAUAUGAGAAUGAUUAAAGAAAGAAUUUUUUUUGGUUUUUUGUAUUACCAUUUUUCCAAGAAAAAGCACAAAUUUAAAAAAAAAAAAAAAAAAAGUCGAGAUCAAGACGACCUUUUUAUUAAUGAUGACAAAUCUUAAAGCAAAAAACCCUACACAAGAUCACUUUCAUCUCGGGCGGGAUGAAAGGAUGUUUUUUUUUUGAAAAGCGAAAAGCAACAAACAAACAUUAAUUGAACAAAAAGUAGCGGAAGGAAUGUCAAUAGUGUUGUUACCUCUUCACGAAUGCUCGUGGAUUUCUUGUUCAAACUAAUAUGUUUUCUUUUUUGUUUGCACGAGUGUUGUAGGUGCGAGUUGACUUUGGACGAGGACAGUUGGGACACCUUUGAGAUGGAUUGACCUUUAGUAGAAAAGGCACAGUGUAAGACUCAGACUUGAAAUUAUGUAUGCAAAAUGAUGCAUCCUAUGCUUAUGCAAAAAUAGACACAUUUUUUUUGAAGGACUUGUCAAAGUAAUUGUAAACUUGAUAAGGAACAUUGUUUUAUCUAGAAAUUGUGAAGAUGUUGCAAUUGGUUCCCUUUUCAAAAGUAAGAACGAAACCAAGGAAAAAAUUCUUAACAAAAGCUAAAGCUUAGUUAAGGUUUUUGAAGUUGUAGGUAUUCCUUCUUACAAGGACCAUAUCUUUGAUGUUUACAAGAACUUAUCUAAGUCCUUCGAUAUUAGUGAGAAAAAGUUUUUAUGAAUGAAUGCAUGUUUAUGGAAUGCAUGGUGAGGUUAAGUCCACAGUGUUGGAGUCAAAGGUAACAACGCCAUUUGGUAAGGACUAUGGUUUUAUUUGUACCUGUAUUUCGGGUUCUACCAAGUUCCCAAAGUCUACAACCACUUCCAAAUAUUAUCAGGUUACAAGAUUACUCUUGAUCCAAUAUCAUUUGUAGGAAAGUCUCGUUUGAGUGUAGUCUCGCGUAUCAACUAAUUCAUGAUUACUCUUGAUUAGCCACCGCACUACGUCCUAAAAGGCCAAGAUGGGUUAAAGUUAACUAAAGGUCCUCAACUUCGACGUUUACUUGAAAAUAAUAGUGUCAAACAUGAUUACUCAUGUCAACAAAGUAUUACUUCCAAGAGCCUCCAUUGAGCGGGAUUAUCACAUGUACCAACACUCAAGAUUACUCUUGGAAUGGCACUUUGAUUAUAUCACCAUCCUAUCUCAAUGUUCCCUCAAGCUCGGGUGUUGGACUUAUCUCACCACUCACGUUUAAGAAAGAGAAAGAAGAAGGAAGAACAUAUAUACACGGUUUUCCAUCUUUUAUUUUUUUGAUUUUAAGCAAGUUAUAGCACAAAAUUUAAAUAAAGCCAAGUUAGGCUUAACCCUCUUAGGGGAUCCCCAGCGGAGUCGCCAUUUCUGUCGCGUCAUUUUUCUUAAGAAAAAGGGGAAAAAAGUUCAAAACACCCCAUAUUGAGAGAUUUAGGGUUCGGGGGUUGGUUAUAUUUAGGGAAGGUAUUAGCACCCUAAAUAUUCGUAGUACUCUACGAGAAUCUCUUGAUUUUAUUUAAUUAAUGUGCUAUAAACUUGCUUAUUAUUUUUGAAAAGAAAGAAUUAAAGUGGAAAAAUAAAAGACCUAAUUAUCUACAUUUUAUUGAUUUGGAAGGACAUGGUCCUCUGCCUACGCACCCGUGAGGGAUCAAAACCUCGUAGUUCGGGGUAGAAAAUGACGUUUGAUUUGUUUGGUGUUUUUUAUUUGUUUUGAAAAAAGGUUUUAAAAUGAAAAGCCAAGUGGCAAAUAAGAAUUUGUUUGUAUUUUUUAUAUUAAAAGAAAAUGACUCAAAAUAUGAUUAAAUUGGUUAAAGUUUGAUUAAGAAAAUAAAAUAAAAGACGGUCACUUGAUUUAAGAUCAAGGUUUGUUAUGAAAAUAUUUUUGUGAUUUUUGAUUAUUUUCAUGUUUUUGUUGUUUUUUGGAAUAUUAAAUGAAAAUUAAACUAACGGAGCAAUAAAAAUAAAAGCGCGUGGAUUUUUGUAGUGACGUUGGAUCACCACAAAAUCCCUAAUCUAAUUUUUUUGCAUUUUUGGAUAUAUCUAAGGCGGUAAAGAAAUAAAAGGACACACACACCCACACACUUUUCUCAUUUAUAUUUACAUUGAACCAAAAUACAUUCUAAUUGCUGGAAAAUAGAUAACAAUAAUUAAAAUGCUAAAUAAAAUAAAAUAAAAAUGCUAAAAUGCUAAAAAGAAAUAAAAUGCAAGAAAAUAAAAGAAAUAGACAACCAAAGGGACAAAAAUUACCGAAGGAACAAAAUUCCGAAGGGACUUUCCGAAGGGACAGAAAAAAGGAGGAGAAGUAAAGAAUAGCUCGUCAACACAAGCUAAGAGGGAGAAGAGAGAAAAGUUCUUUGACAACUCAAUAGAACUUUUGGUGUGUGAAAUUGUGUGGAAUGAGGGCUCUAUUUAUAGGUGAGGAGGUUGAUGAAAAAUGGAAAAUUGGUUUAAUGGAAAUGAUGGACAAUUAUGGUGAAUUUUGAAAAUGGAAUGUCAAAGUUGACACUUGACUUGAAUUUUUUUUAGACCUUGGACAUUUUAUUCUUGGACCUAUUGACACUUUGUUUUUUUGGAACACUAAUUAAUUAAAAGAAAUAAAAUAAAAAUAAAAUAAAUCUAAUACGAAAUAAAAUAAAAAACAAAUUAAACUAAAUUAUGUAAAGAAAAAUAAAAUUAAAAGAUGGAAAAUAAAAAUUAUUAAAUAUAAAAAAUAGUAACUAACCUUAAAAUAAAUAUCAAUAAAAGAUGGAAAUUAGAUAAUGAAAUAAAAAGAUAAAAAAGAAAGAAAAGAGGGCCCGACUUGAAAUCAAAAUUGAGGUAUUUUAAAAUACCUCUCUGCCGAAUUUUCACUGAAAAAUCAGAGAUCGAUCAGAGUCAAGUGACACGUGUCAGUGGGGCAUUAGGUCAAAAAUUGGGGUAUGACAUGUUGUUUAAUAAAAUAAGAUUUGAAAAUAAAAUAAAUAUUGAGUUUAGGGGUUGUUUUGAGAUUUUAGAGAGUUUUGGGGGAGAAAGAGAAAUAAGAUAAGAUAGUUGGAGGAGAUAUAAAUAGGGAAACCUAGUUUAGAAAAACAGUUGUACGUACGAUCAGUUUUUGGAGAAAAGGGAGAAAAAGCCAAGAGAAGAGCAAGAGAGACGUAGGGAUGCGAUUUUCAUCUACAAGGUAAUGGUGAGACUAACUUUGCAAUUCUAUUAAGUCUGUGAAUCAACGGUUACAUUUAACAUGAAUUAGGAUGAGUUUAAGAGGAAUCGGAAAUUAGGUCAAAUUGAUGAUUAAACAGUGAAAAGAUGUUAGAUUGAUGUAGAAAUUGUUCCUAGACCUUAGAUAAUGAUUAUGAUGAAUUCUGGAAUCGAAGUUAGGCUUUAAACCAUGAGAAUUAGUGAUUUUUAUGAAAAACUGCACUUCUGCUUGUAGGGACAUUCAUCCCUCGCCUCCCGAGCUAUGAUCCUCGCCACGGCAAGUGAUGAACUUCAUCGCUCGCCUCGCGAGCAACCUUUCCCCGCCUCGCGAGUUGCACGUCGCAGCUCGCCAUAGCGAGAAGAUGAACUCGCCUAGCGAGCUUGACCAGAGAGCAUGCAAGAUUUCGUGAUUUUGACUUUUGAGUUGAUCCUUAGAUGCUUUUGAGUGCCUGAACAUGUCUAAUAAUGAUUAGGAAAGAAUGUAGGAUGAGAUUGAACCUGGAAAGAUUGUAGAAUGAAACUUGUGGGAUUCUGACCUAAACUCGCCACGGCAAGCAAAGGCUCUCGCCUCGCGAGUAACCUAGAAACAGAGUGUCCUGUUAGGUUUUGUGACCUUUGUUGCACAAGUUGCCGAGAGUUGAACCUUGGGGUAGUAUAAAGACUUAAUGAUGAUGUUAAUCAUAAUCUGUGAAGCUGUUUAAGAUGUGUUGAUGUUGAUUAUGUUGUGAUAUAAUGUUGCGUGCAUUACUUGAAGUAUAAUUGAAUAUUUAAGAUGAUGUUGACUUGCAAUUGAUAUUAUUAUGUCAAGCUGUUUUUGUAUAUUGCCUAUGUUUUUGUUGUUAUUUAACUAAGCUGCAUGAGUCAGUCUAAGUUGAUGAAGAUGAUGAUGUUCCAAAUUAUUGGAUUAUAUAAGAGGUAGUCGAAUUAAGAUGUUUAAGAGGUCGAGUCCAUGCAUUAGCAUUUCAUUGUUGGGGGCUUGAUACCUUGGAGCUUUGUACUCAACACGUUGGAGCUUUAGCUCAAUUAGCGAUGGGGGCUUGAUGCCUUGGAAGUAUAUUAAUACUCAAAUAGCGAUGGGGGCUUGAUGCCCUGUAUUGGUACCACAUGCAUAUAAGAGGUCUAAGUUGCAUAGUUGCAUUUGUCGAGUUGAUGAUGAUAAGAUGUGAAGUUGUGAUUACUUAUAUGAAUAGUUAACGAAGUGAUUUAUGAUAUAUUAUUAUCUAUGAUGAAUAAUAAGAUGUUUUUAUGUUGUUAAAUAUAAUUGUUGAAUUAUAUGCUUAAUAUUAUUGUUUUGUGAAAUCUCACCCCUUCUGCUUGGAAAUGUUGCUCUUCGUAUGAGUAACUUGCAGGUGAUCAAGAGUAGGUUGCUGUGUUUGCUGUCGUGAGUGGCCUUUUCUCACGGAGUCUUAGGUUGCUCUGAUACGUAACGGGAGGGGAUCUUUAGUGGCUAUUUCUCUUUCCUUUGCGUAUAUGCUAUGUUUUCAUGUUGUUUAACUGAAUUUAUGAGAUGAUUAUUAUGAGGCCUGCGUGCCAAGACUUUAUUAAUGAUGAUGAACUUAUCCGCUACGAGUUUUGAAAUAACUAUGUUGAAAGAUAAUUUGUUAAUUAUCUCAUUUAUGAUUUUAAGAAGUGUGAUAUCCCAUUUCAUGACGUUUUACUCUGAAAUUUGAAAUGAAAGUUUUAUGUUGGGAAAACGGGGUGUUACACUUGGCUUGUGAAUGAUUUGUCGCCUAUGACGGACCAACGAUCCCAAGGCUCUCUUUUUAUUAUUAUUUUCUCUUUUAAUCAUUUGAAAACAACAAUCUUGCAACUUAAUUCUUUUCUAAUCACCAACUAAAGUUAAUUGAAUUAAACAACUCUCUGUCGGAACGAUACUCUUUUCAUUACUACUUCGGUAAGACCGUGCACUUGCUGUAACACCCCAUUUUUCCAACAUAAAAAUUUCGCAUAAAUAAUAAGAGUUUUUCAACAUAAACGGAAUGUCACAUUCUUUUCUUAAAAUCAUAAACUGAAUAAAUAACUAUUUAUCAUUUAAAAAUUCAAAUACAAGAUAUUUAAUACUUCGCAGCGGAAUUUAUUCAAUAACUAAAACAGUCUUUGGCACGAAGGCCUCUUCGUAAAUGUCUCAUAAAAAUCCAAUCUAAAAACAUAGUCAUAAAUCUUCAAAAACAAUACGUAAGGAAUAGAAAAGCAAUAACAAAAGAUCUCAUUCCGUUAUAUAUCAGAGCACCUAAGACACACGAGAAGGAAAGUUCACACGACAUCAACUAUUCUUGGUUACCUGUUAGUUACCCAUGGUGGGCAAACAGAAGGGGUGAGAUUUCACAAACAAUAAUAUUAAGCAUAUAAUUCAUCAAUUACAUUUAACAACAUAAGCAUCAUCAAUCAUAUUUAACAACUCAUAGACAACAUCAUAUAAUCAUCAUAAUAUUCAUCAUAGAGAAUAAUAUAUCAUAAUUCACUUCUUUAAUAGUUCAUAUAAAGAAUCACAGCUUUAAACAAUUUCAUGAUUUAACAACUUAACAACUCGACAACUUGAUAACUUGACAACUUGACAACUUAACCUCUUGACUAUGCAACUUAAUCUUCUAAUCAUGCAUGUGGUACCAAUCUUUGAGCGUAAAUAGGCUCCAGGGCAUCAAGCCCUCAACUUUAUUUGAGCAAAGGCUCCCCCCCCCCCCCCCCAACAAUGAAAUGCUAAUGCAUGGACUCGACCUCUUAAACAUCUUAAAUCGACAACCUCUCAUAUAAUCCAAUAAUUUGGAAAUUCAUCAUCUUAAUCAACUUAGACCGACUCAUGCAGCUUAGUUAAAUAACAACAGCAACACAGCAGUAUACAAAAACAGCAUGACAUAAUAAUAUCAAAUGCAAGUCAACAACGUCUCAAUUAUUCACACAUAAUUCAAGUAAUGCAUAUACAAUUAUAUCACAAUAUAACAACAUCAAAUCAUAAUCAACAUCUUAAAACAUCAUAUAUACAUAUAACACUUCAUCAAUCAUGGACAAUAUCAUAUUCACAACAUAUACAUACAUAUACUAAUUCAUCAAUCAUAUUCAAUUAUUCACUGUGACCUAUGUGCAGUAAUUUGACCAUAACUCAAAUUCUAUAAAUUCUUUUGAAGUCAAACCAACGGCAUUAGAAAGCUAACAUUCAUACCUACAACUUUCCUACUUACACCUAAGACCAAUUCUGUACCAAUUAAUACCAUUUUUCAUUUCAAAUUCGGACAAAGUUGUGCUGAAAUUCAUAAAAAUUCACUGUGACCUACAUGCAGUAAUUUGACCAUAACUCAUAAACCAAAUAUCAUUUUCAAGUCAAACUGACGCCAGUGGAAAGCUAACACAAUUAUCUACAACUUUCAUGUUUACACCAAAGGGUAAUUCAAAACAGAAACGUGUGAAAAAUACUCAAGCAUAUGAAACAGGACAUGCUGUCAGACAGCAACUCGGGAAAAAACACACUUUUCACCCCAAAAUCCCAAUUUUAACUUCCCUAUGCCCAAAUUUGAUCCCAAAGUUUGUCUAAACAUUUAUAUACAUCAAAAGAGACUCAAAACCAUAUAAAACUUGACCCAAAAUAUUAUUUUAGAAAAUCAUCAAAUAAUCACUUUUAACCCUAAUUCCCAAAUUCUCAAAAACUAAAACCUACAACAUGUUAAAUACAAUUUUCAGAAUCAUAGACUCAAGAUUAUUGAAUGUUAGUCCCACCCUUACCUUAUAGAUGAAAAUCGCAGCACUCCUAGGUCUUCUCCCACCUCUCGGCUUUUUCUCCCUUUUCUCCAAAAUUGAUCGUACGUUAUGUUUUUUCUAAACUACGUUUCUCCUAUUUAUAACCCUUUUUUCUAUUUUAUCUUAUUUCUCUCUCUCCCCCAAAACUCUAAAAUCUCAUAACAAACUCUCAACUCAAUCUUAUUUCUAUUUUCAAAUCUUAAUAUAUUAAAUAACAAUAAAAGCCACUUAAUAAAUCACAUAAUCAAAUAAAUAUAUUUUAAACUCUUCUUAAUAAAUUUUAGACUCAAUUAAAUAAUUAAAUAAAUCAAAUAAUUCAAAGAGGGUGUUACACUUGCGGUUUUAUCCCAUCGAUUUUACACAAUAUUAGUAAUGUCACCUCCUAAGUACUUACGACUAGUUACUAACUAAAUACUUCCUAGAUAGUCAGAAAUAAAUAUCAAGAUAUAAGUAUCAAUAUUGGGGCUGACUCAUUGCCAAAGUGCCUAAACUGGGGUUGCGCUCCAAAGCAAAUAAAUCUAAAUAGCGAACAAAAAUAAAAAUAAAUAAUGAUCACUAAAAUAAAUCAUUAUCCAACAAAAUAAAUAGAGGUUCAUCUUAGAAAGACACAUCGUAAUUAAAGACAAAUUAUAAAAAGAUAAACACAUACCAUAGAAGAAGAUAGAAAAAAAUCCUCCGGAAUCUCCUAGAAUCGCCUACCUCUUGAACUGCUCCAGUUCUGAACGAGAAAUUAUGAAUGAGGAAGGAGGUAUUUACAGGGAAAGUUUCAACCUGAACUUGGGCUGAAAACGCGGGCUUUCUACCACAAAAAGUCAAAAAUUAUGACUUUUUUCGCAAGCAACCUGACGCCUAACGCACCUGCUAAUGCGCCAGCUGCAUGUGAGAGAGCUGCCAUGCGCCUAGUGUAAUAGCCUGUUUUUCGCGAGGAUUAUUUUAUUUAUUUAUUAUAUGUGUUUAUAUGUGUUUAAUUGCUUUUUUGUGUGUUUGUCUUAGGAUCAGUGGAAUUUUAGACGAGAAGGAUAUUUUAGACAUUUUUAGCUCCAAGGAUAUUUUGGUAAUUAGAUGAGUAAGGGUAAAUUAGUAAUUUCAGAAGGGAGUUUAUUUUAGAGUGUUUUGAUGUGAAUAGUUAAAUGAGAUGUUUUAAGAGUCAAGGGAGUAUUAACUUUUAAUUGAGUGAUAAAAGUUUAAAGGAUCAUUAUGAAUUGUAGUAACCUAGCCAAUUGAAUAGGAUAAUAAAAAGAUAACUCAUGAGGAUAAUUAAAGUUACACUCAUUUCAUUCACUCACACAAAGUGGCUAUAAAAGCUUAAAUGGAAUUGAGAGAGAAGUGAAAAAAGAAGAUAGAGUUGGAGAACCCAAGUGAAGAUGAGAGCUAGGAUUCACUAGAGGAUUAAGGAUUUUGGUGGAUUAGCUAAUCAUUAUAGGAAACAAGGUAAGGGAGAUAAGUUUGUUUUACUUAAUAAUCUACUGUAUCCGUUCCUUUUUAAUUGUCACUUUUUAACAUUUUACAUAAACCAAGAUAUUCAAUAAAUGAUACUACUUUUGAUACAAUAAUGUAUACUUUUACUAUAAUAGCCUUAUUCAUUUAAUAAUUUAUUUAAUAUAUUUUUCUCUCCACAAUAAAUAAGUAAGGAUAAUAUUGGUAAAACAACAUUUAAUGUUGCAUUGAACUUUGAAAGUGACAGUUAAAUAGAAACAAAAAAAUUCUUCAAAAGAGACACUUAAAAAGGAAAGGAAGGAGUAUAAUCUUGUUUUCUAGCUUAUGAGUCAUAAUCGUUUUGUUUAAAUUGUGAAAAUUGAUGAUUAUAUGUGUGAUUUUCGCGCUUGGAAUUAAAUGGUGAAUUUCGGUAUGUGAUUGUUGUUGAAAACUUGUUGAUGCAUAAAUUUCAUUUUAAAUAUAUGUUAAGUUGUUUACUUUGAAAAUUUAAAUUGGUGAAAAUGAUGAUGUUGUUGUUGAUUAAUGAUGAAUUCAUGAAUUAUGUGCUAUGAAUGUUGUUGGGUAUAUGUAUAUGUUCUGAAUCCAUGAAUUUGAUGAUGAUAAAUGUCAUGUUGUGCUAAGUUGUUGUGUUUUAGUGACUUUUGAGAAAAUGGGUCAAAAAGGAGAAGUUUGAUUUUGAUGAAUUUGAGUGGAUUAAUGGAGUGGUUAUGAUGAAUUGAGUUGAGUGAAUUUUCUGUUUUGAAAGGUUAUGUUUUGGUAAGGAAUCAUUUGGGUGAAAACUGGUUUUUUGAGUAAAAAGACAUUUAAACACUUUUGUGAAAUAAGUCAUUUUGCGUUAAUUGAAAUAAAUUGUUUUGAGUUAGAAAACUAUAUUUUGGGGUGAGUAUUUACUGUUUAAGUGUUUGGAAUGAAUUCGGUGAAAGUGGAAUCAAAAACGGAUCUAAAAUCGGUCUCUUCCCGUGCGAGAAAAGCAAUAAAACGUGUUGUUCUAGUGACAUAGCAAAAUGCACGGUCUUCUUUAUAAAUCGCACGGACCGUGCGUUCUCUGGGUGAUCCGAAAGGAAAUUUUUUUGUACUUUAAAGGUUGCAAAUGCAUCCCUAUGAGUUCCUAAAACCUAAAUCUAUUUGAUUAGAUUCUAAUGGGGGCUUAUAUGAUUGGAUUAUCUUAGAUUAUUUUGAGAAAUGAAAUUGAUUUCAAAACAUGAAGAAAAUGACACGAACUUUGAGAAUGUUGAGAAAUGCAUGGACUUUGUGAAACGAAUAUGCUAUGAUUUAAUUGUUAAGGUGUUAGAUGAUAUGCAUGAAUGUUUUGAUGUUAUGUGAGAGCUUAUGUCCUACUUUUUUUGAUAAAAAAAAUGAAAAUAGGCUAUUUGAUGAAAAUAGACGAACUUCGUCAAAAUGAGGGUUUUGAUCGGAUAACUUGCAAUUAGCAUCGUAUACAUGAUAACAUGAUGAAAUAAGAAUGAAUCAAUGAAUGAUGGGUGUAUAAUAUUUUGGAUAUCCUGAUGUAGAUGAUUGUCGUCUAUUAUGCAAAUUGUGCUUUUUGAAACGUUAUUGUUUCCUUGUCGUAAUAAAUGUUGAUGAUGACUCUUUUGUUGAUUGUAUGGAUGUAAAUUAUUGAUAAUGCAAUGGUGAAUUGGUGAAGAUAUUAUAUGAUGGUGAAAAUUAUAUAAUAUGUGAUUUGGUGAAAAUCAUAGUCUUGAGCGUAGGAGCACGUGUAGAUACUCCAUGCCCCCCGAUGGAGAUGGACUCGAUAUAUGAUGCAUGUGACAUUCUUAAAGAGAACAUGCAGUGGUGUGGUCUUAUGAAUGUGGUCACUGAAACAACAUAAUGAAUUUACCUGAUGAGAUAAAACCGCAAGUGCACGGUCUUACCGAAGUAGUAUGAAAAGAGUAUCGUUCCGACAGGGAAUAGUUUAAUUCAAUUAACCUUUGAUGAUGAUUAGAGGAGAGAGAAGUUGUAAGUUGGGGUUUUCAAACGAUUGAAAGGUAAUAAUAUAAAAGGAGCCUUGGGAUCAUUGGUUCAUCUAAAUAACAAGUCCUUCACAAACCAAACUAUAAGCUUAUAACUUUAUGUUAGACCUAAUUUCUCAAGAUAGUUUCUCUUGUGUUCCUCUAGCAACCAAGCCUAUUUCGCUGACUUGAUUACUAUUAGAUUUUGAUUCCUCUAACAACCAAGCCUAUUUCGCUGACCUGAUCAUUAUUAGUUCCUUUGAAGAUCGAAACUAUAUGUCUCAAAGAUUGCAAAGACUAUUUCGCUGCCUUUGCAAUCCUUGUCUAAAUUCACUUGUUCGAAUAUCAAAGCUCCACUUUCGUUUUAUGAAUUGAUAUUUGAGAUAAUGGAUAAAAAAUUAUCAAAUCCUUCACUUUCGUUUCCACAGUUUGAUAAUGGUUGAUCCAUGUUAAAGCGGUGAAUUUAGAUAAGAAAUUAGGGUUACAUAAGAUUAAGGCUUAGAGCUUGGCUUGAUUAGGAUUAUGUCAUUUAGACUUAUCCAACAAUCCCAAGACAAGGAGAAAUCUACUCACUCAUGUUUAUCGUAGACAUGGGGAAGAAGAGAGAAAGCAUUAAAGUAAAGGGUUAAUUAAGUUUUUAGUCCCUAUAAAUAUUCACAGUUUUGUUUUUAGUCCCUAUAAAAUAAAAUCAUAUUUUUUAGUCCCUAUAAAAUUUUCCAUCCACAUUUUUAGUCCCUAUAAAAUUUUCCAUCAGCAUUUUUAGUCCCUAUAAAAUUUUUCCAUCAGCAUUUUUAGUCCCUAAAAUGCUUAAGGAAAAUGUCACAGGGACUAAAAAGUGUGAUUUUAUUUUGUAGGGACUAAAAACAAAACUGUGAAUAUUUAUAGGGACUAAAAACUUAAUUAGCCCUAAAGUAAAUGACAAGAAAGUAAAAGAAAAGAAAAGAACUUUUAUUAGAAAAGCAAUUGUCCCUGAUUGAAUUCCAAGAAAAGAUGAAUAUUUGUGAUGAGUAGCUACUCUAUUUAUAGCAUACAUUCGACUUAAAAUCUAAGCAAUUACAUUACUGGAAUGUUCUACAAGAAACUGCGGGCUAAAAUAAAGUAGCUCAAAAUCUAAGCAAAAGCAGCAAAAGUGACUCUGGAGGAUGGCACGGCCGUGCCAAGCUUCUGACUUUGGGGAGACAUAUUUUUGUCUCUGAAUCUUCGUAUUUUCGUACUAAAUCAGCUCCAAGUCCCUUUCUUUUGCUCCAAGACUCAAUCGAUCCAAUAUUCGUUCCUGAAAUAUAAUAAAAUGCAAUUUGUAGUAAACUAACUCAAAAAGGAAAUUAAAUAAUACUAAUAUAAAAUAAAAUAAAAUCUAUUUAAAACUAAACUAAAUAACAUAUAAAAAUAGAUAUUAAAUGACUCAUCAUUACCGUACUGGGUUUCUUAAUUGGUCCAGAACCUGAACAUGAAAAUAAAUAUGGAAUUUUUAUUUUUUUAUUAAAAUAAAGAUGGAGUCUUUAGUUACUGGAAUUAAUAUUUCAAGAUUAUAUACAAUAUCUAGUUCCCUUAAGCAUAUGCCAAUAUUCAUGAAUGAAAGGGGGGAAGUAUAUCCAAAGCAUAAAACCCCGAGUAUUAGCCUAUAUAACUUUUUGGGAGUGUCAUAUAUUACUUGACAGACACGUAAUCAGUCAAGAAGAGUGAGAGAGUGACUAUUAUAUAUUAUUAGUAAGCAAUAUACUCAUUAUAGGCAAUAUCUUUUUUGGCAAGUAACGGUGAUAUUGCAUUUCAAUUUGUUUGGGAGUUUGGAGAGGAUGGGAAAACUUUGUCGGGUGGAAAAUAUGAGGAAAAUUUGAAACAUCAUUCUAAAAAUUUAAAAGAGUUGUUUUUAAAAAAUGAUAAAUUAAUGCAUGUGAUUACUAUAAUUUUAAUUUUAAAAAUAUUAUAACAACACACAUUAAAUUGAAUAAUUCACAUAAACCCUCCAAAACCUCUAAAACCCUCCUCCAAUACAAUUUUUUAGUUCCUCAAAUGAGAAGAGUUUUGUAUUAUCAAGAAAAGUUAAUCCAUUUAAGCCAUUCCUUCCCAUUUUCCUCCAUUUCUUCCACUUGUUCAUUACUUUUUUUCUAAAAUUUUUCAUUCAUUCCCGUGUAAACUCGCAAACAAAGCUUAAAGCUUAUAACACACAUAUACAUCUUAGCCAUUAACUUUCCAAAGAAGAGCUGCUCUGCGAGUGUUUAGCUUAGACACAUCUACAUUGUCUCUUAUUUUUUGUUUUUCAGGUAAUACUAUUUGAGGUAUGUAGGAUACUAAAUAUAUAGUAUCAGAAUAGUUCAUUCGCUAUAACCAUUUGGAUUAUUCCUCCUCCUUCAAUCCUUUCAUUUAUUUUUUGUUUUUAUUUUCAAGGGGGUUUAUUUAUACUUAAUAAUUUUCUGAAUAAAGAUCCUUAAAAAAAUCUGAAUAAUGAUGAAUGCUUGUUUGUUUUAUUAAAUAUAUAAUCACCAAAAAAGACACGCUAUAAACGAUAAAAGAAAUAAUAAUAAUAAUGAAAUGAUGGUUGAAAAAUAAUUAACUAUUAUGUUAAUUAAGAUUUUAGCUCAAAUCUUUAAUAAGGUGAAGUUAUCAAUUGAGAGAACAAAAGGGGUAAAUAUGAUUUCUCUGUAUAAUAUAGAGGCAUAUGAUAAUUAUUUUAAUUAAACUAUAGAACAUCAUAUUCCUUACAUAUUUAAUACUUAAAAAAUUAUAUUUAAUAGAUUAUGUUGAUAUUCUAAAGUUUAUUUAUGUAUUCAUUAAUUUGAACCCCUGACUUUCGAUUAAUACAUAGAGAUGUUAUCUUCUCAUCAGUGUGUUACUUCUACAUUAAAAUUUUUCCUCCCUUUACACUAUUAUUUUAUUUUGUGAACUUUCCUAUCUAGUGUAAGAUCAAGUGAUCAAUCACAUGUGCUAUAGGGACAAGCAUGAUACAUCAAUUUAUUCAAAAGACAUUUAAAAAUAAGUUAAAUUUGAAUAAAGGGUUUCUUGCAAGUAAAUAUAGCAGAAGGUUUUUUACUAUAUAAAUUAAUCAACGAAUUUCUAUUUGUUAAAUGAAAUGGUGGAAAAGAUGGUUGGAAUUCUCAAGUUUGUUUGCCCCUUUUUGUUUCUCUAUUUCUUGUUAUUAUCAAUGUUGGUGGUAAGCUCAUUGUCCUAUUCUUUUGUAUUUAUCCUAUGCAAAACAUUUCUUCUCUUUUCGAAAUAUUUCUUUGUUUUCAUUUCACAAUAUUUCUUUGUUUUGUUUUCAUUUUAGAUUUCAGGAAAGCAUGAUUAUCACAUGUUUUUUCAACGCAUACCAUGUCCCAAGGAUAAAAUUCUUGAUUGCAAUCUACUUGAAUGUUGGUGCAAAUAAAAGGUAGGUACUAAAAUUAUUCUAUGUUAUUUUUUAAUGGUAUGAUUUUUUUUUUUAUCAUAAUGUUGUUAUUCUUAUGAUUUCUUUCACAAAUCCAUUUAUUUCUCUGACCCUUCAACUUAUUUGAUAGUUGUAGAAACCUGCUGAUUAUGUUUACAAAGUGUUGUAAUAACCUUCGUUUUUAUGUGUAAGAAAUAUAGUUGUUUAAGGUUAAUUUUGACCUAUGUCUUUGAUAUAUCAUCUAAGAAACAUAGAAUUCAGUUUGGAACUAAAAAGAGUAAAUGAUUAAUUCAAAUUACACUUUCAGACGUUAUUUCAAGGAUUUCUUUGUACAACUACCUUGAAUUGUCACCUAAUAGUAUCUUUUCAUUUGGAAUGCACACUGUGAAGAUAUUGAAAUCAAGGGUUGUGCUACAAUUUUCACAUGAGAUAUUCUUAACAUCUAAUUUUAUAUAUUUUUUUUUAAUUUAGAAUGCACCACAUGAUUUUUAAUAAUGCAUGUUGAAAAUUAUAUGGACAUAUAUGUUAUAUUAAGUAUUACUGUAUUGUUAUAAAUGUUUUGAUGCUUUAUAUGUUGAAUAAUGUUUUGUGUGUGCUCAUAUACUUAAGGCUUAUUCUUUUAACAUAAUUUAAGAUGUACUAAAUCUUCUAUAUGUGUCUUAUUGUAGACAUACUUGAUUGCAAACUAUAUUCAAAUUGACAUGGAAAGUAAUAAGUGGAGCAUCAAUUGUGACAGAGGAGUCAAGGACUUGUGCAUAGCUUUAUUUUUUUAGUGUCUUAUUGGUUUUGUUAAAUUCCUAUGAAUUUUGUUGUUAUUUUAUUUGGUUUUUUUAGGUUUGCAAACUUAUGAGUUAUAACAUUAUUGUUAUCUCUAAACUUUUGCCCCGUGCAACGAACGGGUCCUAUGUAUUGUAAUAAAGAUCAAUAAAUUAUAUUAUAUAUUACUAUUGAUGUUAAAUAACUCAUAGGGAAAAAAUUAUAUUAUUAUUAAACGUGGUACCAUAAAUAUUCAUAUUUUUUUUAAUACAUAAAUCAUGUAAAUCAGCCAACCAAGACAUCACGUGAAGGGGACAUAUAGAAGAUAGGGGGAGCCUUGUUGCACAAAAUUAUCAAAAGAAGAUAUGGUUUGUCAGCAUAAAAAAAGGGAAGACUGUGAAGAAGUUUCCUUCUUUAGAUUUGGCUGGGUUUUGAUGAUAACAAACACAUACCACAAAAGAAGAACAACUAUGGAGGCACAAGAUGAAGAUAAGAUAAAGAUAAAUACUUUUAGAAUGUAUAGUGUUAAUAAUUGUAAGUAUGAUCUUUAUCUUUGAUUUAUCGCUUUCAACAUCUAUAUAACUUAGAAUGCUCAAAAAUUCAUUUGAACUUAAUCACAAAUCAUUUUUUAAAUUAAAUAUAAGAGUCUAUGAGAAGCAGGUUUUUAACUUUAACGUGUAACAAAUUACCAAAUAUGAGUAACUGAUUACCAAUUCAAUUUUCAAAUAUUUUUUAACGUGUAAUAGGUUACCACAUUUGAAAAUUUAAUUUUUUUAAUGUUGGAAUGGUGUAACCGAUUACCAAAACAUAGUUAUCGUUUACCAGCUAUCAAAAUGCAUUUUUUUCAUGAUUGGGUGCGAUUCAAGUGAUUAUUAAUGAUUCAUGGAUCCACUUGGAAUUGGUGUCUUGAUUUAUGGACUUUUCCUGUAAAUACAUUUGAGAUCUAAACAACAUUAAUCAGAUUCAAUAUUCAAAAAGUUUAACAUCAAAUAUCACUUUCUCACUUUAACUUUAAAAUUUUCAUUUUUUUUAAACCUUGAUUGUAUUUUUAUAUCCAAAAAGGUUUAUGAGCAUUAAGUUAUACUCAUUUGAAAGUAAUAUUGAUUUGAUACAGCUAUACAAAAGUUCUUCGACAAUUGUUAAUAAGAAUUUCAUCAUAGUGUUCGAUAAAGAUUCUUGUUCAAAGGUUGAGAAUUUCAUCUUUGUUUGUUGAAGAUUCUUGUUCAAAGGUUGUGAGAAUUUUGUCAUAGUGUUUGGUGAAAAUUCCUGUUGUAAAGAUAGUGGAGUUCUAUCUUGGUUGACUAGGAAAAUUGUUAGAGAAGACUUGGGGUGAAGUGAGGCUUGCUUGUAACAAAGAUUUUAACAUAGUGAAAUCCUUCAUGGGGUAUGAAGGGGAUGGACUAUUUGUAACGCCCUUAUUUUUACAGAGUCUAGAGUCUAUUUAGAUGAUUUAUAUGAUUUAAAUGAUUAUGUAAUGUGUUGUGGAUUUAUUAAGAGGCCUUAUUUUAUUAUUUAAUAGAUCGAGAUUUGAAAAUAAAAUAAAUAUUGAGAUAAGGGGUUGUUUUGAGAAUUUAGAGAGUUUUGUGGGAAAAAGAGGAAAUAAGAUAAAAUAGAUGGGAAGAGAUAAAUAUGAGAAAAUAGGUUUAGAAAAGUUUUCACGUACGAUCAGUUUUGGAGAAAAAUGGAGAAAAGUCAAGAGAAGGGAAGAACCAAGAGAGGCUGCCGAUUUUGAAUCAUAAGGUAAGGGUGAGACUAACAUUCAAUUUUCUUAAGCUUAUAUUUCUGAUGAUUAGAUUUAACAAGUUGUAGGUUUAGUUUUGAGAAUUGAAAUUAUUUUAAAAGUGAUCAAUUGAGGAUUAGAUGAUGGAAAUUUGUAGAAUUGAUGUAGAAAGUGUAUACAGACCUUAGAUAAUCCAUAAGGUGAUGUUUAGAAUCAGUUUUAAGCUUAGAACCAUGUGAUUAGAUGAAUUUUCGUGAAAAAGUGCAAUCUGCCCGAGCCUGAAUUCAUCGCUCGCCCUCGCGAAUGAUGAUCCUUGCCUCGCGAGUGAUGAAUGGAGGUUGGUUAUAGUACUGUUAAUAUUUUGUUUUUAAAAAAGGUCCCUGCAAAAUAUUUUGUUUUUAAAAAAGGUCCCUACAAAAUUAUUUUUUUACGGGGACUAAAACCAAAACGAGGCAUAUUUGCAGGGACUAGAACCAUAUUUUAGCCUUUUCUUUAUAUAUAGAAUAAUUUAUUUUGGUCGUGGUCGGGGUUUGAACCCCGGACCUUACAUAUAUUAUUCGUUGUCCUUACCAACUGAGCUAAGCUUACGAGGAUUGAUAUAGAAAAUAUUAUUACUGCUAUUACUAUCACUAAGAACCACCAAAUUAUUAUUAUUAGAGAAAACAUGGGCACUCACGUGUUUGUCUUUCCGUUCUUUUUAUUGCAUUAACGCAUGUAGAUUAUCAACGAUAUUUUAUAGAAAUUUACGUGUAAAUUACAAACGAUAUUUUAUAUCAAUAUUUUGAUAUAGAUUAAAAUUAUAAGUAUAAAUACUUGUGACUUUCAAAUGUAACAAACUCAACAAACAAUAUUUAUCUUUUUCAAUGACAAAUAUAAUAUAACAAUGGCUUAAUUGGAUAUUUGGCCCCUUAUGUUUAUUUUAGGUUUCAAGUUGGUCCCUUAUGUUUUAAAAGUUUCAAGUUGGUCCCUUAUGUUUUAAAAGUUUUAAUUUCAUCCACAACGUUAGUCACCUUGGAAUAAGUUAAGUCCAUUUUGUCCCUUGACCGUUUAGAGAUUUGGCUUGAGAAUAUGAAUGAAAAAUUUAACUUAUUUAGAAAAUAUAUUUUAAAAAAUUUUUUAAUUUUUUUUAUUAGACUCAAUAUCCUGUCGCUAAAGGGGCUAACUUAUUCCAAUAUGAGUAACAUUUUGGACAAACUUGAAACUUUUAAAACGUAAGGGACCAACUUGAAACCUAAAAUAAACAUAAGGGAUCAAACAUGCAAUUAACCCUAUAAUAAAUAUAAUAAAAAUUCUUAUCUUUUUAAAUAACACCAACAAUAUAACAUUAUUAUUAUAGGAAAUAUUGUUUAAGGGUAAUAUUGAAAUAACAGAAAAUCAGCACAAACUCGCUUAUUCUCUUUGUAUAUAGAUAUUAGCGAAAAAACGGACACUUCACGUACUCGUCUUUCUGCCCUUAUUAUAUAAAUUAUGAACGGUAUUUUAUAUAAAUUUUUUAUUUUGAUUAAAAUUUUAAGUACAAAUAUUUGUGAUUGUAAGAAACCCAAAAGGACAAGUUUAUCUUUUUCAAUAACUAAGUUUUUUUUAUUAGCAUAGAUCCAAAUGACAUCAAAAAGAAUAGUGUCCAACUAAGUUUGUACCCUAAUCUAAUCUUUUGUCAAUUACUCAUAUAUAAUAUGGGUUAAUAGUGUUUUUCACCCCUGUAAUAUAGGUCAUUUCCGGUUUUCGCCCUUAUAAAAUUUUCCGUUUGAUUGCUGUCAUUGUAAUUUUUUUUUUCUUCCGGAAUACCCCCCUCCUCCCUCCAACUCAGCAAAUCAGCCUAUGUGGCGCUGACAAGGAAUUUAUUUUUUUUAUUUUUUUUUUUUCACUUGCCACGUGUAUAAUUCGUUUUUUUUUUUUAAAUUGUGAAAUUUUAAUUUUAAAAAACUCAAUUUUUGUUUUAAUUGUUUUAUUUUUUAAAAUAUUUGAAAAUUAAUUUUCAAAAAAAAAAAAAUUAUUCAGAUUUUUUUCCAAAAAUUUAAAAAAAAUUCAAAUAUUAAAAAUAUGAUUUUUCAGAAUUUUUAAAAUUUUAGAAAAUGAUUUCUUUUUUAAAUUUUAAUUUCAAAAAUGAUUUUAUAAAAAUCUAGAAUAAAAUUUUCGAAAAUAAAAUCUGAAUUUUUAAAAAAAUCUGUAUCCAGAUUAUUAAAAAUAAAAUAUUUUCCAUAAAAAAAAAUAUGAAUUUUUUUAAAAAAUUUCGAAUUUCAAAAAUGAUUUUAUAAAAAUCUAGAACAAAAUUUUCGAAAAUAAAAUCUGAAUUUUAAAAAAAAUAUGUAUCCAGAUUAUUAAAAAUAAAAUAUUUUCCAUAAAAAAAAUAUGACUUUUUUUUAAAAAUUUCGAAUUUGUUUCUUCUAAUUUAACUUUUUUUUUAAUUUUGAAAAUUAAAAUCCAGAAUCUUUAAAAAAAAAUUAAUUUCCAAAAAAACCGAAUAUUUUUUCUGAUUUUUUUAAUAUUCGAAUUUAAAAUAAAACCAUAAAAUUCAAAAAAAAUCUUAUCGUUUUUUCUGAUUUUUUUAAUAUUUGAAUAUUUUAUUUUAAGAUUUUUAAAUUUUUUGGAAAAAAAUCUGAAUAUUUUUUUUUAUUUUUGAAAAUUAAUUUUCAAAUAUUUUAAAAAAUAAAACAAUUAAAACAAAAAUUGAGUUUUUUAAAAUUAAAAUUAAAAAAACGAAAUUAAAAUUUCACAAUUAAAAAAAAAAACGAAUUAUACACGUGGCAAGUGAAAAAAAAAUGAAAAUUUUACAAGGACAGAAAUCAAAUCGAAAAUUUUAUAAGGGCUAAAACCGGAAAUGGCCUAUAUUACAGGGGUGAAAAACACUAUUAACCCUAUAUAAUAUUAAUUAAAAAAGGGGGAAAAUACAAAUAAAAGAAAAAAUUGGGGGGCAUAAACCUAACCCAGUAAAUCUACAGAAAAGUGUAGGUCAACCCCAAAUGGGAAAAAUACAACAUAAGUGCAUCAUCCUCUAAUUAAUCCUAAAACUAUUCAAAAGUUUUCAAUGCGAUGAUUGGACCUUCCAUCAACAUGGAAACGAGACCUUGUACCAUCAACUCCCUACAACAAAGGGAAGCAAGCUAAAUGACCCUUUCGAGUCUCACAGUUUAAAUCAAACAUAUUGAAUGGAGAAACAAAACAUGUGUAUGAAUCAUCUUCCAACAUAGAAGCGAUUCAAAAUCCAUCAACUUCCUGCAAAACCACAACAAGCUAUAAUUUCCCUUUCGAGUCAAACCAUUUGAAACAAAUCCAAUAGAACACGAUGUUAGUAGACAAACCACAAUAUAUCUGAGCUCAAUCAUGAAGGAUUGAGAGAGAUUUAAACCCACUCUCGAUUACUACAUAAUGGUGGAAGCAACCCCAUUAGCUUUGAAUCCUGCAAAUCUCAAUAGACAUGGGUUAGAAUAGGAAAACAAAAGCAAGAUGAGAACACCAGGCAGACGAACCGAGCAAAGUCUUGAAGAACCUGACGCAAAUCUCAGAUCUGAGAAGAUAUGCUUCCACGUUGUCAAAACUGAACCACACAAAAAUCAUUGGUCCAAGAGACGGGCACGAUACGUGACAACCAUUAGGUCAAUGGCGUUUCUCACAAAGGAACCAAACCGAAGCUAAGAAUGAGAACCAGCCACCACCAUCGAGGAUGGAGGCGGCAUUGACCGAAGCAUACCCUAACAUGUGGAAAAAGACCACCAUAGGGUUGAAACGUGAUGUUGCUCAGUUUGUUUAUGCAUGUUUGACUUGUCAGAAGUCUAAGGUUGAGCAUCAGAAGCCUGCAGGGUUGUUGACACCGUUAGAUGUGCCAAAGUGGAAGUGGAACAACAUAUACAUGGAUUUUGUGACGAGUUUACCGAAUACUCCGAGAGGGCAUGAUGCCAUUUGGGUUGUUGUCGAUAGGUUGACAAAGUCGACACACUUUAUUCCGAUCAUUAUUAGUUAUCCGGUAGCUCAGUUGGCGGAGAUUUACAUUCAUAAUAUUGUGAAGUUGCAUGGAGUUCCGUCGAGUAUUGUGUCGGAUAGAGAUCCGAGGUUCACUUCAAGAUUUUGGAAGAGUUUGCAAGAUGCAUUGGGUUCUAAGUUGAGGUUGAGUUCGGCUUAUCAUUCGCAAACAUAUGGUCAGUCGGAGAGAACGAUUCAAUCGUCAGAGGAUUUGCUGAGAGUGUGUGUACUUGAGCAAGGUGGAGAUUGGGAUAGUCACCUACCGUUGAUAGAGUUCACGUACAACAACAGUUACCAUUCGAGUAUUGGUAUGGCACCGUUCAAAGCUUUGUACGGUCGGAGGUGCAGGACUCCUUUAUGUUGAUUUGAGUCAGGAGAGAGUGUAGUGUUGCGACCGGAUUUGGUUCAUCAGACUACAGAGAAGGUUAAGAUGAUAAGGGAAAAGAUGAAAGCGUCGCAAAGUCUACAUAAGAGUUACCAUGACAAGCGUAGGAAGGCCCUUGAGUUUCAAGAGGGAGAUCAUGUGUUUCUGAGAGUUACUCCUAUGACGGGUGUAGGACGUGCAUUGAAGUCUAGGAAGUUGACUCCUAAGUUUAUUGGUCUGUAUCAUAUAUCUGAGAGGGUUGGAACAGUGGCAUAUAGAGUGGGUUUGCCACCACAUCUUUCGAAUUUGCAUGAUGUGUUUCAUGUGUCGCAACUUCGGAAGUAUGCAGCGGAUCCUUCGCAUGUUAUUCCGAGAGAUGAUGUGCAGGUUAGAGACAACCUUACAGUUGAGGCCUUACCGUUGAGAAUCGAAGACCGUGAGGUGAAGAAGUUGAGAGGCAAGGAUAUACCUCUAGUGAAGGUUGUUUGGGGUGGAGUAACUAGAGAGUAAGAUGCGGGAGUCUUAUCCAGAAUUGUUUGCUUGAGGUAAUAUUUCGAGGACGAAAUUCUCUAAGUUGGGGAGAGUUGUAACGCCAUAGUCGUCGUUUUAUUUAUUUUAAUUUAUUUAGAGUCUUUUAUAUGAUUUUAAAUAAUUAUUGUUAAUAUGUGGUGUGUUAUAUUUUAUUAUAUGGUUUAUUUUAAUAUUAAUUAGAAUAAGUGGGAAUUAUUAUUAUUUUUUAGGUUGGGGAUUUAAUUAGAAAUUAAUAGAAUUAAGGGGAAGUAAAAUGAAAUAAAGGGGAGUUAUGUAUUGGGAGUUUGGAAAAGAAAUAGUCAGAAAGCAGUUUCACGUACAACAGACAAGUUUUGGGAGAAAAGGGAGAAGAGCCAAGUGAACCAGAUUUUUGUGCAAUUGUUCAUCUGAAUUAAGGUAAGGGUGAGGUUUACUUCAGUAGUGUAGAUGUUUAAUUCUGAUUUUCGUUUAACAAGUUUAUGGUAGAAAUUGGGAAUGUUGGGGUUUAAGUUGAAUUCUUGGUUUUUGGGUGAAUUGAAUGUAGGAAUUACUAUUUUGAUGUUAGAAAUAGGUUCUGGUUGCAUACAGCAUUUAGUUUUACAUCUGUAAACUGAUUUGGGGAGUGAAAUUGAGGAAAUUGGGAUUUUUGGGAAAAACCUGCAUUCUGCCCGUAUUGAUGUUUAUCGCUCGCCCCGGCGAGUAGCUUGUCUCGCCUCGCGAGUGAGCAACUUCAUGGCUCGCCUCGCGAGUAGAACCACUAGCCAUGGCGAGUUAGAGAGUGAGAGAUCAAGAUUUUUAAAUUGUUGUUAUAAGGUAUAAUUUGGUUAGUUUUGAGUGCCUCGAUGAUUUUAGAGAGGACUGAGACAAUUUUUAGAUUAAAAAGAUGAAUAGGGAGCUUAAAAAUGAAGAUUUAGUGAGAAAAAUGUCAAAACUCUCGAGAGCACCCUUUUUCUCAUUCGCCUCGUACUCGCCACGACGAGUAACCUUUUUCCUGAGCUCGCCAUAGCGAGCAGAUGCACUCGUGAGGCGAGUUGCCAGUAUCUGAACUGUUUGUUAUAUAAUUGAAUAAUGUUGAAUGAACUUGAUGAAUGAGCAUGAUUAUGAUUAAUUGUGUAUUUUUUUGGAAUUGUUGGAUUAAUUAUGCUGAUUUGUUGAUGAUUGUGAUGUAUGUUUACAUUUAAUUAAAUCAUACAUGUUGUUUAAUUGUGGGGUUGUAAGUCAUAUAUAUAUAUAUAUAUUGUUUAGUUGUAUGUAGAUAUACACAAGUGGAGUCCAUUGCAUAAACAUAAAGCGGUGAGGGCUCAUGCCCUGGAACGCCUUGUCGUUCAAAGCGGGAGGGCUCAUGCCCUGGAACACCUUGUUGUUCAAAUUGGUGAGGGCUUAUGCCCUGAUGAAUACUUUAACCAUUCAAACUCAGUGAGGGCUUCUGCCCUGUAAAUUGGUACCACAUGCAUGUGCAUUGUCGAGGAGUCUUAGCGGUGUUGUCGAGUAGUUGCAUGAGUUGUUGUUGUUGGUUGUAAAUACCAUUAUUGUUGAUGUUGUUAAUUAUGAAAUAUAUAUGUAUAUUGAAUAAUUAUUGUUAUGUUAGGGUGUUAGAUUCAAUUGAUGAAUUUUAUAUCUAUUAUUAUUGUUGUGAAUCUAACCACUUCUUCUUGGAAAUGUUGCCCUUCCUAUGGGUAACUUGCAGGUGAUCCUGAGUAGUAGGUAGUGGCUCAAGUGUCUAGGGCUCUGAUACGUGCAGGAUGGGGAUUACUUGUUUAUUUUCAUUCCUUAUGUAUCAAAUUUUCGAACAUGCUGAUGUAGCCCUUUUAUUAGUUGUUGAAUUAUUUUGAUGAGGCUUUUAUGCCAGGAUUGUUUAGUGGAGAAUUAAACAUCGAUGUUGUUGUUAUUUAAUGAAAAAUAUUCCACUGCAAGGUUUUGGUGAAACCAAUAAAGUUGUCGUUUAUUAAAUAGUUUUAUAUUCUAUUUAAGAAAUUUUGAAAAGUAGUGUGACAUGCCCGUUUGGUAUUAAACUCUGAUGUAUUAUUUAUUAUUUAAUUGUUUGGGAUAACGGGGUGUUACACCUGGAGACAACGUUGUAUACCAAGUAAAGGCACUCUUUGGUAAUGAACUUGGGAAGAAUUUCAUUCUUAAGUUCUCAUUGUUUGCUAUGUCACCCGCUUCUGUCAAGUAACGAGCGAUAUCUUCAACCGUGGAUUCAUUAGUUACUCCACCAAAUUUGGUGAAUUUAGGGAUUUUCCAACCCCUGGGUAAUUACUCCAUUGUCACAUACUCGGGUAAAGGUGACACGAAAUUAGAUCUAUGCAGACCCAAAUUGAAACCAUUUUAAGUCAAAAGGGUUUCGACUACGUUGGCAAUAUUUUUUUGACCCUCCAAAUUGACUUGUUGGGCUUGCCUAACUAUUUGAUCAGGAUCUUGGUUCCUUUGAACCAAAAUUUGAACUCUUUCAUGCACCACUGGCGCUGGUGGUUCGACUAUAGGUUAGGGCCUUGGAUUGAUAAGAUUUCCAGCAUUUAAACAUGCCUAUAAUUCUGAACUUGAGGUAUUUGCACAUUUCGCCUUGGAGGAGAGCCAAAGAAAUCAGCGAUUCGCCCCAUUUGGUCUGAUAGUUCCAAAUAACUGUUAUGGGUAUCCCUAAUUAAAGGGUUAAACACCGUUCCAAUUUGCUGAGUCCAACGUAUUGACCAUUUCAUGGCUACUAUCUUCCAUUUGGUCAAUGUUUGUUGAGGAUUUAAACCAGAAACAGUCGGUGUAGGAUAAUAAAAUUGAGGGUGAACUACAUUAAAUUCUCUGAAACAGGUGGACUAUUAUGGAGACCCAUCAUAAGGGAUGAAGUCAUUCCAUAUGGCUGGUUCCUAAGAUUUAACGGAUUAAAGGACCAUGGAUUUUGAACUAACGGAUUGGAAAAAUUCACAUUAGAUUGUGUAACCGCUGCAACCGUCAAAGUUGUGACGGGAACGAUUGAUGAUGUAUGAGCGGAAAUUCUUGCCCCCACCGUUUCAUCAACGUUCGCGCCAUGGGAUGACAUUGUGUGUGGAAUUUGAUGUGGAUUUAUAUUUAAUGAUAAAUUAUCCAUAGAUGCCCUUGUUGGGCUUGAAGGAGGAUUAUUACUGCGAGUAGAACGUACCAUAUCUGGAAUUUUCUUUCUACUCCUCAAGAACAUACACAACAAAAAUCAUAGAAGAUUGAAUACAAGGAACAAAUUUAGACAAGAACACAAAUCGUCCCACUGGGCGUGCCAAUUUGUUUACCCUAGAUUUUGGUAAACUACUGAAUUGGUUUCAAGACGAGGGCGAGCGAGAUCAUCCAACAAAUCUCAAGACCGUUUGUGUUUGAUUGUUCAAUUUCGUUUGAUGACUAUUCUAACAAACUAUUAAUAUAACCGUUGAAAUCCAGAAACAGGGUGAGACCCUUCGAGAUUAUCUUCAAUGGAUCAAUGCAAAGGAUUUAAAGGAUAAAGUAAAAAGAAAAGAGUCUAGGCUAAAGAGCUAAACUAGAAAUUGAAUUAAAGUAAAUGAAUGUAAAAAAAAGAGUUGGUACGCAUAUUCAUACGCUAUGACUUGUUUACUCGUUUCUCCUUUGUGUGUGUGUGUGUGGAUAGUUUGAGUGUGUAAGCUUUUGAUAUGUUUGAAUUGUGACCCGUUUUCCAUAGAGGAAAAUGCUACUUAUACUAAGUAACUGCCUACGGACACGUUUAAGAUGUAACCGCUAAUAACUGCAACGGGCGUAUUUGAAUUCCAAAUAACGCCUCUUCGACGAGAAACCUCCAUUUAGCCCCUCUCAUAAAUGCCAACCGCUCUUCAACGUCUUCUUCGCUCCGUCCAACCAUCCUUUCGAUCAGCAAAUCCUCUGGUCUUCACUUCCACUGUCGAACUUGAGACUUGAGCUUGCUUCGUUCCCUUUGAAAUUUAGGUCAAACUUCAUUGACCGCAUUUAUCAUAGCCUGCUGAAAAUACAGGCUAACAAUACCCUAGAAAAUGGACAAGUAAAAUCAGCGAACAGAGUGAAGCAAAAACCAAGUGGGUGGAGGAACUUCAUACAGUCCCAUGGGCUAUCAAACGACCCCUUACGUAUGGAUCGGAAGCAGUCAUUCCUGAAGGUGAGAAAAACACAAGAAGGGGGUUGAAUUGUGUUAGCUUUUUCUUAUUUUUCACCUAAGCUAAUAACACUGAUCAGAAGCAGAUAGAGUUCUACUUCUGAAGUGAUGUUCAGAACUAGAUGCAGCGGAUAAAAGAGAGAGAAAGAGAGAAGAAAGACACAAAGCAAUUUAUACAGAUUCCUUCCACAAACUGGAAGUCAGUCAUGUCCCCCUUGCAUUUCCAAGGAGAUUUCACUAUGUAAUAUCUGAUUACAAUUGCUCACUUCUAAGACUAGUAAGAGACUUCAAAUUUCUCAAGCACAACUGCAAGAGACUUCCUAUGCUCCUGAACACAAUCAAGAGACUUCUAAUGCUCAAGCACAACUGCAAGAGACUUCUAAAUUCAAACAGAAUUACAAGCAAAAUGUUUGCAGUUGAACCAUUGAUAUACAAUCAGUGGUGUUCACAAUACAAAUCAGAUACAAACUAUUAAGACUCUAGAAUUUCUAAGAUAUGAAAGUUGAUAAGAAAUUCUAAGUGAACUUUUGAAUGCAGAACAAUUUCAGCAGAGUUUUGGCACUUUGUAAAUUGUUGUUGAGUCCUUGCCAAUCUCUAAGUCUUCACUUCUUUAUAUAGAGAUGUGAAAGAGACGUUGUGAAUUUGCAGCACAUUCCAAAUAGAAUCGUUUGAAGCUUUGAUCAAUCACCAAUGAUCUUUUUCCUGAUAUGGUUAUUGUACUAUGAAUGAUCAAUUUGAAAGGCAUUCCCAUUUUCAAGAAACAACGUUGCAGGCAGAGCUGUUUUUCUUGUCUUGUAGCAGAGACAAAAAUAGAGUAGUGGAGGUAGUGGUUGUACACUUCGUACAAUUGUACUUUGUUAACGCUCUUUGAAGAACAAGCAUCCAAUGCCUUUAAAUUCUUUCAAACUUGUCGUUGUUUCACUUUUCCAGUCGUCUGCAAUGCUUAGACAAUAUUAAAUCCAUUGAACAACCUUUGAAGCUUUAUGUUGCAUCUCCUGAUGAACUACAACUUCUGGUGAUUUUCAGCUUCUGAUGAACUUGCUUCUAAUGACGUCACUACUUCAGGAGCACUUUGUCUUCAGGAGCAGUUUAUUUCAGACGUUUUAAGCUUCCUUUUUGUUGAUUCCUUUCCUCUCUAUUGUUCUUCCAAGACCUUUUUAAGAUGUCAAAUUUUGUCUAUGGUCCUGUACACUUGAAAAAAUAUUAGCAUAUCCAAUUGACAAUUUUUAAUACCUUGUUAUCAUCAAAACUCUCAAAGGGUAAAACACAUUUUGUUCCAACAUUCUCCCUCUUUUUGAUGAUGACAAACAUUAGUAUUUAAAAUGUUUAAUUGUUGUUAAUCUAAUUAACACGUUGACUAUAAAGAUAUGAGGUUUGUAAGCUCCCCCUGAGUCCAAUAGUACUUUAAGGUGAGGUUUGUAAGCUCCCCCUGAGUUCUAUCCAUGUUAAUUAAAUUCCUCAUUAAAAACGCAAUAACUCUCAGAAAAAUCUCACAUUAAUAGACUAAGAGAUUAGAAGAAGGUCCUAUUAAUUUAACUUGAUUAGAAUUAAAUUAAUAGGGCUCAGAGCCUAUAAAUACUAUACAUCUACUCCCCCUUUUGUCAUCAACAAAAAGUAUAAAAUAAAGACAAAAAGAAAUAGAUGAGAAAAAUAGUGAGAAAUUCUGUAAAUGAAUAAAUUCAGAAGCAAUAUAUAUAUAUAUAUCAGAGCAAGAACGAAGUUCAGAAGCAUAAUCAUUUCAUUUAGAAGCAAAAACAAAAUUCAUCAGAAGUAGUAAUUCAGAAGCAUAAAAACAAUGAGCAGAAAACAAAUAAUAGAUAAAAACUAAACAAGCUAAUGAUGUGCAACUAAGGUUGGGUUUGUUUUUUGAUCAUCUCCAUCAUUUGUUUCAUCAUUCUUUUUUGUUUCAUCUGCUUUUCUAUUCAUUUCUUGCUUGAAUUCUUCAUUACUCUUGACCAAUCUUUCUUCUCUAACCAUUGCUUCUUCUAACUGUGCUUCUUUGGAUGACUUGUAUUCUAGCAGGAAUAGCUUCUGUUCAAGAACUUCCUUCCUUAGCUUCUUGUUUUCUGAUUCAAGCUCUGCAUUCCUUUGCAUGAGUUUUAGUUUAGAAGAGGAAGACUUGAAGUUGAUCUUCUGCAGAAAGGUCAAAUCUAAUUCCUUAGGAUGCACACCAGUAGGAAUGAAAUCUGUAGCAUUCCUUUCUCUUAGGCAAAGAGGAUUUUCCACCCAAGUUCUGAGAAUUUUGACUUCUUGUAGAUUGUUGUCCACACUUCUUAGCCAGUCUUGAAGCUUCUGUUGAGCUAAGUCUUGAGCAUCCAUACAUGAUCUUUGAAGCUCGCUCAAGACAAAGUCAACUCUCUCUUUUAGCCUAUUCCAGAGCUUUUCAUAGUUGUCCUUGUGAAGAAGGUUAUCCCUUGCUUGAACUAGAUUGUUCAGCUCCUUGAAAAUUUUCUCACACACAUCUGAUAGUAUAGUAGAAUCAAGAAACAUUGUGGGUGGAGAAUAAAUUUUUGGUUUGGUAGGAACUACAAGUUGGAUAGCUAGAGUUGAUGGUUGAUCAGAACCAGACUCCAUAAUCACAGUAGAAGAAGAGUUUAUUUGCUCUUCCUCAAUAUUAGAAGCAUCUAAUGUGAUCAUAGGUUCAGGUUCACUGACAGUUUCAGGGAUAGCUGAUGAUGUAGGUUGAUCAGAAUCAAUUUGUUCAGAAGCAGAUGGUUCAGGAACAACUUGUUCAGGUGUAGUGAUAUUUGUUUGGGCUAUUUGUGAUUUUGGUGAUUGUUGUUGGGGGCUUUCUAAAGUAACUUCUUCUGAAGCUACCUCAGAGGCUUUUUGUGGGUUGGAUGAUUCACGCUCUUGGUUGGUUGAAGUGGGGUGUUGUGAUGUUGAUUCUGGAUUAGUUUCAGAAGGGAUAAAAUUAAGUGGUUGAAUCAUAGGUGGUUGGAAAGGAUGAUUAGAAGUAGGUUUUUACAAACAUCUAUUCUCAUUUGAGACAUGCUACCUAUCCUUUCAUCGGCACUAGGGAUCAUAGGUUCAAAGGAAUUGUAGUUGAUGUAACACCCCGUUUUUCCAACUUAAAAAUUUCACAUAUAAAUCAGAGUAUUUCAACAUAAACGGAAUGUCACACUUCUUUUCUUAAAAUCAUAAACGGAAUAAAAUAACUAUUUAUCUUUCAAAAUUCAAUGUCAUAAUAUUUAUUACUUCACACAGAAAUUAUUCAACUUUUAAACAACUUUGGCAAAAGGGCCUCAACAUAAAAUCUCUUAAAAUUCUUCCAACAACAUGUUCAUGAUAAUUCAUAAAAUAAUACGUAAGGAAUAGAAAGCAACAACAAAAUCCCAUCCCGUUACGUAUCAGAGCACCUAAGACACACGAGAGAGAGACCUCACACGACAUCAACUAUUCUUGGUUACCUGCAAGUUACCCAUGGUGGGCAACAUUUCCAAGCAGAAGGGGUGAGAUUUCACAUUCAAUAAAUAUAAGCAUAUAAUUCAUCAAAAGCAUUUAACAACUUAAACAUCAUCAAUUAAUAAUAAUAAUUCUUCAUAUAGUACUUCAUUAAUAGCUCAAUCAACUUCUAGUCAUCAUUAAUAUCAUAUUCAUCACAUCAUAUACAUUCAUCAUAUAACAACAUAAACAACACAACAUAAAGAUCAUCUCAUAACAACAUAAACAACACAUCAUAAAAAUCAUCUUAUAACAACAUAACAUCACAUCAUAAAAAUCAUCGCAUAACAACAUAGUCAUCACUUCAUAAAAAUCAUCGUUUAACAAUAUCAUAAUCAAUAUCAUAAACAACAUCAUAAUCAACAUCAUAUAGUAUCAUAACAACAUAACAACAUCAUAAUCAACAUCAUAUAGCAUCAUAAUAACAUCAUAUAAUCAACAUCGUAAACAACAUCAUAACAUUAUAAUCAAUAUCAUAAACAACAUCAUACAGCAUCAUAAUAACAUCAUAUAAUCAACAUCGUAAACAACAUCAUAACAUUAUAUUCAAUAUCAUAAACAACAUCAUAUAGCAUCAUAACAACAUAUAAUCUUCAUAAGCACUUCAUUAACAACACAUGGGUAGAAGACAACUCAACAACUUAACGACUCAUGGAUGACAACUCAUCAACAACUUAACAACUCAUGGAUGACAACUCAUCAACAACGACUUUGACUCGACAAUGCAACUUCGACUUCUUAAUCAUGCAUGUGGUACCAAUCCAGGGCAUCAAGCCCCAUCGCUAUUUAAGUAUUAAUAUACUUCCAAGGCAUCAAGCCCCCAUCGCUAAAUGAGCUAAAGCUCCAACGUGUUGAGUACAAAGCUCCAGGGCAUCAAGCCCCCAACAAUGAAAUGCUAAUGCAUGGACUCGACCUCUUAAACAUCUUAAUUCAACAACUUCUUAUAUAAUCCAAUAAUUUGGAACAACAACUUACAACUUAGACAACAUCAACAACUUAAGACUCCAAUACUUUGGGAUACUUUGGAAUGACAACUUACAACUUUACAACUUAGACCAACACCUGCAACUUGAUCAAUAUUCAACAGCAACAGAAACAACACGAGCAAUUCACAACAUAACAAUAUUAAUGAGAAGCAUCAACAACUUAAACAUCAUACAUUUUCCACAUAACGAAUAUAAAUAUUUCACAUAACCAACAACAGCAACAUAGGCAGCACGUAAACAUCACAAGAUAUAACAAUAUCAAAUGAUAAUCAACAACAACUAAACAUCUUAUAUAAUUCACAUAAUGCAUAUACAAAUAUAUUACAUUACCAUCAACAUUAAAUCAUAUUCAUCAACAUAUACAUUCAUAUAAUAAAUCAUCAAUCAUAAACAACAUUAUUUCUAUAUCAUACAAUAUUCACAUAAUAUAUGUAUCUUAAAUUAUUCAACAAAGAUAUUCACGUCCAACCAAAUUAGAUCCAUCACCACACAUGUUAAAUAGGACAUGCUGAAUUUUCAUAAAAUUUCACUAAGACCUACUUGGAGUAUUUUCAUCAUAUCUCACGAACCAAAAAUCAUUUUCAGGUCAAACCAAAGCCACUGGAAAGCUAACUCAAUUAUCUACAAAUUUCAUGUUUACACCAAAGGCCAAUUCAAAACUAAAACGUGUGGAAAAGACGCAAGAACAUGAAAUAGGACAUGCUGUCAAAGAGCAACUCGGGAAAAAUCUAUUUUUCACCCCAAAAUCCCAAUUUUAACUUCUCUAUGCCCAAAUUUGAUCCAAAAACUUGACUAACCAUUUUUAUACAUGUUAAGGCACUCAAAACCACAUAAAAGAUGACCCAAAACAUUACCCAAGCUCUAUGGUUAAGAUUACCCAAGGUUUGAAUCAUAUAAUCAACAAUUUAUCACUUUUAACCCUUAUUCCCAAAUCCUCAAAACUAAACCUACAACAUGUUAAAUAUAAUUUUCAGAAUUAAAACACUUAGAAUUAUUGAAGGCUAGUCCCACCCUUACCUUGGAUUGAUCGACGAAGGACUCUACCGCUUUCUCUUAUCUAAAAGAAAAUUAAACAGAAGAGGGAUUAUGGUCUUAAGAACACUUUUAAUUCCGAAGGGACAGAAGGGAGUAUAUAAAGAAGAAAGACUCGUCAACACAAGUCAAAAGAGGGAGAAGAGAAGAAAAGCACAGGAAGUAUCAACUGUGAAUUUCGGUGUGUAGAAUGCACUGUGUGAGUUCCCUAUUUAUAGAGAUAGUUUACAACUAAUAAAUGAGAAACUUUGGAAACAAGUAAUGCACCUAUUAGAUCUAGUACUUAAAUAUAUCAAUUGAGUACCAAAAUAUAUUAUAUUAAGUACAAAAAUAUAUUAUUCAGUACAAAAAUAUAUUAGAUUGCCUACCGAAAUCUCAAUAUUCUAUUCUAAUAUAUAUAUAUAUAAUAUUUAUAUAACAAAUAACAAUUAUAUCUCAAUAACAAAUAUAUUUCUAUAAGAUAUAUAUAUAUAUAUAUAUAUAUAUAUAUAUAUAUAUAUAUUUCUACACCAAAUAAGAAAUAUAUUUCUACACUAGAUAACAUAUAUUUCUACAACAAAUCAUACAUAUUUCUACAACAAAUCAUAUAUAUUUCUACAACAAAUAACAUAAUAUUUCUUUACCAAAUAACAUAUAUUUUUACACAAAAUAACAUAUAUUUCUACAACAAAUCAUAUAAAUCACAUAACUCAUAAAAAUAGACUAUAAACUCAAUAAAAUAAUUAAAUAUUAAAAUAGGGCAUUACAGUUGACACCAGGCUUUUUGUAGGUUUUGGUUGAUGGUGAAAGGCCUUUGUGAAUAGUUGUGUAUAUCUAACCUAAUGGUACAUCAUCUAAAUCUGAUGUGGAUGUAGAUGAGGUGUAUUGAGAGGAUAUGCAUAGGGUUAAAUCUGAUUCCACUAUAAUUAAAUUAUUAGUGUGUUGAGAAUCAGGAAUACCUUCUGAAGCUUCUGGAAUGGCAGCUUCUAAUACACCAGCAGCAAUAUCCAACAAGCUUCCAGCUUCAGUUGCCACCAACUCUUGCACAACUUCAGCAGCCCUUAUCACUUCUUGAGCAUCUGCACCAGCAUUUUCCCUUGCUAUGCUGGAUGCAGGGAUUUUAAUCUGCUUUGCCAACUCCAAGGCCUUCUGGAGUAUAGCAGCAUCUUCAGCUUUCUUCUUCCUUACCUCUCUUGUGACAAGAUUAGUAGCAACAUCUAUUUCUUCUUCUUCACCAGCAACUGUUGUCACCUUUAACUUCCUGAUAGCCUGCUUUCUCUUCUUCUUAGGUAUAGAAGGCUGAUUAGGUGCAAUUUGAGAGGAAGCAACUUCUUUACCACUUCGGGUCCUUUUAUUCAGAAUUCUUUCAGCAUCUAGGUCCUGAACUUCUUCCUGAAUAGUUGGUACACACGAACCAACAUUUACUUCAGAAGAGGCCUUCUCCUUCUUUACUUUCUUGGCCUUCUUAGAAGACUGUUCAGAAGCAUCUUCCAAGUAAUCAUCUUUGCUGAUAGCUUUCCUCUUAGUCUUCCUGCUCCUAGCAACUAGAAGAGCUCCACAAUACAGAGUUUCAGGCACAUCUUCCAAAUUAAUCUUUGUGCCUAUUGAUGCAAAAUGAUCCUUGAUAUAAUUCAUCUGGACAUCCAGAGGGUCUUGCUUGCAGAUGGGAGGAAAGUCUCGCAUUAAAUUUGAUACAGCAAAAGACUCUUUCAGGUCUGAGUUCAACUUUUUGUAAUCAGUCUUGCUGAUCAGCUUCAUAUCCUUCGGUGUGCUUCCAUUUAUGAGUUUGCCGGUUUCAGUCCCUAGCUGCUCAUCAAUAAAGAAGUUUACUUUGCUGAGAGCAUUCAGGAUCCCUCCUUGAUGAAGGAUUUCUGAAAUGAGUCUUCCAUAUGGAACCCAGCAUCUUUUCUUCUCUUGGCUUUCUCUAAGUUGCUGGAUCAUAUGCCUGAAGAUGUAUCUUGGAACAUUUUCUCUUUCUCCAGUUAUGAAGAAGUGGAGGAAGAUCUUGUGCUCAAGUGAGGGUUGAUCACUGCCACCACCUUUUGGUAGCAGAUUUUCAUUUUGAAUCUUCAGCAUCAACUUCUUCUGCAUACUUAAGUUAGCAUAGACACCCUUCUCUGUGCUGUUGAUAAGGAUUGAUGAACUAUUUCAUUCCAAGGUCUUGUUUUGAUGUUUCUGAUACCACCUUUGUACCUUCCUUCAAUAGUUCUUCUGAGGACGAAAGCAAUGAUGUCUUCAGAAAUAUGGACCGGAAUGCCCAUGAUGCCUAGACCUUAUCUCUGUGCACACAAAUGGUUCUAAGCCCAUUUCUUCACGAGAUUUCCCUUUUAGCUCUGGAUUGACUAUAACCUUUUUUACUUCUUCCACCUUAGCAGCUUCUUUGUCGUAGACACUUGCUCUCACCUAGAAGUGCCUUACCAGCGUUUGAUAUGUUAGUCCAUUCAACAUAUUGAAGUAAUCUAUUAAGUCUUGUGCUUCAUAGAAUCUUCUGAUGUCACAACCAUGGAACACCAAAGACGUGAAGUCUACUAGAUUUUCUUUCUGAAUCUUCAAAUCCCAUUCUUCCAGAGACAUGGUUCUUCCUUUAAUUUCGUAAGCUGGAAAAGCUUCUUGCAUGUUUGAUGAUGAUUCAGGAACUGAGCUUGAAGUUGCCAUAGAUGAUGAAGAUGAAUUUUUAGGGUUCUAAGGAUUUUGAAUGCGCUUACUUCGCAGAAAAUAGUUUGAGAAGAUGAAAGUGUAGGUUGUGAAGUGAGUAGUGUGUAUUUUGUCUAAGUGUUUCCACUAACUUUGCUAUUCAGGAGCAAAGAAUUCAGCGUCUGAAGUUAAAGUGCUGACAUCAUCUUCAGAAGCACAUUUUCCUCAGAAUCUCAGUUAAGAGCUUCUGAUGGACCAUAGCUUCUGAACAGACUUCAGAACUUAUCUUCUAGUUCAGGAGGAAGCAAAUUUAAUCAGACACAAAGUGCAUGUUCAAAUUUUUCUUUAUAAAAUCAAAUCUUUCCAUAGUUAAAGGCUUAGUAAAUAUAUCAGCCCAUUGAUGUUCAGUAUCAAUGAAUUGUAUAUUUAAAAUUCCUUUUUGAACAUAAUCUCUGAUAAAGUGGUGUUUGAUUUAUAUAUGCUUGGCUCUUGAAUGUAGAAUUGGAUUCUUUGACAAACAAAUAGCAGUAGUAUUAUCACAAAAGAUGGGAAUACUGUUAGCAUUUAUCUGAUAGUCUUCCAACUGAUGUUUCAUCCAAAGUAGUUGUGUACAACAACUUGCAGCUGAAAUGUAUUAUGCUUUUGCUGUAGACAUAGCAAUGGUUGCCCGUCUUUUGUUAGCCCAUGAUAUCAGAUUCUCUCCCAGGAACUGACAGUUUCCACUGGUUUAUUUUCAUUCAAUCCUGUCACCAGCAUAAUCAGCAUCACAAAAUCCAACCACUUGAUAAUCUAGGGAUUUCGUAUAGAGCAGUCCAAGAUUAGUUGUUCCCUUCAAAUACAUGAAGAUUCUCUUAACAACAGUUAAAUGAGAUUCUUUUAGGAUUUGACUGAAAUCUUGCACACAAGCAUACACUGAAUAAAAUAUCUGGUCUAGAUGCAGUGAGGUAUAACAAAGAACCAAUCAUACCUAUAUACAGCUUCUGGUCUACCUUUGUUCCAAUAUCUUCUUUGCUUUAGGUGCAAGUUGGAUGCAUUGGAGUGUUCAUCACUUUACAAUCUUCAAGCUUGAACUUCUUCAGAAGCUCCUUUGUAUAUUUUGUUUGAUGAACAUAUACUCCAUCUUUUCUUUGAUUGAUUUGAAUUCCAAGGAAGAACUUCAAUUCUCCCAUCAUGCUCUUUUCAAAUUCAUCCUGCAUUUACUUAGAGAAUUCCUUGCAAAGAGAUGCAUUAGUAGAACCAAAUAUUAUAUCAUCAACAUAUAUCUGCACAACCAGAAUGUAUUUCUUAAGAGUCCCUCUGAAGAGUGUUGUGUCAACUUGACCUCUUUUAAAAUCAUUUUUUAUCAAGAUUUACUGCAUAGGAUAGAAGUAACCUGAUUGCUUCCAAUCUUGCAACUGGAGCAAAUUUUUCAAUGUACUCAAUACCUUCUUGUUGACUGUAACCUUGUUCAACAAGUAUAGCUUUGUUUCUGACUACUUCACCCUGUUCAUUCAACUUGUUUCUGAAUACCCAUUUUGUUCCAAUAAUGUUCUUCUGCUGAGGUUUGGGUACCAGAUCACACACAUCAUUUCUUUGAAACUGAUUUAGCUCUUCUUGCAUAGCUAAUAUCCAUCCAUCAUCUGAAAGUGCUUAAUCAAAUGUGGAAGGAUCAAUCACUGAUAAUAAUCCUAUCAUAGACUCUUCUUGUUUGAAGUAUGAUCUUGUUCUUCUAGGACUAUCCUUGUUUCCAAUGAUUAGAUCCUCAGGAUGUGAAGACUUGUGCUUGAAUGUACUUUUGGAUUGAAUUACUUGCUGAGAGUCAUCGUGAGUUUCUUCAGAAGCAUUUUCAUUUUGUGCUUCUGAGGUUCGUUCAGGUUCUGUAGUGGGUUGUGCUUCUGGACUUUCUUCAGAUUCAGCUUUCUGAUCAGGUUCUGAAAUGUCUUCAACGACCUGUAUAUCUGCAAAACUUUCAUCUUGCUCUGGAGUUUCACUUCCAGGCUCUUUGUCAUCAAAUUUAACGUGCAUUGAUUCUUCAAUACAUAGUAUCUCUGAAUUAUACACUGUGUAUGCCUUUGACCUUUCAGAGUAACCUAAAAAGAUUCCUCUUUGGGCCUUGGCAUCAAAUUUCUUUAGGUAGAGCUUGUUAUUUAGAAAGUAACAGGUACAUCCAAAUUCAUGAAAGUAAGAGAUAUUGGGUCUUCUUCCCUUAAAGAGAUCAUAUGUUGUUUUCUCCAAGAUAGGUCUGAUAUAGAUUCUAUUUUGGACAUAACAUGAUGUAUUCACUGCUUCUGCCCAGAAAUGUUUAGCAAAAUUGUUUUCAUGAAUCAUGAUUCUAGCCAUUUCUUGUAAAGUUCUAUUCUUUCUCUCUACAACCCCAUUUUGUUGUGGAGUUCUAGGAGAAGAGAAUUCAUGGACAAUUCCAUGUUUUUCACAAAAAAAUUCAAAUGGCUCAUUUUCUAAUUCACCACCAUGAUCACUUCUGACUUUUAAAAUUUUCAUUUCUUUUUCAGAUUGUAUUUGAGUGCAGAAGCUACUGAAUACAUCAUAUGCAUUAUCUUUACUUUUUAGGAAUUUUACCCAAGUCCAUCUGCUAUAACCAUCAACAAUGACCAAUCCAUAUUUACUUCCAUAUAAGGAUGUAGUGUUAACUGGUCCAAAUAAAUCAAUAUGAAGUAAUUCUAAGGGUCUGGAAGUUGAGACAAUGUCUUUUGUUUUAAAAGAUGAUUUCACAAUCUUCCCUUUCUUGCAUGCACCACAAAGUGCAUCUGAAUGAUAAUCAAUGAAAGGUAAGCCUUUAACCAGUUGUAACUUACUAAGCUUAGAGAUUAAUCUCCAAUUAGCAUGUCCCAACCUUCUGUGCCACAUCUAUUUCUUAUCAUUCACAGAUAGAAGGAAAAUUACCUUCUGAUCAACCAGUUCAGAGAAGUUAAUUUUAUAGACAUUCUCUACUUUCUUUCCCUUGGAUUUGUCAUCCUUUUUUAUUACUGUGCAGCUGGUCUUUCUAAACAUCACAUCAUAACCAUUAUCACAAAACUGACUGAUACUUAAAAGGUUAUGUUCAAGACCAUCUACCAGCCACACAUUAUUUAUUGAGAUACAGGAGUUACCAAUAGUUCAUGUACCAAUGAUCUUGCCAGGUUGGCUGCCACCAAACUUCACAUUUCCUCCUUCUUUCAUUGUAAGGGUGAGGAACAUAGACUUCUCUCCUGUCAUAUGCCUUGAGAAACCGCUGUCUAGGCACCAUGAUUUUUGCUUUACUUUUGCUCUUAGACAUAUCUCAUUUUCAUCUUCAGAAUCUAAAUUAGAAUCUGCUUCUGAAGUCAUAGUAGCCACUAACCCAAAAACUACUUUAGCAUCUUCAGAAUCUUCCUUUUUAGAGUCUGAAUCACUGUCUAAAUCUUUCUAGGUCGCCAUUAAACUCUUUUUGAUCUGCUAUCUGAAUUUCCUUGUGUUGAAGCUUGAUUUCUUUGAUUUUUCCUUUGAUUUCUCCUUCUGAAGAUCAAAGCAAUCAGCAAUGAAGUGUCCAGGCUUCUUACAAUUGAAGCAUCCCUUCUUAAUAUUGUUAUCACUAACUGGAUGCUUAUAUCUUGAUAUUUAUAUCCUUUUACUGAUAACUAUCUAUCUAGGAAGUAAAUGAUUAUUAAUUAGCUAAAGAUGCCAUAAGAAAUGUUGACCCUAGACGUAGGUACCUAGUGGAUGAUACCCAUUGGGUCGUGUGGUGCAUUACCGAAGCUAGGAAUUAACUAGUUAAUAAUUAGGGAAACAUGCACCCAGCUGUCUGAAUUAAAGCUAUAACUUAGUAAGACCAUUCUCUUGAAACCCUUAUUAAGGUAGACGUAGAUUAGGGCUGCCCAUUUGUAGAACUACUAUGUAAGCGUAGAUAGAGUGUGCUAUGAGUGUCCUAAGAUUCAUAGAUGGGUAGAUCUAAGGGAACAUUGGUCUUCAUUUCCUUGGGAAACACUGGAAAGCCAAUACAAAGUUUACGUUUCAAUUACCUUUGAAUUAACAAGACCCCGCAGGUAAGGAUCACCGUGCGAUCAGCAGGUGCAGUUGGCCAUUGGAGGGAUAAACCUAAUUAGGUACCCAUUGGGUCAGGUGAUGCCCUACUUAAAUAGGAAUUCCAAACGGCCUCAUCAUUUGUAUAGUUUGCCUAAGAUAAAUAAACGCGACAUUUAUUUUACAUAAUAUCCAACAACGAAUAUAUAGAGAGAGAAUCAUAACCGCUACUUACUUUUCUGCAACCAAAACAGGUAAACUUGCUUUGUUGCAAACAAAUAAAAAUUGCAUCCUAACUUUUAUACUGUCAAACCGACAAAAAUAAGUAACAAGAAUUGUUCGGAUGAAAGGACAAUCCCUAUAGAUACAAUACAUUACUUAUCACUAUAUUACUUGAUGAAAACGACUCGUACCCUUGCCAUAAAUUUUACGCUAAUGCAGAGACCCUGAGAGAGGAACUCGAAUUCGCCGAUGAAAUCAGAAUUGAAGAGGCCCUAAAAGAGAUAGCACUAAAACAAAAAAUUGUUGCUCAACACAAUAGAAGGGUAAUUAAACAAGAAUUCGAAGUAGGUGAUCUAGUUCUCGGAUGAAAUCAGAAAGAUUCUGAAGAAUGGAAACUCGCCAAUAACUGGGAGGGCCCCUACAAAAUCCAAAUGGAAACUCGCUAUAACUUGGAACGCGGAAAAGCUCAAUAGGUUUUACAACUAUAAAAGAAAUUAGGCUAACCACUCUAUUGUACAUACAACCGAUAUCAAAAUUUCAUACUAACGAACUAAACGCUCUCACAAACGAGCAUCUACAAUGGAGGCGGAAAUUUGUGCCACUCCAAAUCGAAAAAUAUAAAGGACGAAUGAAAUCUAUACAAACAGAAUCAUUCGGGCCUCAGUAUAUCUGCUCACGUCUACGACAUCUCUUUUUGGAUAUGUUUAGGUAGAACCCUAGCUCGCGAUAGCCGAUUCAUACCUUAUGGCAUUGAACAUAAAUUGAAUUUUUCGUUCAUCCACCGUUAUUCGUUCGAAAGACAACUUCGGACAAACGUUCAGAUAAACAAUCUCUUGGAUAUGAAACGAUUCUAACACAUAUCUUGCGUUUAAGUUAGAACUCUCACGCUCGGAUCCCUUCGCAAAAUAACACACAAAUAUUGAUUUUUCUAAGCAAACAAAAUGAAAUACUUAGGGGAGGAAGGUUAAAAUCUUUAAGUUAAAACAACAAGUUACAUAAUCGAUCUAUUUUGCAAUCAAAACGUCCAAAAUAGUAAUUUUGUUCCGAGUAAACGUAUAUUCACAUGUCAAGAUUCUUUCCUUAACUUUGUAGACAAAGUUAGAACAUCAUAAGAACCGCCACCAUGAAAUUUUCAAGUUUUUAAAUGAUAGACGAAUUAAUUAUGAAUUGUUUAAGAAAUUCAAAAUUACGGGGAAUAAAAAUUCAUUAUUAAUCAUUCCUUAGUCAAAAAAAUCUAAUUUUUGUAUCUAUAAAGUUAUAUUUUAACGUCCUAUACAUGCCUGAAAUAAAUCAUGAAAAAUUCAACCUUUAUGUCACCUUUUUGGACUACAUGUAUAUUAUAGAGUCAAAAAAUAAGAAGAAUCUUAUAUUAAGGGAUCAGAAUAAGUGUUUUUUAUUUUAGAAUCAUUUUUCAAGAUUAACCCAAUACGCUCUCAAAAAAAAAAAAAGAUUAACCCAAUACGAAUUAACUAUUAUGAGGAUCAAGAUUUUAUCUCAACUUGAAAAUAAGGUGAAUUUAUCAAUUGAGAGAAUAAAGGGUUUAUAGUAUUUUACCUCUGUAAUAUAUGUCAUUUUUGGAUUUGGCCCCUUUAAAAUUUUUGUUUUGGUUUUUGUCCUUAUAAAAUUAUUUUUUUCCCGAAUACACCCCUAAUAGGCCAUUUUUAGAAUUUUUUUCCAUAAAUUUUCUUUUUUGAAUGGCCUAUUCCAAAACAAAAUUUUUACCGGGGCCAAACCCAUAAAUGACCUAUAUUACAGGGGUGUAAAGCACUACUAACCCAAAAAUAAAAGGGAUAAAUGUGAUUUUUCUAUAUAAUUCACAGGCAUUUGAUAACUAUUUUAAUUGAAGUAAUAACAUAGGAUUUUUUUGACAUAUAUAAUAGUCAAAAAAAUUAUAUUUAAUAAAUUAUAAUGAUAUUCUAAAUUGUAUUUAUGUAUUCAUUGAUUUGAAGCUCUGACUGUUGAUUAACCUGUUUACACUCUUAUUUAUUUUGUGAAAUUUCCUAUUUCUUGUAAGAUCAAAUGAUCAAUUAUAUGUGCUAAAGGGGCGAACAUAGUACAUCAAUAUAUUUAAGAGACAUUUAAAAAUAAGUUUAAUUUUAAUAAAGGGUUUCUUGCAAAUAAAACAUAGCAGAAGAUUUUUAACUGUAUAAAUUGAAUAACAAAAUUUUAUUUGUUGCGUGAAAUGGUGGGGAAAAAAAUGGUUGAAAUUCUCAAGUUUGUUUAUAUUAUACUCCUUUUUAUUUCUCUAUUUCUUGUUGUUAUCAAUGUUGAUGGUAAACUUAUUUUCAUAUUCUUUUGUAUUUAUCAAAAACAAACAUUUGUAGCUCUGCUUUUCGAAAUAUUUCAUUAUUUUUAUUUUGCAUUGCAGGAAAGCAUGAUUAUCACAUGUAUUUUCAACGCAUACCUUGUCCCGAGGAUCAAAACCUUUAUUGUAGUCAAAUUGAAUGUUGGUGCAAAUAAAAGGUAGGUACUGAAAUUAUUUUACACUUUCAUCGUUCUAAAUUAUAUGACGUUUUGGUUAUUUCAUGCGUAUUAAAAAAUGUAAUUACUUUUAUUUGAGAAAGAUAUAUUGUGAGUUGUUUUACAAAAUUGUUCUUAAUAAACGAUAUGGAAAAGAUAAAUUAAAGAAGUGAAAGAAGAGAGAUCAGUAAUAACUAAUUAAGAAUAUAAUUAAAAAUGUAAUACUAAUGUCUCAUUGGUAUUGUAAAGCGAAUUAUAAUUUGAAAAAAAAAAAAAUUAUUUUGAAUCAUUUAAAUUUCUUUGUUUAUCAUAAUAUUGUUACUUUUAUGUUUUCUCUCACACAUCGAUAUAUAUCCUACCCUUCAACUUAUUUGAUAGUUAUAGAAGUCUGCUGAUUAUGUUUAGAAAGUGUUGUAGGGACCGUUUGGAUUAUGCUUAUUUUGAGCUUAAGCAAAACAGUUUAUGCAAAUAAAUAAGUUUUUAUGUUAAUUUUUAAGUUAUCAUUAACGGAAAUUGUAUACUUAUAAACUGUUUUUUCAUAAAUUAUAUUUAAAAACUUAUGAAUAUUACAUAAAAACUUAUUUAUUUGCAUAAAUUGUUUUUUAUAAGCUCAAAUAAGCUUAAUCCAAACGUGCCCUGUAUAACCUUCAUUGAUUUUAAUGGCAUAGAGUUGUUUAAGGUUAAUUUUAACCUAUAUCUUCGAUAUAUCAUCUAAGAAAAAUAGAAUUGAGUUUUUGAACUCAAAAAUGUAAAUCAAUUAAUUUUAAAUUACAUUUUAAAGUGUUAUCUUGAGGAUUUCUUUGUACAACUACCUUAAAUAGUUAUCUAAUAACAUCAUUUAAUUCAAAAUGCAAACUAUGAAGAUAUUUAAACUAUUGGUGGUGUUACAAUAUAAGAUAUAUAACUUAACCUCUUAUUUUAUAUUUUUCUGAACUUGGAAUGCACCACAUGAUUUUCAAUAAUGCAUGUUGAGAAUCUAAUUGCCAUAUGUUAAAUUAUGUAUUACUAUAUUGUUAUGAUUGUUGUGAUGCUUUAUAUGUUGAUUCAUGUUUUGUGAUUAUUCAUCUACUUAAUGGCUUAUUCUUUUAGGUUUUGUUUGAGAGUUUAUAGGGGAGGGGAAAGUAGGGCUUUGGGAGGAUAAAAAUAUAGGAGAAAAUUGAAUUUUUUUUUACAUUUUUAAAAGAGUAUUUUUAUAAAGAAUGAUAAAUGAAUGCUUAUGAUUAAUAUAUUUUUAAUUUUAAGAAUAUUAUAAUAACAUGUAUUAAAUUUGAAAAAUACAUAUAAACACUCUUAAACCCCCAAAAACCCUCUUUCAAUACAAUUUUUAGUUCCCCAAAAUAAGGAGGAUUUUAUAUUUUGAAGAAAAAUAAGUCUCCCUAAACCCAUCCUCUAGUGUCCUAUAUUACUUCCACUUACUCCUUUUUCUUUUUUCUUUUUUAACCCCUUCCUUUCGCUUCCAAACUCACAAACAAAGCCUUAACAUAAUUUAAUAUGUACUAACAUCUUUUUUAUGUGUCUUAUUGUAGACAUACUUUAAUCCAAAUUAUAAUCCAAUUGACAUGGCAAGUAAUAGGUGGAGUAGCAAUUGUUAAGGAGGAUUCGAGGACAUGCGCGCAGCUUUAUUUUUUGAGUGUCUUAUUGGUUUUUAAAUUCCUAUGGAUUUUGGUGUUAUGUUAUUUUAUUUUAUUUUGUUAAGUUAUCGUUGUUAUCACUAAACUUUCGACACGUGUGAUGUACGGGAACACGGGUCCUCUUGACUGUAAUAGAGAUAAAUAAGUUAUAUUAUAUGUUUUCAUUGAUGUUAAAUAAUUUAUAUGAAAAAAUUAUAUUACCAUUAAACACGGUACUAUAAAAUUCAUAUUUUUUUGAAAAUGAGUUACAAACAACAUUAGUUAUCAUAAAUUACAAAAUACUCCCUCCAUCCCACAAAGAGUGAGCCAUUGGAUCACUUCAAACAUUAAGAAAAAUGUAUAAGUGUGUUAGCCUGCAAUUUCGACAUAAUCAAUUCGACAGGAGAUGACUUUGUGUCGAAGAUGGGAAUGACACUUGGUUACAUUCCAGAUGAUUGAAGGAUUCAACAUAUUCAUUACAAAUUUAGUGGCCUUGGCAUAUUUGAGAUUGCAAAGCCAUUAGUUUUGAGUGCAGAAAUUAAAAUAGUUUAUGAAGAGAUAAGAUCAAGAUGUCGGAGACACAUGCACUGGUAUAGAAAAUACUUCUUAAAUGGGGUGAAAAUGACUUUUUAAAUAGGUUCAUGAUCCGACUUAUAGGUGGCCGAUUUAAAAAAAUGUCUUUGAUUUUAAGUCUCCACCUUUUACCCGAUUUAAAAUCUACUAAUCAGUUCGCCCCAUUUAAAAUCCUUUAAUUGAAAUCGGUUGAACCCAUUUAAAAAAGGUUAACAAGAGUCACAAAACUGAUAAUUUAAAUCGGUUCACCCCAUUUAAAAUCUCUCUAUUUUUAUUUUUUUAAAAAACACGAUUAUGGUACCGAAUUUAAUAUAAUAAUCAAAAAUCUCAUGAACAUAGCCACUAAUAUGAAAUAUCAUAUGAUCAAAUUUCAUAUCAAACAUGUCACUGUUACAAUAUCAAACAAAUCCAAAGUUACAAUAUCAUAAAACUAAACAAAUGCUAAACAUUGUUUCAAAGCAUAGUUAUUGACAUAAUUAAAUUACAUCAAAGUCUUUCCAAAAUCAAACUUGCACAGCGUUCUUGAACAUUUUUCAUUUCAUCAUCAGUAAACAGAUCUUUGUCUCCAAAAAUCUGGAAAAAAAAAAUGAUAACAUAUUAUAAUAUCAAAUUAACUUUAAAAAAACAUAAGAAACACAUUAUUGUAAUAUUUAAUUACACACCAUAUCCCAUAAGUCUACAAUACCAGCUGUACAAUGUUCAACAUAUGUAUCAUUAUAAAGUAGCCACACUCAUAAUUUCAUGCUAAAUUCCAAACUGAUGUAUGUACCUAACUACCUAUGUAAUUUCAUGAUCAUCAGAUCAUAUAGGGAUUGAUGAAGCAGAAUGCACCGUAACAAACACAUGCACCUUAACAAAACUGGGGAAAAACAUAAUACCAAUAACUUUAACAGUUAUACAUCUUAGCAUUUAUCUAAAGAGUUGCAUUUUACUUACGAUUUUAUCGGCGAUACAACGUGUUUCUUCUGACAUGUACUCUCCUGAUGACUUUUGUCGUGCCCUUAUCCACUUCUCAUGGCGUGUUGGUGGGGAUGGAGGUGCAGCUAUGAGUCUUCAAUUGAUUCUUGUCUUUGUUUUAUUUUCUCCUGCAUCAUCUUUUCUUCAAGCAACUCAUAUCCUCCACGAGACAAGCUGUGGGGGCAUCUAUUAUGAGCCUGAAUCAAUUUCCCCCUAUUUCUUUUCUCCUGUUAUAAAUAACACACAAUAAUUAACAGAAAUACUAUAAAUAAAUUUAAUUGAUAAACUAAUUAUUCUUAAAGUCCAACAAAGUAGAAUGGAAGGAUCCUCCUGCGUUCACACGCAUAGGAUAGCCAUUUGUCUUUCAAUUUAUAAAUAUCAUGAGUAUUAUUUGGAAUAUCCCAUUGUUCCUGUGUUAUAUAGCAGAUAAAAGAGUUAGUGUACGGAAAUAAUAUAAUUAAGUGUUACAACUGACAAUCGUAAAUAGUAAUACCAUGAUAUCUUCUCAAAUCUGGUCUUUAAUAGUCCGCUUAUAAGAUCCCAAUGAUUCACCAAAAUACUAACUUUGCUUCUAGCAAUGGAACCCACAUGACUUUUGAAUUUUUCUUCUGUAUUCCCCUAAAGGCGUUUUGGUUCAUACAUCGAAUUCAAUCGGUAUCCUUUCACCAAUGACUCUAUUCACCCUCUUUUUCAUAGUCUGCAUAUUCUUCUCUUUAUGUUGAGGAGCUGGUGAAUUACCAAUACUUUACUCACCCUCUUAUUAGGUUAUGAAUCUUAAUUAUAGCUUACUUGUUUCAGGUUUCAAUAGCAAUAUUUAUAUUUUGUCCAGUUUAUAUGCAAUUCUUCCUAGUUGAAACUGUGAAACUAGCUCCCAGAAAGAACCGAGUUAAGCUUUUGCUCUAAAGUUAGUUAUGUUGUUAGCCGAAGAUAUAAAUCUAUGAGGAAUGCCGCCAAAAUAGUAAUCUUCAGGUAGUCUGUCUGAUGUUAAGCAUCGAUAUACAUAACUAUCUCUAUGAUUAUUUUCUGAAACUCCUUUCUAUGUGUCAGUGUGUGUCAUGUCCAGUUCAUGCUUCAUUUAUAACAACAACUACGAUAAGAACAAUGAUAAAGCUAACAUCUUUUGACACUAUCAUCGGCUAUAAAACACUAUUUUACCAAUACCUAAUCAGCUACAACUGAAAACAGAUGAUUCAUUCAAAUCAAAUAAAUUGUUACCGCAAUCAAUCACAUUUAAUCUCUCAAUCCAUAGCCACUAACAGUAAUCAAUCAUAGUUGAUAUUAUUUUUAUGUAGUAUUCAUUUUUAUGCAUCACAUAUCAAUUAGAAUAUAUAUGAAGUAUUUAUUUUUAUGUAGUAUUUGUUGUUAUAGAGCUAUAAUCAAGGUCAUGUAUAACAUAAUGUUUUUGCCUUUUUCCAAACAUCACGUCUUGAUCAUUUUUUUAGAUAACUAAGGAGAUUGGAGGUCAAAUCAAAAACACACUAACUCGUGGAGAUGGGAGCAAAUGAGAGAAAGAGGACCAAAACUUAGACUUGACGGCAGCAUGGUCAUCACGUGACCACCUUAACUUAAUCAAUAUCAUCAUUUGAUUACAAUCAAUCAAUGGCUAAAAUUUAGAAUCAAAUUAACUUUGACAUUUUAAUGUCAUUUAAUCCUAACUCCAUGAUGAAGAAAACAGUACUCCGGUCAGCCUUGCAAACACCAAAACGAAGGAUGGAGAAAUUACCUAAGAAAAACUAAGAUUUGACGAAGAGGAUGAGAGGCGCCGUUCCUUGAUUCCUCCUUUUCUUUUCCCGUCAAUUUCGUUCCAUCGUUUCCUUUCUCCCCGUCAAUUUCGUUGUGUUACGUUCUCUCCCCCUUCUCCCGUCACUUUCCCUUUCUCCACUCCAUAUAUAUAUAUAUAUGGAAAGACAACAUUUAUGAGUAAAUAGUCAAUUUCCCCCCUGAAAUUGUAAGUUUUAUCAAUUACCCCCCUGAAGUUCACAAAACUUCAAUUUACCCCCCUGAAAUUUCACAACGUUAGUCAAUUUACCCCCUCCGUCAAAUUUUUCUGUUAGUGAACAUUACGUUUUGCAAAUACCCCCCCUGAAGUUUUGCACUUAUGUGCAAAAUGCCCCCCAAACUUAAAAAUUUAUAUUAUUUUUUUCUUAAAAACAAACAAUUAAUAGUUAAAUAUUAAAGCUAACUUUUAAUUUUGGAGUUUCGAAAAACUACAUGCAUAUAUACAUCAAAAUAGGGAAAAAUGUGUAUUUUUAAAGUGACAAUAAUGGUUAUUUCUAAUAGACAAAUUAUUAUUUUUAGAGGUUUAUAAACAAAUUAAUAAUCAGAUUUAAAUUUAUAUUUUCUCCUUCACCAUCUUAGUCUUUUAACUCCUCCAACUCCUUCAACAAUUUGUUCAAACCAUUUAAACUACACAACCCCCAAUACUUUCAUAUGACUUGUUCUUGUUUACACACUUUAUAGAAAACUUCAUUCUAACUUCUUGUUUGUGCUUCAGGUAGGGACAAUCAUUCAUCGUAUACAAUCUAGCUCACACCACAAUACUAUCAGACCGACAAAUCAUAUAUAGCAUAUUAAGUAAUAUUCAUCUAAAAAAGACAUAAAUCAUCAGCAAAUAAAAUAUGUGAUCGGUAUGUAUAGAGGAACACUUAUUGAAAAAUGUCAAACACUUAAAAAUUUAUUUCUUUACUUUUGAAAUUAAUCCACAAAUCAUACCAUUAUUGUCACUUUAAAAAAUACACAUUUUCCCCCAUUUUGGAGCCUAUUUUGAUGUAUAUAUGCAUGUAGUUUUCCCAAAUUCCAAAAUUAAUAGUUAGUUUUAAUAUUUAACUAUUAAUUGUUUGUUUUUAAGAAAAUAAUAAUAUCAAUUUUUAAGUUUGGGGGGCAUUUUUCACAUAACUGCAAAACUUCAGGGGGGGUAUUUGCAAAACGUCAUGUUCACUAACAGAAAAAUUUGACGGAGGGGGUAAAUUGACUAACGUUGUGAAAUUUCAAGGGGGUAAUUGAAGUUUUGUUAACUUCAGGGGGGUAAUUGAUGAAACUUACAAUUUCAGGGGGGAAAUUGACUAUUUACUCCAACAUUUAUUAAUUUACCAAAGGCUAAAAUAUGGUUUUAGUCUCUGCAAAUAUACCUCGUUUUGGUUUUAGUACCCUGGUAAAAAAAAUUUUUGUAUUUGGUCCCUGCAAACGUGGCACAUUAUAACUGAACCAAUUUUGUAGUUUUUGGUCCCUGCAAAAUAUUUUGUUUUUAAAAAAGGUCCCUGCAAAAUUUUUUGUUUUUGAAAAUAGUCCCUCCCAAAAUUUUUUGUUUUUGAAAAUAGUCCCUGGAGGGACUAUUUUUAAAAACAAAAAAUUUUGCAGGGACCAAAAACAAAUUUUUUUUUUACCAGGGACUAAAAUCAAAACGAGGCAUAUUUGCAGGGACUAAAACCAUAUUUUAGCCUUUACCAAAAUACCUCCAUAAGGGCAAAAUGGUAAAAAAAUGGACAAAAAUUGUCCUAUAUAGUAUAGUAGAUUCUUGUUAAUUAUUUUCUUAUAAUUAUUGUUAAUUAAAUUAGUAAUAUUUCCUCUAAAAACAGAUACUUAAAUAUUAUCUAAUUUUUAAAAUAUUAAACCUUAUUUUGAAACGUUCAAUACUUUUAAUUUGAGCAAUAAUUAGUAAUACGUUAAAACAAAAGACAAGAGAUUAAUUUGACAAAAAUAUAAUUUUUUAAUGGUAUAUUUUUAUUAAUUAAAUUGGCAUUACAUGGCCAUUUUACAACCGUCAAAUGCUAUGAUUUUGAAUGAAUACCUUGAAAGUACAAGGUUAAGCUCCGACAACGGUGUAUAUUAAAAUAAAUAAUUUAUUAGGUUAGAGGGUGGCCAUAAGCCAAUUCAUGCGAUCCCUUCUUGCCUGGCCACUUUGAAGUGUUGUAUGCUUCCAUGAACUCGAUACUUUUCCAAGGUACGCACUUACCAUCAUAGAAACAGCCUCCUUCUAGGAUUAUAUCCCAUGAGCACUGUUUGCAGUGGUCAUGGGCUUGGUCGUAAAUGUCAAGAUAAUGUCGAUGUGGGUUUCCAGGCCAUGUAAAACCACAGAAGAAUAACGUAUUUUUAAAUGGAAGAUGUGAUGGUUUGAAUGAAAACUCAUAGGUUUCUCCAGGCAUGAGUGUGUGAUCUCCAAGAUUGUCAUCUUUAGAUUUGCAACGAACAGUGAUGUUUGUAGGAGUUGGAGUCAAUACCUUAUUGUAAAUAAAAACUGUUACCCUAUAACCAAAACUGUAAGCUAUAGUCUCUCUGGCCUCAAAUGCAAGUAGUACAGUUAGGAGUAUUGAGCAUUUUAAUAUAAUUGUACUGGGAGUUGUCAUUGUUGUAUGGUCAAAACCUACAAGACUUACAUCAACAUUUAUUUAUAGAACACUAACUAACUCCAAAAAAACCAAAAAAACGUUUAAUUAAAGGAAAAUUAUUUGCAAUUGCAAAUUCAAAGACCUUUGUGAAAUAGCUUCUUCAAAUAAAAAAGACCUUUUUGAAAUUAUCCCAAAAAAAUACCAUAUUAUGCAAACUCAAAGACCGUUUUAAAAUUAUCCCAAAAAAGACCGUUUUAAUAAAAAAGACCGUUUUAAAAUUAAAACUGUAUGAAUUAGACUAGUUGACCAGUCAAUUCGCCUUUAAUGAAAUUAAAUGGCAAUUAAUUUAAGCCAUAUUGAUCUCAUCUCUAUAUUUAUUAUAAAUAUUUGCCUUAAUUUUUUUGAUCAACUCUUCUCACAUUCUUCUCUUUUAUUUUUAUUAUUGUGGAAUACAUAUAAGUUCACGAUUCUGAUUCCAUUUUAAUAAAGCACUAUAACUAAUAAUUGUUAAAGAAAUCAAUACAUGAAUCAUGUGCAUGUUCUAUUUUCGGUGUUUUUAAAAAUGAAUCAACUUUCGUGUUUGACUUCUCUUGCUUGAAAGAGAAAUAUUAUAUUGUCAAAUAAAACAUAUAAAUAAAUUAAAUAACUGAUUAAAUAUCAAUGAAAAUUCAUGAAUGAAUAUAAAUGAGAAAAAAAAACUGUUCAAAUAAGGCUUAGAAAGUCCUCAAGAACAUGUAUAUUAGAAAACUUCUUUUAAUUAGUAUUUAAUUUAAUAUCAACAAGAGCGACCCUAUGAUUCCAUGUAAAUUGACUCCCAUGUUAAUUUCCUCUAGGAUAAAAAAUUGUUAUAGUUAAAAAAACCAAACAUAUGGUUCAUUAAAAAAAUUAACUUAAUACCUAUCAAGGACUUAUUUCGUAAAAAAGACCCGUUUGUUAUAACAUUUUUUGUAAAAACAAAAUGUUUACAUGUUAGGUUUUGUUUGUUAGGUUUGAAAAAAGAAAAUCUAAAAAUAAAUGACUUAAAAUGUGUAUAUACAAAGGUAAGGGGUGUCUAAUAAUAUGGAACAAGUGUAAAGGUGACUCUUAUUAUUUUUAGCAAACAUGUCGUAUAAGUUAAGAGUAAAAAUUGACUCCUAAAAUUCUAUUGGAUUUGAAUAAAUUAUAUUUUCAAUAAUAAUCACAACUUUUAGAUCAAUUCAAACAUUUGAUUUUAUCUUAACCACAUUCAAAGUCACAAACAUGACUGAUUUUGAUGAGCUGAUACUAUAAAAUUUCUACACUAACAUUCAAAAUAAACAUGUUUACAUUAUAUGCCCCAAAAUAUAAAGUUGUUUUGAGUAAUUUAUCUUAAAACUCAUUUGAGUAUUAUACUGAAUUCACUAUAGUAAACAAAUAAAAAAUAACUUAUGUUUGUAAUCUAAAAAGUAUCUUAAGUUUUUUCAAUAAUAUCUAUAAAUCAAACGAGGAAAGUGUUUAAAAUGGUUUUUUUUUAAAACUUGAUAUUCAAUUCAAGGACCGAUUAAUUCAAUGAGAUCAAUCUCACGAGCAUAUAUUAUCAGACUAACAAAAGUGUCUGGAAUGAUAUUUAAAAAGGAAUAUACUGGAACAUGUCAUUAUUAGAAAAGUUAAAAAAAAAUUAGCAAAAUAAGAACGUAAACACUCCUUAACUAAUAAUUACAUAAUGAAUUUCAUUAAAUUUCUAUUUGAUGAACAUUAAUAAUCAUUUCAAAGUCAAAUAAAUUUCCGCAUAGAAAAAACUUCACAUAUAUAUUGUGAACAUUCAAAAUUAUAAUGAAGAUUUCAAUUGUAUUUCAUUUUUUUUUUUUAGGGAUUUAAAUUGAAUAUUCAAUUUUAAUUGUUAAUUAUAUGUCAUAAAUUAUAAGUUAUAUGCCACACAAUCAUUUUUCCCCUGGUAGCACAUUAAAAAAUGGUUAUAAAAUGACAUUUGUUUGUGAAAGAACUUUAAAUUGAUUGUUUAAAGAAAAACUUCAAGAGCAUUAAGCACUCAAAUAUAUAUAAAAAGUUAACGUGUCUAAUAUGAAACAAGUGUAAAGUUGACUCUUAUUAUUUUUAUCAAACUUUAAUAAAAUAUUGCAUUUUCCUUAAAAGAAAAAUAUUGCAUCGGGGUUUCUUUUAGAUCAUUUUCUUGAUGUCCAUAUUAUAUUGAUCCAAACAUACGACUCAAAUAACAAAUAUUUUUCAAUCAAGUAAAAAACAAGGGGGGUUUUCGAUCACGAAAACGUGACGUAUAAGCUAAGAGUAAAAAUAGAGUCCUAUUAAUUCUAUUGGAUUUGAUUAAUUAUAUUCUCAUUAACAAUCACAACUUUAAGAUCAAUUCAAACAUUUGAUUUUAUCUUAACCAUAUUCAAAGUCACAAACAUGAUUAAUUAUGAUGAGCUGAUACUAUAAAACUUUCUACACUAACAUUCAAAAUAAAUAUUGUUACAUUAAAAUGAUCUACACAAGUGAUUCACAUUGAUAUAAGUUGGGAUGGAGGUGAUGCCUCUUGAUGUUUUUCCACUCUCCUUGCUUAUCAAAAAAAUAACAUUGAUAUAAGUUCUUUCACAUCAUUACGAAUAGGGCACAUCAUAACAAAUUAGCCUAAAAUGUGAUGAGGAUGAAACUUUAGAGAAAAGUACAAAUAGGGGACAAAUAAUGGUGGUAAAAAUAGAUUGACUAAAAAACCAUUUUCUUUUAAAAAAAAUAGGGAGAUUAAAAGUGGAUUUGAGCCUUAUUUUAUUUUAAUUUUAGUGCCUACAAAGAGUGUAUGUUUUGUAUGUGGCUGUUUAGAUGAUAGAGUGAGUUAUUGAUAAUUUUAUGGGUUAAUUGAAGGAGUUAGAAAUUUUUGUUUAAAUGUUUUGUAAAAAAAUUAGAGUAAAUUAAAGAAUGCCACAUUAUUUUUGAAUUUCUAAUAAUCAUAUAUGUUUUCAACUCAACAUAACACAUGUAAUUUUCCAUAAAUCCCAUCAAAAACAAAAAAUGAAGGAAUUUGAAGUAAUAUAGAUUGUAUAAAAAAAUAUAUAAUGAAAGAAAAUGACAUCCAAUAACUAAAUUUUAAGAUAAAAAAUUAAACAAAUGACAUUCAAAAAUUAAAAAAAAAAAAAGUUUAUCAUAACGUUGGGACUUGCGAGUGAGCCUGUACUGAGUUAGAUCAUCGUAUUAGGCCAACACCAACCAUAUAAGUGAGAUUGACACCACAUCUUUACACAAAAUCUAAAGACCUUAGUUAUAUGAGUCAUCACACUUAUUUUCUAUUCAAAAUCUACUAUUCAAUUCAAUGUAGAACUAAACUCACAUUUGACUCAUUAACAUCGCUUUAAGGUGUUUUCUCUCUAUAAAAUCAAAAAAUAAAAAUAUUAAUAGCAUCUAUACUAGGCACAAGAUAUGCAAAUAAGAGAUAAAAAACAAAUAUAACAUGUACCAACAUUUUUUUAAAUGAUAACACAUAGCUGUUAUAAUUUAAUAAGGAAGCAAAAAUUAGUAGAAUCGAUAUCUAUAUUCAAGAUAAAAAAACAACAUUUAAAGGUCAAAGGCAAAGCAAAACCUUUUCGUUUUUCUCUAUAAGGAAUGAUGUGGUGGUGUAUAAAAAACAUUGAUUAAGUUCAUAUUAUUUGUUUCUAUAAAAAGGUUCAUAUUAUUUGUAGAAGCAAAAAAAUAAAAAACAACGGUGAUAAAAAGGUUCAAAGAAAAAGGUUUUUAUUUAUAUAUAAGAAAUGAUUGAAUUAAUAGUACAUAAAAAACAUUAUUUAAGUUCAUAUUAUUUGUGGAAAAAAAUAAAAAUAUUUGUGAUAAGUAUAAAAUAAAUUACUCAUAUGUUUUUUAUUUACUCAUGUGUUUUUAAAAACAACUUUAUACUUUAUUUUUUCAAUUUCACAUGAUGUAAUUUUUUUAUAAUUAUAAUAUAAUAUAUAUUAUAAAUUAUUUUUGCAGCAAAUUUUGGAUCUAUACGUUAAUGUAUAAUGUAGUGAUUUUCUUGAAUUUUUUCUAUAGAUAUUGAUUCUAAUUUCACCAUUCUUCUUACAAUUCCGAUAUAGAACUAAAGAUUUCAAAAUUCUUUUCAAUUUUAUUUGUUUUUGGGUUUUCAACAAUACUCACUAUUUGUAAAAAAAAAAAAAAAAAAACUUACUACUCUAAUUUUUUCAGUGUCUCCAAAACCAAUUAUCUUAUUCGAUUAGUACACAUGUUUGUCUACAUUUUUCGGUAUUGGUGUCAAACAAGCACAUAAUAAGAAAUAGUAUGAAAAACAUUGGGAAGAAGAAUCUAACAAAUAGUACGAAAAAUAUUGAGAGGAAGAUGUCCUUUGUCUCGUAUGUUUGAAAUGUCCUUUGUCUAUGUUUGGUCGUGAUUUUGAAAUGGAUUUAGUUUGUCUACCUUUGAGCGGUAUGGAUGUGAUUCUGGGUAUGAAUUGCUUAGAGUACAACCACGUUCUUAUUAAUUGUUUUAGCAAGUCAGUGCAUUUCUCUUCCGUCGAAGAGGAAAGUGGUGAAGAGUUUUUAUCUACUAAGCAGGUGAAGCAACUGGAACGCGAUGAUAUCUUGAUGUUUUCGUUAAUGGCUACUUUAUCUAUUGAGAAUCAAGCAGUGAUUGAUAAGCUACAAGUGGUGUUGGAAUUUCCUGAAGUUUUUCCAGAUGAGAUUCCUGAUGUGCCUCCAGAGAGAGAAGUCGAGUUUUCUAUUGAUCUUGUUCCUGGAACGAAGCCGGUGUCGAUGGCACCUUAUCGUAUGUCUGCUUCCGAAUUAUCUGAGUUGAAGAAACAGUUGGAAGACUUGCUUGAGAAGAAAUUUGUUAGACCAAGUGUUUCACCUUGGGGAACGCCGAUUUUGCUAGUAAAGAAGAAAGAUGGUAGUAUGAGGUUAUGUAUUGAUUAUCGACAGUUGAAUAAGGUAACUAUCAAGAAUAGGUAUCCACUUCCGAGAAUUGAUGAUUUGAUGGAUCAGUUAGUGGGUGCACGUGUUUUCAGCAAGAUUGAUUUGAGGUCAGGUUAUCACCAGAUUAAAGUAAAAGAUAAAGAUAUGCAGAAGACAGCUUUCAGAACGCGUUAUGGUCACUAUGAAUAUAAAGUUAUGCCUUUUGGUGUUACCAAUGCACCUGGAGUGUUUAUGGAGUAUAUGAAUCGUAUCUUCCAUGCAUUUUUGGAUCGGUUCGUAGUUGCGUUCAUCGAUGAUAUUUUGAUUUACUCCAAGACUGAAGAAGAACAUGCUGAGCAUCUGAAGAUUGUCUUGCAAGUGUUGAAAGAGAAGAAACUUUAUGCCAAAUUGUCUAAGUGUGAGUUCUGGUUGAAAGAAGUGAGUUUUCUUGGCCAUGUUAUUUCUGGUGAUGGUAUUGUUGUGGAUCCGUCUAAAGAGAUUGAGAGGAUUUUCGGUGUUAUGCAGUGCACUGAAGAUCAGAAAGUGCGGUUUGGUACUCAUCAGCUAGCUGAGGAAGCUGAUGAUUGGUGGGUUAGUCUUCAACCUACCCUUGGCUAAGAAGGAGUUGUUGUGACCUGGGCUGUGUUCAGGAGAGAGUUCCUGAGAAGAUACUUUUCGGAAGAUGUUCGCGGGAAGAAGGAGAUUGAAUUCCUUGAGCUGAAGCAAGGAAACAUGUCUGUGACUGAGUAUGCUGCCAAGUUUGUUGAGUUGGCGAAGUUUUACCCGCACUAUACUGCUGAGAAUGCUGAUUACUCGAGAUGCAUCAAGUUCGAGAAUGGUUUGAGGCCCGACAUCAAGAGGGCGAUUGGAUACCAACAGCUUAGAGUUUUUCCAGAUUUGGUCAAUAGCUGCAGGAUCUAUGAAGAGGAUACCAAGGCUCACUAUAAGAUUGUGAACGAGAGGAAGGGCAAGGGACAACAGAGUCGUCCUAAGCCGUACAGUGCCCCUGCUGAUAAAGGGAAAUAGAGAAUGGUCGAUGAUAGGCGGCCUAAGAAGAAGGAUGCUACUGAGAUUGUGUGUUUCAAUUGUGGUGGAAAAGGCCACAAAAGCAAUGUCUGUCCUGAAGAGAUCAAGAAGUGUGUCUGGUGUGGCAAGAAGGGUCAUAUUGUAGCUGAUUGCAAGCGUAAGGACAUUGUGUGUUUUAACUGCAAUGGAGAGGGUCACAUUAGUUCACCGUGUACUCAGCCUAAGAGGGCGCCGACUACUGGUAGGGUCUUUGCUUUGACUGGUACUCAGACGGAGAACGGGGAUCGCUUGAUCAGAGGUACUUGCUAUAUUAAUAAUACUCCUUUAGUUGCUAUUAUUGAUACUGGUGCUACGCAUUGCGUUAUUGCUUUCGAUUGUGUUUCUGCUUUGUUGAGUGUGUUUUACUUGUUGUUUUGGUUUUUAUUUGUGCGAGGUACAAAACUUGUUGAUGUCUUUGAUUGGCCUUUGAACCAACAAUAUUUAUGGUUGAUGUAUUUUGUUCUUAUGCAGCAAGUUAUCAGUGAAGAAGUUGUACAGGAUGACAUAGAUGAGGAGGAAGACAUAGAUGAUGAAUUUCUUGAGGACAAAUUUCUUGAGCACAACUUAAGUGAUGAAUUUCAAGAGGAUGAUAUAGAUGAUGAAUUUCAAGAGGAUGACCUAGAUGAUGAAUUUCAAGAGGAUGACCUGGAUGAUGAAAUUCAAGAGAAUGACAUCGGUGAUGAAUUUGAAGUGGACGAUUUGGCUGAUGAAUUACAAGAUAAACUUGAAUGAUCGAGUUGGAUGGUGUUUUAUUUUGGAUUGUAGUUAAGCCACAUUUUGGAUUGUAGUUAAACCACUUAACUCUUCCGAACUAUAAUUUUGUUAUUUUGCUAGGCUUAUACUUCGAAGCAUUAAACUUAUCAAGUAAUGUUUGACAUUUUUAUUACUAUUAUGUCUUGAAUUAAUGUUUGAACUAUUUUAUUAUAUUACAUCUUUUGUGGUUGUAUUGUUAAAUUCGAUCUUGUUUGAGUUAUAAUUGACAAUUAUAAUAUUGCCUUUCAGCUAUAAUUACAUUUCUAAAAUAAUUGGAAAAUUCUAAAAUUUUACAAGGACACUCUAAAAAUGUUGUUUGUAAGCUAUGGGGACGUUUUUAUGAUUUCUUAAAGAUUCAAAUUUUAGGGGACGAUUAUUAAUUGAAGCAACCUAUGGGAACAUUUAAAAACGUCCCCUCAGAAUCCCCAAAAAAUCAUCUCAUAUUCCUAAGGUUUAGGCGACGUUUACAAAAACUGUAGACUAUAGGCGACGCUCGUAUAGGAGUUGUAACACCCCGUUUUCCCAACUUAAAAAUUGCAAACGUAUAGUCAGAGUAAACAACAUAUAACGGGAUAUCACACUUCUUAAAAUCUCAAAAUUAGAUAAAUAAUAAUUUAUCCUGCAGCAUAAACUUCAACAAAAAUCAGCGGAAUUAUAUUCAACUUCAUAAAUUGUCUUGGCAAGCAGGCCUCAUCAAAACACAUCAUAAGUUCAGUUAAAUAACAUCAAAACAUAUCAUGUACGUAAAGGAAAGAGAAAUAGCCAAUAAAGAUCCCCUCCCGUUACGUAUCAGAGCAUCUUAAGACUCGGUGAGACAAGGCCACUUACGACAGCACAAACAACAACCUACCCUGGAUUACCUGCAAGUUACUCAUACGAAGAGCAACAUUCCAAGCAGAAGGGGUGAGAUUUCACAAAACAAUAAUAUUAAGCAUAUAAUUCUACAAUUAUAUUUAACAACAUAAAACAUCUUAUUAAUCAACAUUGAUAAUAAUAUAUCACAAAUCACUUCGUAAUAAUCACAACUUAAUCAUUUUAUCAUCAUUGACUCGACAAAUGCGACUAUGCAACUUAGACCUCUUAUAUGCAUGUGGUACCAAUACAGGGCAUCAAGCCCCCAUUUGAGUAUUAAUAUACUUCCAGGGCAUCAAGCCCCCAUCGCUAAUUUUUAGCUAAUGCUCCAACGUCGUGAGUACAAAGCUCCAGGGAAUCAAGCCCCCAACUAUGAAUGCUAAUGUAUGGACUCGACCUCUUAAACAACUUAAUUCAACAACCUCUUAUAUUAGUCCAAUAAUUUGGAACAUCAUCAUCUUCAACAUAGUAGACCGACUCAUGCAGCUUAGUUAAAUAACAAACAGCAACAUAGGCACUGUUCAACGACAUGACAUAAUCAUAUCAAAUUCAAUUCAUCAACAUCUUAGAUGUAUACAAACAUUCUUCAAGUAAUGCAUAAACAUUAUAACACAUCAUAAUCAACAACAACAUAUCUUAUUCAGCUUCACAGAUUAUAGUUAACCUCAUUCUCAAGUCUUAAUUCUACCCAAGGGUUCAACUCUCGACGAAUCGUGCGACAAAGGUCGCAAAAUCCAACAAGUCACUCUGUUUCUCGGUCACUCGCGAGGCGAGAGCCUCUGCUCGCCGUGGCGAGUUCAGGUUAGAAUCCCAUCAGUUUAAUUCCAGGUUCAAUCUCGUCCUAUAUUCUUCACUAAUCAAUAUUAGACAUGUUCAAACACUCAAAAGCAUCUAAGGUUCAACUCAAAAGUCAAAAAUACGAAAUCUUGCAUGCUCUCUGGUCAUGCUCACUAUGGUGAGUUCAGUUGUUCGCUAUGGCGAGCUGCGACGUGCAACUCGCGAGGCGAGGGAAAUUGGUUCGCGUGGCGAGCGAUGAACUUCAUCACUCGCGAGCCGAGGAUCAUCGUUCGCGAGGGCGAGUGAUGAAUGUAGGCUCGGGCAGAAGUGCAUUUUUCACGAAAAUUCAUCCUUUGUCAUGGUUUUAAGCCUAACAUUGAUUCCAGAAUUCAUCCUACACAUUAUCUAAGGUCUAGGAACAAUUUCUACAUCAAUCUAACAACUUUUCACCGUUUAAUCAUGAAUUCACUCAAUUUGACCUAAUUUUCGAUUCCUCUUAAACUCAUCCUAAUUCAUGCUAAAUACAACCAUUGAUUCAUAGACUUAAUAAGAUUGCAAACUUAGUCUCACCCUUACCUUGUUUGAUUAAAAUCGCAGCCCCUCUAGGUCUUCUCCCUUCUCUUGGCUUUUUCUCCAUUUUUCCAAAAACUGAUCGUACGUACAAUGUUUUUUUUUCUAAAACUAGGUUUCCCUUUUAUACCUCCUCUGAUUAUCUUAUCUUAUCUCUCUUUCUCCCUCAAAACUCUCUAAAAUAUCAAAACAGCCCCUAAACUCAAUAUUUAUUUUAUUUUCAAAUCUUAUUUUAUUAAACAAUAAAAUAAGUCACAACUCCUCAUUUUUUUUUGAUAGGCCAAUAGGAAGGUUAGGCAUCAAGGUAUAGCUGUGGCAUCCCAACUAGGUUGGCACCCCACAGUACGCCCAUCCUCUACCGCCAACCUAAUAAAUAAUAUUAAUAAAAAAGGGGGAAAAUAUGUACAAAAGAGGGGGGACUAGGCCAAAACCCUCAAGGCGAAAUAAAAUAAAAUAAAGCAUAACAACCAGACAAGAGAUGGCUACGGAAAUCUAUAGUUAGGCAGGCCAUUUUUGUCUCUAGCAAAAUGUUCCGAAAGAGAAGCCGGCAUAGUCCGGAACCAAGUAUUGGAGGUCACCGUAUGUCCCAAGGAAGCCAGAAUGUCCGCACAACAAUUACCCUCUCUAAAAAUGUGGGAACAAAUCACCAUAAGUCCAACCUGAAUGCAGUUAUGCCAACGGUUCCGUAAACGCAGCGGGAUAAGAGAGUGAUUGUGGAAGGCCUGUACCGCAGUGGCAGAAUCGCACUCAAGCCACAAUCUAAGCCAGUUGUUGGAAGCCGCAUACUCCAUAGCACACAUCAGACCUGCAAGCUCAGCUUCAAAAGCAUUUCCAUGACUAUAACACCCUUCCAAGUGGCCAGCUUAACCUUAAUACGAUCCACGAUAGAUUGAAAAUGAAUACGUUUAGGCUUACCUUGAAAGAUGGGGCAGCCUAAGUAUUGGAAAGGAAUAGUACCCACCGCAAAACCAGAAAGAUGCGCAAGCAUAUUCCGACGAGAACCCGUCAUCGCGCCCGUAUAUAAUUUGCUCUUGUCAAAGUUAACCAACUGUCCGGAUGUGUCCGAAUACUCAUUAAAAAUUCGAAGCAGACAUCUAAUAUUUUUCUUGGAGCCAACACAACAAAUAAAAACGUCAUCGGCAUAUAAGAUGUGCGUAGGAAGGGAGACUCCUCUACAAUAGGACAUAGGCUGUAAAGAAUUGGAGACCCUCUCAUUCUCAAGCGCGCGACUGAGAACCUCCUCCGCUAGACAAAAGAGAAGGGGGGAGAGAGGGUCACCUUGUCGAACUCCCCGGGUACAAGGGAAGUAUUCCACCGCGUUGCCAUUCAACAGAAUAGAGAGAUGAGCUGAAUGCAAAAUGGCUAGAAUCCAGUCACAGAAUAAAUCACAGAACCCAAACUGCUUCAAAACUGCUACUAAAAAAUUCCAGUCAAGAGUAUCAAAAGCCUUGCGAAUAUAAACCUUGAUGGCAAUAUUCCCACCAAAUUGUUUCUUGUCUAACCGGUUGACAACUUCAGAGGCUAUAAUGACACAUUCUGAAAUGUUACGGUCACGAACAAAGCCUCGCUGUUGAGGGGAAAUUAUUCUCAUGCAAAUAAUAGCCAGUCUGUCAGCCAAAAUCUUAGUAAUAAUUUUAAAUUGAAAAUUGGCCAAUGCAAUUGGGCGGAAAUCCCCCAUGGAAGCAGCCCACAGGGACUUUAGGAAUCAGCACCAGAAUGUUGGCAUAAAUAUUUGGAAUCAGCGCCCCUGUGUAAAAGAAAUCUUGUACCGAACUCACUACAUCGACCGCCACAAUGUCCCAAAAAUAUUGAUAGAAAUGGCCCCCGAAGCCAUCAGGACCAGGAGCUCCAUCCGCGUUCAUAUCAAACACCGCAUUUUUAAUCUCAUCAAAAACAGGCACCGUAGUCAAAGCACUAUUUUCCCGCAUCGAAACCAUCGUCGGAAUUACUCUAGCCACCAAAUCAGUAGUAGCACAUAUAUUAAUACCUCCAAAAAUAUUUUGAAAAUAAUCCACCACAUGUUCUUCCAUUUGUCUAGGAUCAGUAAUCCGGACAUUACCAUUCUGAAGAAAAGUGAUAGGUUUGGAGCACGAUUUGAUGCGAGCCAAUCUGUGAAAAUAAGCAGUGUUGCGGUCCCCAUAAAUAAAACUCUGUUGUCUAGCCUUUUCACGCCAGAAUUGAUCUUGAUUGUUCAUGGCUUUUGUCAAAGACAAUUGUGCAUGUAAUUCUAACGUAUGGAGAUCAGAAUCCAAACCAGCGACAUCAAUCAAAUUCUGAAUGCGCAUCACCUCAUCAGAUGCCAACUUGACUUGACGUUGAACAUCUCCAAAAAUGGACUUGUUCCACACUCGGAAAGCGUCCUUAAUUUUGCGUAACUUAAUUUGUAAACGAUGCAUGCCUGAGCCAAUAAUUGGUUGCUGCCAAAUUUUCAAAACAAGCGGACGACACUCAUCAUGAUUUACCCAAGUCUUGAAAAAUUUGAAAGAAGCAGUGCUACGCACUCCUGAGAGAUCAAUGCGCACCAAUAGAGGGUGAUGAUCGGAUUGAGUCCUUAAGAGAGCUGUGCACGAGGUACCUCCCCAAAAAUCUGUCCAGGCUUGGUUACAAAUAACCCUGUCAAGCCGAAGAAAGACAGAGUCGGAAUCUAACCUGCCAUUGUUCCAAGUAAAUUGUACCCCAUUUGUAUUCAGAUGUAAUAAUAAAUUGGCAUUGGACCAAGCAAGAAAAUCCGUACAAGAAAGAGAGGGAGGGAGACGACGUCCCCUUUUCUCAUGAGCACCCAAGACGGCAUUAAAAUCCCCCACAAAAAUCCACGGAGCGACGUAAUUAUUCUGGAGCAUUGUUAGAUCAGCCCAAAGUUGGCGGCGCAAAAGAUAAGAUGUGCUAGCAUAAACUCCUGCAAUAUAAAUAGUAGUCCCGUUGCAGACAUGUUGAAGGACCAAACAUUGAGAGGAUGCGAAGACAACAGUAAAGGUGAUCUCCGAACCCCACACCGCCCAAGGAUUAGGAAUGAGCGGCUCCCUUACGUUUACACAAUAAUUUGUCAUCUGAAUAGUGUUCCAAAACCGACUAGGAAUAGAAUCAUAAGCUACCAUAGGUUCAGCAAUAAAAAUCAAAGUAGGAUUAUUAGCAUGGUACAUAUCGUUAAGAGCUACACGUGAGUCAUUGUUACCAAUACCCCGAAUGUUCCAGAAAAGAACCUUCAUUGAGAUGUCGGGAGGGGACCCUGUGAACGGGUUUGAUAACCAGCAGCCUUGUCGGCAGCCUUGUGAAGCCUGGCCAAUUUCUUUUUCUGAGAUUUAGUAACCACUGGUGAAAAAGGAACUUCCUCAUUGACCGCUGCCUUGUCCAACCAUGAUUGCAUAAAAUCCAUUUCUCGCCUCAAUGUGGGAUGCACCGUCGUGGCCGGAUUAGCUGCUAUUGUACUGACAUCUAACUCUCGCACGGGAGAUAAAACUGGCUCAUGAUACGUAAGGUCAUUCCUAGCCACAAUAUCAAACGUAUUGACAAGCGGAAUGCUAUAGGAAGUCUGAUUACUAUCUUGCUGAACUGUAACAUCUGGAUGAGGCUGCUGGCAUGAUACCUCUUCUUGCUGAUCCGUGUCUAUUACCAAUGGAAUUGUAGCAUCAAUAUCAUGUUGCUCAAGUGCAAGCUCAACAGCCGGAAUGGCAGUAAUGUCCAGCGCGGGUUGAGCAUCUGUCACAACUAACGGCAAUAUUUCCUGAGGUGUGGGCACGGCCGAAGGUUCCUGUUGUGAUAUCUGUUGUUGCUGUCCUCUAGAGGGCGUCGGCGGAACUGACUCAUGCGGUUCAGCAAAGGCCAGAGAAGAGCCAAUCCCAGUGGGAUUUUCUUUUGUAGGGACCCAUGUUUUUUUGAUAGAAGGAACCGGUUUUUUGCCCUGUGCAAUAUUCUCCUUAUGGGCAUUGCUUUCCUUACGGGGAUAUAGCCAGCGGCACGCGGAAACGUCAUGUCCUAUGUUCUGGCAGUGGGUACAAAAAUCAGGCAGCCAUUCAUACGCCACCUCAACAUUGAAUGCAUAACCUUCUCUCUCAACAGUGAUCUCAUGGAACAUUUUUCUUGAGAAGUCCAUAUCAACAAGAAUGCGGGCAUAAUGGCCGUAAAGACGUUUGGUAGUAGCGUUAUCAAUAAUAAGUGGGGUGCCCACUGCACAAGCAAUUUCACGUAGCGUCCUAUCCAUCCAAUACUCCUGAGGAAGCUCUAAGAGUCGGAUCCACACUUGAGCAUGAGUAUUACGUUGUGUGUGCAUAUUAAAAUCUUUUUUCCAUUCAAACAAGCAAAGAACACCCAGCUUCAAAUUGAUCGUUCCCAUCGCCCAUGCCAAGCGCAAAUCUGCUUCAGUAGAGAAAAAGAAUUCAUAGAAUCCCCUUCCCAAGGACGUCAUGGACCAAGCCCCAUUAGUAUUCCAUUGAUUCUGAAGUUUGGAAUAUAUGUCCUUGGUGGUGUAGGGUUUAUCGCCCUUAUUUAGAACUAGGCGACCACGAAGAUUACGUUUACAAAAGGCCAUACCCUUCUCAUAAACGGACUGAGAUAUGUGAACGCUUACGUUAUCACAACUCCUCAUAAAAAUCAUAUAAACCACCUCAAUCGUAAAAAUCGCAUAAAUCACAUAUAUAAUAUAUAAAUAUAAUAUAAACUCAUCUAAAAUAACUCUAGACUCAAUUAAAUAGUUAAAUAAUUCGAAAUGGGCGUUGCAGGAGUCGCCCGGAAAACGUCCCCUAUACCGUUAGGGGACGUUUUUCUUAGUUCUGGCAACAUUUUUCGAUUGUUGUUAAAAAGGAUAAAUGGUGUAGUGAUAACAAGAUAUCACUUAUAAAAAUAAAUCGACUAAAUUAUAAAAAGACAUCUAAACUCAAUAAAAUAAAUAAAUAAUAAAAUAGGGUGUUACAACAAGGGUAUCAUUGUCUUACGUUAGUUCCCAAUGUCAUCAUCAUAUGUUAUUUUGUAUUGAAUACGAUAUUAUGAAUGAAAUUAGUUAAUUUGGUUUAUGUUAAAAACAAAGAAAAAAAUAUUAACGUUGGUGUCAUUAAAAAAACAAUUUAGAUUAUAUUUAUUUGUUAUAUUGUUGGUGUCAUUGAAAUAGAUAAUCAUGGUUAGUUUGAUGUGUUAUAAUUUGAAAGCAACAAAAAUUUAUAUUUUUAGUUUUAAUGAAAAUCAAAAUUUGAUACAAAAACAUACCGUUCAAAAUUAUCAAAUGUUAGCGUAAUAAAAAGAGCUGAAUUUUUCAUUACCUAUUCUACCCUUCAUUUUUAUUUACUAUUUUAUCCUUCAAUAAUAAUAUUUUAAAUUUUUAUUUAAAAAAUUAAGUCCCAUUAAAAUAGGAAAUAUACCACUUAAUAGGAAAAAUAUUAUAUAUGAAGGAGAUAGGGAUUUUGGCCUUAAAUUUUUAUAAUUUCAAUUAUAUUUUUAAACAAAUUUUUUUAUAUUAAUUUAAUAUUGAAGUUGGAAUUAAAAAUUAUAAUGUCUUAUAUUAUAUUUGUUAAAUUACUAUUGUUAUCGAAGAAGAUAAGCAUUGAUUUGAAGGUUGGAGUGCUAACCUAUAGUACAGAUAUUUGCCGUACACUUUAGCCUUUUCAUUUUUCAAAAGAGCACGGUUAAACUAUUUUUUAUAUUUUGCCCCAUUAUAUAAUGAAAGGCCAGAAAAUAAAAAUAAAAUAUAGGAAAAGAAUUAAAGGUUGCCCUUGGAUUGAUUUAGCGAGCUAAACAUCAAUUUUUUUAUAAAUCAACUGGCGAAAAGACGGGCACGUGUUUUUACUGUGCGCUAACGUUUGAAAAUUAUUAACGAUGUUUUAUUUUAUGAAAUUUUGAUUUUGAUUAAAACUAAAAGUAUAAAUGUUUGUUGUUUUCAAAUUAUGACUAAUCAUGAUUAUUUAUUUCAAUUAUACCAACAAUAUAACAACAACAAAAAAUCUGAAUUCUUGUUUUUAAUGACAUCAUCAACAAUCUUUAUUAUAGAAAAAGUUGUUUAAGGGUAUAUUUGAGAUAAUGAUAAAAUUAGUAUAAGUAUACUAAUCUAAUUUGUUACACUUUUUAAAUGAUAAAGGAAAAAAAACCACACAUAUUAUAUUAUAUAUAUAUAUAUAUAUAUAUAUAUAUAUAUAUUCAUAUCGUGUUUGUAACAUUUUUUUUUAAUAUUUAAAUUUACUUUUAUCUAUUUGUUACUAUUGUUAUUUGUAUUCAAAAUUGAAGGCGUUUUUGGAAAGAAAAAUUCAAUCCAAAAGAGUUGAGAGGGGUAGUUAUAUAUAUAUAGUAUAGAUAAAUAUUUUUUUCUUUAUAGAUCAUAGGAUACAAAACUUAAAUUUGAUCAAUAAAUUUCUAUUUGUUAGAUACAAUCUAAAGUGAUUAAUAAAUUUCUAUUUAUUGCAGGCUUAGGAGAAUCAAUAUGCCAGAAAUGAUUCAAUUUGAUUAUUUAAUGAUUCUCUUCAUUUUCUUAAUUUUUGUUGUAACUAACAUUAUGGGUAAACCAUUUUUGUUUCUUUUGAACUUUUCUUUUUUUGAGAAAUUGUUUUGAACUCCUUUAUUGUUUAAAAAUAGUUUACCCCUAUCAAAUGAUAUUUGUUUAUUUUUUUAUAUAACAGCAUGGAGGCCGGACUGCAAGGAGAAUAAUGACUGUCCAACAUUUUAUUGUGCAACUUGGAUAAAUACAUGCAUCAAAUUUAAAUGUUAUUGUAUUCGUCCAUGGGGUUGAUAUUGUAACUUUAAAGAAAGUUAAAAGCUCAGCUGAUAUAAUGAUUAUAUGGUCAUUGAUGUGAUCAUCUUUAGAGGUAAAUAAAGUCAUGGUUAUUUAAAACUAGAGUCGGCACUCACGUGUCAGUCCCUCUGUUUUUUCUACUGCGCUUAUGUAUAUGCUUGAAUAUAUAUCAUGCCAUACACAAAUAUAAUAUUAUUUUUUUUUGGUCAAGACAAAUAUAAUUUAUUUAACACCAUAUAGAAGAAUACCAUAUAAAGGAGUAUUUUUUUAUAAAUUAAAUGGAUCCUUAGACAAUAUCACAGCAGUAAGGUUCAAUCCAUACAAAACUCCUCACUACAACACACAUGGACUCCAUCAGUAACUAGGCAUUACUAAAGCUAAUUCUUUUCAAGUAAUACACAUUUUUAACUUAAGCAGGUCAUGACAUCCAUUUGUGAAGAUUGCAAGAGCCACAAACUAUCGUUAAAUUUUUAAAAUAAGUGCUUAAAUCGUGUUCUGAAAUGGAAGUACUUACUACAUGUAUAAACACAACACAAUUUAAAGGAAACAUAAUAUUUUAACUAUAUAUUUUCAAUGAUUGUUCAACCUAAUUCAAGCAAUUCAAAUUUUAAUCAUUCAUCACACAUGCAUAGAAAAAAAAAACUUGCAUCUUUCCAAGUUCCAACUAAUUAGCUAAUGAAAAAGUUCCAACUAAUUUUAAUCAUUUCAUUUACUCGGGUUUUUAUCUUGUGAUUUUUAUGUUGCAGAUUGCUUUAGCUUAUGCUGAAGGUACUGAUGCAAUGAAAGUGACAUAGGAAUAAAUAAAACAAUAAAAAGAUCACAAAACACUUACUUUCUAAAAUAACACACUUGGAAACGUAAAAGUAAAAACACCAUCCAAAUUUUCUUAUAGAAUAGAAGUAUAAGGGACAAUUUUUGUUUCAUUAAACCUGCCGGAAAAAAAAAAAAAAAAAACUGAAAUUUUACCAAUUUUACUCUACAUAAUGUAUAGCUGCAAAAUUUAGUAUGAGAAUAGACCGGCAAUGACGACAUGGAUCACUUGGUCACUUUGGCACUCCAUGGUUUGUCUCAAAUACUUUUCAUGGCCACAUUUUUAGAACCCGAAUUUCGUAGCCCUGCAUCUUAAUUAAACGACAUACCAACUCAAUCUCAUUUGCUAAGAAAAUGAAGGAAAGAAAGUCAGCAUCAACAUUGAAUUGUACUCCCCAUGAUGACAUUAAGCCAACAUGAAAGGCUUCAACCUUCAAGAAAAAGAUAAUUAUUGAUUUUGUCCAUGGGAAGAUAGACAACCAAAAUGGGAGAUCAAAUUUUGUCACAAAAAUAUUGGAUGUUAUAAACGGAUAUAUUCACUAAGGUUCCUCAUAUUCAUUUAUCUGUCAAUACAACCGCACAGUGUGUGCAACACCGCUACCAUCGAAACAGAAUCUCGACUGCUGUAGCGAUACGAUCUGUCACUUAGAAUAUUCAACCUUUUGGUUUCUCAACUGCAUUCGCGUUCUGGGCAGUAGUUUCUAUCAACAUAUGAAGAAAAAGAGCAAGUUAACUAAUUAGAAGUAUUUGCAUUUGCAUUUCAUUUCUAACUGUAAUUUCAUUUGCAUCUAGUUAGUUAGAAUAGUGAUGAGCUGGCACUAAUGUGUAUAUAACUGAAUGUAAUGAACCUUUACAAGUCAAUGAAAAUCAGUUACAAGUUUUCUUCAUUUGAAGCUUUUUCUCUCUUAACCAUGGUGGUUUAUUCUUCUCUGAUGGUAUCAGAGCAAGUUCAAGCUUGCUCUGCUUCCGCAAUUGCUACUACUCUGUUUUCCUCUGUUUGAUUACGUGUUUCUUCCAUUAGAACACGAAUCAUUUUCUUCUUCUUCUUCUGGUUUUUUGUUGCAGUUUCUUCUUCGUUUCAAGUUUCAAUCUUGAUUCGUUUUCUUUCAAUUUGAUUUUUUUUUCAAUCAAUUUUGUUAGUUUUUGAGUUUUUUUUUGGUGAAUCAUGGUGAGAAACAACAAUAAUCAGAAUCAGGAUCAAGGUCUUGAUCCAUAUUUUGUGCAUCCAUCUGAAAAUUCUUCAACCGUUAGUGUUACACCGCAGUUGAAUGGCGAUAACUAUCAUGCUUGGUCUAUGAAGAUGCGAAGAGCUCUAGCUAUGAAGAACAAGUUCAAAUUUGUCGAUGGUACUAUCCCCAUUCCUGAUGAUGAUGAAUUGAAUCGAAGUGCUUGGGAAAGAUGCAAUAAUCUUGUUCAUACAUGGAUUAUCAACUCAAUUACACCUUCUAUUGCACAAAGUGUAGUAUUCAUAGAAAAUGCGAUAGAUAUGUGGAAUGAUUUGAAAGAUCGUUUUAUGAGAGGUGAUAGAAUUAGGGUUGCUCAAUUGCAUCAAGAAAUUGCUAAUUUGAAGCAAGGCAAUCAUAAAAUCACAGAUUACUUUACUGAACUGAGGGGUCUAUGGGAAGAAUUGGAGCAAUAUAGGCCAAUGCCUCAGUGUAACUGUCCUAUUACUUGUACUUGUGCUGCUAUGAGGUAUGCUAAAGAGUUUAGAUUGGAAGAUAGAACUAUACAGUUCUUAAUUGGAUUGAAUGAGGAAUAUCAAGGAGUGGCUUCUCAGGUUUUACUUAUGGAUCCAAUGCCACCAAUCAAUAGGGUUUUUUCAAUGGUUAUGCAACAGGAAAGGAAAAUGCAAUAUGGUGUUAUCAAUGUUCAGAAUACACCAUUAGAGGAUACUACAAGUAUUGUAAAUGCAGUGAAUGGUCAAAAACAGUUUGGCAGAGGUAGAGGAAAUGGGUCUUCUCAAGGAAGAGGAAGAGGUAAUGGAAGAUUUUGUACCUUUUGUGAAAGAACUAAUCACACAGUGGAAACUUGUUACAAGAAGCAUGGAUACCCUCCAAACUGGGGAAGAGGUGGAGGAAAUUCCUAUGCUAAUAUGAUUGAUGGAGAUGAUGUAGAGAGUAAAAUGCAGACUGCAUCAACUAGCAGGAAUGAAGAAAGUGCAGGGGUCACUCUUACUAAGGAUCAAUAUCAGAAUCUGAUGUCUCUAUUGGAAAAGAGUAACCUUGAGACAAAGUGUUCAGCAAAUGUUGUGAAAGGUAUCAAUUACUCUUCAUUUAUUGGAGGUAAUUCAUGUUUUGCUAAUUUUGAUGAUAAGCAUGCUGAUACUGGAUGGAUUAUAGAUACAGGAGCUACACAUCAUACAUGUUUUGAUUUGAAAUGGUUCAGUAAUUGUACUAAAAUUGAACCUAUGAGUGUAAAUUUACCAAAUGGAAAUACUACACUAGCACAUUGUAGAGGGCAGAUAAGAUUAUCACAGGAAUUGAGCAUAGAUAAUGUUCUCUAUUUGCCUCAAUUUGCUGUGAAUCUUAUUUCUGCUUCAAAGUUGAUUAAAGAGCAAAAUUGCAUUUUGCAUUUUGAAGCUAAUGAGUGUACAAUACAGGAAAAGAACAGUUUGAAGAAGAUUGGUUUAGCUGAAGAGAGACAUGGUUUAUACUACUUGAAGAUUGAUGAGAAGCACAAUCAAGUUUCAGUGUCUAAUGUGGCUGCUUUAGCAAAUUCAAAUAAAGAGCAUGUUCCAGAUGGAAUCUUGUGGCAUCUCAGACUUGGUCAUCUAUCAAAAGAUAGAAUGAUGUGUAUGAAUAAGCUGUAUAGCUAUAUUUCUACUAGUCCACACACUGCUUGUGAUGUAUGUCAGAUGUGUAGACAGAAAAUUUUACCCUUUCCUGUUAGUAAUAAGAAUGCUAAAGCUGCUUUUGAGCUUGUUCAUUUUGAUAUUUGGGGACCAUUUGGUACAGCUUCUGUCCAUGGUCACAAAUAUUUUCUUACUAUUUUAGAUGAUUGUACAAGGCAUAUUUGGGUUGUGAUGAUGAAUAAUAAAUCUGAAGCUUCUCAGAAAGUAAAGAGUUUUAUUUCUAUGGUUGAAAGACAAUUUGACUGCAAAGUCAAGAAAGUUAGAAGUGAUAAUGGACCAGAAUUCAUGUUGAAAGAGUUCUAUGAUGAAAAAAGGAAUAAUUCACCAAAGAAGUUGUGUGUAUACUCCACAACAAAAUGGGAGAGUGGAGAGAAGACACCAACACAUACUCAAUAUCAGUAGAGCCCUUAUGUUCCAGUCAAAAUUGCCUAAGAAGUUCUGGUCAUAUGCUGUAUUACAUGCAGUUUAUUUGAUUAAUAGAAUUCCCACUAAAAUUUUGAACAACAAAUCUUCUUAUGAAGUGUUGUAUGGUGAAGUACCAGAUUUGAGUAAUCUCAAAGUUUUUGGAUGCUUGAGUUAUGCAUCCACCUUACCAGUUAACAGACACAAAUUUGAUUCAAGAGCUAAGAAAUGUGCUUUCUUAGGAUACAAGUCAGGUAUCAAAGGUUUUGUCCUUGUGAAUGUCCAUACUUCUGAAAUAGUUGUUUCCAGGAAUGUGAAAUUUUUUGAUCUGGAAUUUCCUUUCCAUUCCUCUAGUGUUACUACAGUUCCCUCUACACAUAUUUACCUUGAUAGUCAAGUUACUAACAUUGUGCCUGUUAAUGACAUUAUUGUGAAUUCUUCUGAAGAUCAUGAUGAGGUUCCUCAUGAAGAUUCACUUAUUGAUACUGAAGAAAGGGAUGAUGAAGUGGAGCCUGUAGCCACCAGAAAAUCCUCCAGAAGUUCUCAAUCACCAGUUUACUUACAAAAUUAUGUCUGUAAUUCAACAAGUGGUCAUUACCCUAUGACAAAUUUUGUUAGUUAUUCAGCUUUAUCUCCUAAACACCGUACUUAUGCUUACUCUUUGAAUACUGAGAUUGAGCCCACUAGUUAUCUUUCAGCUAGUAAAGAUUCUAGGUGGUUAACUGCUAUGCAGACAGAGAUAGAGGCUCUUAAUGCAAAUAAUACUUGGGAAUUUGUUGAUCUUCCUUCAGAUGCUGUAUCCAUAGGUAGUAAAUGGGUAUAUAAGAUCAAAAGACAUGCAGAUGGUACCAUAGAACGUUUCAAAGCACGUUUGGUUGCUCAAGGUUUUAAUCAAACUGAAGGGCUUGAUUAUUUUGAAACAUUCUCCCCUGUUGCCAAGUUAUCCACCAUUAGGGUAUUGCUUGCUCUUGCAUCUAUUCAUGGUUGGUAUUUGCAUCAACUUGAUGUCAAUAACGCCUUCUUGCAUGGAGAUUUACAUGAAGCAGUAUAUAUGAAAGUCCCUCAAGGUGUUACUCCUCCCAAACCUGGACAAGUUUGCAAGCUCCAGAAAUCCCUUUAUGGUCUUAAGCAAGCAAGUAGGCAAUGGUUUGAGAAGCUUACUCAGUUUCUUUAUGCUCAGGGAUUCACUCAAGCUAAUGCAGAUCACACAUUAUUUACUAAAAUCACUGCUACUUCCUACACUGUGGUUUUGGUUUAUGUGGAUGACAUUAUUUUAGCAGGAACAUGUCUGCAGGCGUUUGAUUCAUUGAAACAAGCUCUUAACAAUGCUUUUCGCAUCAAGAAUUUAGGGGAACUUAAAUUCUUCUUAGGAUUGGAAGUAGCACGUUCCUCAAAAGGCAUUUCUCUCUGUCAACGCAAAUACUGUCUGGAGCUUCUUGAUGAUGCUGGCUUGACUGGUUGCAAACCAGUUUCUACUCCUCUUGAUCCUUCUAUACGUUUAUCUCAAGAUACUGGGUCUCUUCAUGGUGAUGUCACUGGUUAUAGACGUUUAGUUGGAAGACUGCUAUAUCUCACCACCACACGCCCUGAUAUAGCUUUUGCAGCACAACAAUUGAGUCAAUUCAUGGCUUCUCCAACUGAAUUGCAUUACAAAGCAGCUCUUAGAGUUUUGAGAUAUUUAAAGCGCUCUCCUGGACGUGGUUUAUUUUUCUCUAAAUCCUCUGAGCUUCAAUUGCUUGGUUUCAGUGAUGCAGACUGGGGAGGGUGUGUAGACACUCGUCGUUCCAUUUCAGGGUAUUGUUUCUUCAUUGGCCAGUCUUUGGUUUCCUGGAAAUCAAAGAAGCAACCAACUGUUUCAUGUUCCUCUGCUGAAGCAGAAUACAGGGCUUUAGCUUCGGCUACUAGAGAGCUUCAAUGGUUGUGUUUCAUUCUUCAUGAUUUGAAGCAAGCUCCUUCACGUUUACCUGUACUCUACUGUGAUAACCAGAGUGCACUUCACAUAUCAGCUAAUCCAGUGUUUCAUGAACGCACCAAGCACUUAGACAUUGAUUGUCAUCUAGUACGUGAAAAGAUUCAAGCUGGAGUUAUGCGUUUGUUACCAGUCACCUCCCAACAUCAAACAGCUGACAUGUUUACCAAGGCUUCUGGUCCACGACAAUUUCAUGCAUGCAUGCUCAAACUAGGGAUGGUAGAUAUCUACCAACCACCAGUUUGCGAGGGGGUAUCAACAUAUGAAGAAAAAGAGCAAGUUAACUAAUUAGAAGUAUUUGCAUUUGCAUUUCAUUUCUAACUGUAAUUUCAUUUGCAUCUAGUUAGUUAGAAUAGUGAUGAGCUGGCACUAAUGUGUAUAUAACUGAAUGUAAUGAACCUUUACAAGUCAAUGAAAAUCAGUUACAAGUUUUCUUCAUUUGAAGCUUUUUCUCUCUUAACCAUGGUGGUUUAUUCUUCUCUGAGUUUCUGCUGUGUUGUGAUCCUCUCCCUAUGCAGUACUCAGUUGCAUUGCUCAUCUAAAAGUGAUAGGGAAAACUAAGAUAUAAAAGUUGAAUGAACAGAGGUACAGACCCACGUUGGUGUUUGUAUUUUACUUGUUGCACCUUACCCUAGUAAAAAAAUCGGUGUGAUGUCUCUUGUUCCCUAUCUCACUGUCUAGGUCACUCCUCCCCGAUAAUAAUGAAGGUGAUGACAGACCAUCUUACGUUACUCUUAGCAUGUUUUUCAGUUAUUUUCAGUAUGUUUUAACAACAAAAAGGAGGAGUAUUAGAACAAUUGCCUAUAAUUUUGGGAGUUUUGUAAUGUUUUCUAUAUUUGAGUAUGUAAUUAUAGUUUUCUUGAAACAUAGUGUAACGCCCU
rnacentral:lncRNA from 1 species